rnacentral:lncRNA from 1 species
GCAAAGCCCUUGUCUUUCUCUGCCCCACUUUCCACCCACACCUCUCACUCCACCCCCUCACCUCUCCUCUCUCUCACCUCCCACUUCUCCACGGCCACAGCCGCUGCCGACAAGCACACGCCCCAUCUCCUUUCUCUCUCCUCCCCCCUCCGUCGCCGGAAACCCCUGCUGCACCACCUCCCUCCGCCGCUGCCCCGGAAUGACCGUUCUGCUGCCUUAACACUGGGACUCUCUAGCCGGAGAAUUACUUGCAAGGCGACGGAAGUGUCGGUGGCGGAGGAGCCGUCGGCUGCGGGCGAUGGCGAGAACUGGGUGCCAGUGGUGCCGCUGUCGGCAUUGCCCAAGGGGGAGCGGCGCGUGAUUAUACAGGACGGAGAGACGAUUCUGUUGUUGUGAUUAUACACGAAAUUUAUGUGAAGAAUGAAAGGCUCUUUUGAGGCUCAUGCAAGCCAUGUAAGAAUUUUAUGUGGCCUUGGUGUAUAUUAUUAUGUGAUAUUCCUUUAAAUAUUAUGGUCUAAUAAAUAAUAAAACUAAAAUUUUAUUUCCUAAAUUAAAGGUACUUUGAUGAAAAGCAUACUCCUCAUUCUAUAUGGAAAUUGAUCUUCUCUCCAUCCUAUAAAAUAAAUGUUCAGAAAACCUAAGGAUAAAAGGGUUUAGGGAGAACAACACAAUUUCUACUUGGCUUAUUGUUUGGUCUCUUCAAGACUUCUAUAUAGUUUAAAGGUAUGUCUUUUCUCAAUAAUGGAAUUGUGAAAAUCAUAUUAUUCUAUAAUUCUUGACUAUUUUGAUUUAAGUAAAAUUAGGAUUUGAUUUACAUAAUUAAAUAAUUACUUAUGAGUUUCAUUGGUGAGCAUAUAAUACCAUUGACAUAUGUUGAUUAAGUGACAUGUAUACCUUUGAUGCUACUGUAAUGAAGUUUAUGAUAAUAAAAGUUUAUUUUAUCAAUUUUCGAUAUGUUAUAUACAAUGUAUGUUUAUGGCUAAUAUAUAAAGUGAAUGACUUUCUUGAUUUAUGAAAUUUAGUGAAUCGAUUUAUGCAUCAACCGCUUUUGAUUGAACCAAAAGUAUGAUUUUGUUCAUGGUAUUGCAUCUUCAUCAUCAAAAUAGAUAUCUAUAUGUAUGUGAAAUAAAUUAUGCUAUAUAUAUAUGUCAAUAGUGAAUUUUGUGUCUUCAAUGGUAAUGUUUUAACGAUAUACAUAUACUAUAUAUAAAAAACCAAGAAAAUUCUAUAAGAGUAAACACAUUGAGAGGAAGUACCACAUAAUCUAUAGAUAGUACAAAAAGGUGAUAUGGUAGUUUAGAAGAUAUCUUUCGGAAAGAGCCUAAUAGAUUCAUAUACUAAGACAUUGACUGGAAAAGUCUUUGAUUGUAACCGGGACAACAUAGGUGUCAGAUAUGCACCUAAUUUACUUUUAUUGCAUUAUGUUUUGAGGGCUUAUGGAAGAUUGUUAUGAUAUCAUCCUACAAAGCUUUACAUGAUAUAAGACAUUUGGAUUUAUCAUUUAUUUAAUUAUAUUCUAAUUGCUCUUUUAUCUAUGCUUGUAAUAGAGAGUUCCCUACGCUCAGAUCCCAACACUUAUAUCAUAUAAAAUAAAGUUUCAUGCUAGUAGAAUAUCUAAAUAUAUUCUUGGUAGUUUUUGGUCAUGCAUGCAUUCGCAUAACUUUGGGCUAUGCACAAUAAUUUUCCAUAUAAUUGGCUUUUAGGUAUAAAUUUAAUUUCUAUAUGAAAUCGUUCAAUAUAUAACUUUCUGCUACAUGAGUCUAAAAGUUAUUAACUUCCAUGCAUGGUGCGACUGGUGGGGUUUCCAGUCACUUGGAAACCAUGUCCAGAUACAUAUGAAGAGAUCAAUAAAACCAACCUUCCACUUCCUACAAUAAUCGUUUACCAAGUGUAUCUUCAAUCCUAAGCCAGUCUGGUAUUCGUUGUUGCAGCUCCUGUAAACUGGCCUCUGCUUGGUCCAGCUCCAGAUAUAGCUGCUCUACUUCAGCUAUCUUCUCAUUCAAGCGCCUACGAAUCACGUCCCUCUUGCCCUCUGCUUGUGCAUACUCAACUAAAGGUUGCACUCCAACAAAUGGGCUUCUUAACCAAUCAACCUUAACCUGAGCCCUCUCCAAAUCACUCAAUGUUCUAUCAAUGAAGUAGGUGUCUGCACCAGACAGGCUACGGGCAGUAUUCUUCUGCAUCAGCUCCACAAUCUGCAGUAUGGAACCUUUGAUUAUCUCUACAAACUGGGGUGCUGUAAAGGAGCAAUUGGCAGUUACGUCUCCAUAUUUGGUCAAUAUUUGCUGCCAAAUCGACUCCCUGGUAUUGGAAGUUACACCAGAUCCCUCAACCAUCUCAAGAAGCCCUGCAGCGGCUGUGUUAGGAUCUGUGAGAGUUUUGUCUGUGUCCUCAGCUUCAGUUGGAGCGAAGGUAGUUUGGAUCUCCUAAAGCCCAAAAAAGAGAAGGAAAAGUAUAGAACUUGUGCUUGGAAUUAACCAACAAAAAAGAUUAAUUUUGAUGUAAAAGUGCCCAAGGAAAAAUAUUUUGGUAGUUUCAGUUGAAAAUUUUGACAAACCUUGUCAGCUCCCGAAGCACCUUCCACUUCAUCUGAAGGCCAAUUAAGUGUAUCUAGGCAUUGCAACCUGUGAUUAUGCUCAAGAUGAAGUUUUGUGAUCACCCAUUGUCCAUUGUCAAGUUUGACUUGGAUCUGGACAUUGCAACCUGUUCUUGUUUCUGAUCUCUUAUACUUUGUUCCCUGGUUGGGAUGCUUCUUGGUCCGGAAGCCUUCACAUGAACAAAGAAAGCAUCGCCCUUUCAGUGUACCAUUUGCUUUCCUUUGUACCUUUCCUUUUCUUACUGUAAAACCAAUUCUCUUGGCAUACUUUUUACAAAAUUCUUCAGCUUCUAACUCAGAAGAAAACGCCAUCCCUCUCCGUGGUAUCUGAUCAUCGUCUUCAGGAUUUUUCUCAUUUACAUUAACCAAUGUUCCAAUCUCAUCACCAUUUACAUUAAUAGCCAUUUCAGUCUCACCACUAUAGAACGAACUCCACCAAGAAUCAAAAUUAAGCUCAUCCUGUACAAAGUGAGAUAGAGAGAGAAGUUUUCUAUGAGAAAAAUGAGAAGCAAAAAGCGGUACAAUGCAUAACAACAAUUUUCUUCUGUUACACCAACUAUUGAUUCAAACUACAUCUUAUCCUGUAACUCUUGUAGAACAAUGAAUUAAUAUAAGAAGAGUGACACUGUAAGACGGCUUAUAGACAAGUAGAUGGAGCAACAAAUUCUUGAUUUGCUGGUUGCAGCUUUAUUUGGGCAGAAAAGUUCAUGAAUUAUUUAUCUUUAAAAUUAACCGUUGUUCUAGAAAAUGGAUCGAGCUUACCUGGAUAGUGAGGCCCCUGAAGGAACCGCCAACUCUGUGGUGGUUUACUAAAUCAUCAGAUUCCUGUAUGGCACCCCAAACAUCUGGGCGUGAACCGAUGGAACUAUACCUGCCAAGAUGAUAGGGUUCGAUAGACAUUCUGGUGCAGUUGAUGGGUGUGGAUCCAGAGGAUCGGUGCUUGAUUGCUUUGCUUCCGGCUGGACCUUGGGAUCUCGCCUUCUCAAGACAGGACUCGUUUUAUAGCUCUCGCAGCCUGCUGUGUGGGACAGCGUCCCUUUUUCCUUGUUUGCUUUGCUUCCAUUUCCAAAUUCCAACCCACUGCGCUUUGACCAAAUGGUCCAAAUCUCCAUUUCUCGGCGACGUCGGUGCGUUCGGUUCUCUUUUCCCUUGUUUUAUUUCCUUCAGUGCCUCUUUCCUCCCAAGAGGCUACUACUCGCCCUCUCAAAAAGUCAAAACUUUAGAAACAUUAAAUAUAUAUAUUUUUUUUUAAAUAGAGAACUAUCAAAACGGUGGGCGGAAAGUGAUAAUCCUUUUUAAAAGUCAUCAUGUUGACCAAUUCUACUCUUCGAGUAAUCAUUUGAAAGCUUAACCAUUCGAAAUUUUCAAUUAUAUCCUAUUUAAACUUUAUUUUUUUAUUUUUUUUCUUUUGUAUUAUUAUUAUUAUUAAAUAUUAAUAUUACUCUUAAUAUUAUUAUUUAUGAUAUUAGUAUUUUAAAUUAUUCAUAUUAUUAUUAAUAUCAUUCUUAUUAAUAUUAUUUAUUAUUUUUUUAUUAUUAUUCAUAUUUUUAAUAUUAUAUUAAAAAUAAUAUUAUUAUAUUUUUAUUACUACUACUACAAAGAAACCUUAGGAGAUAAUUUAUAUUUUUUAGUUCUUAAAACUUGUAAACUUUAUUAAAAAAUUAUUCUUUUUUUUCAAUUUAUACUUUAUAUGUUAUAUUAAGAUUAAUUAAAUUAUUAUUAUUCUUCUUAUUAUUACUAUUAAUAUUUAUGAUAUUAGUUUUAUAUUAUUAAUAUUUUAAUAAAAUAAUAUUAUAUCCAAGUUAUAGAUAUAAUAAAAAUGCAUUGAUGUUAAUGAUAUAGUAGAAUAAAACAAUGUUUCUAAUAUAGAUAAAUACAACAUUUAUCUAUUGAAUUUAUAACAUAAAUACAUUAAAAAUACAAUAUAUUACAACAUUUUUAAUAGUUUUCAUGUAAAAAUAAAAUAAAAUUUUAUCAUUCAAUGCGCUUUUUCUAUUUGAGUCGUAACACCCGACUUUUUCUUUUCCUCUUUAUCAUUCAACGCGCUUUUUCUUUUCUUUGUUGCGUAAAAUAUUUGAAGUUUUGUUGUGAGACUUGCUUCGAUCACAGUUGUAUUCUCAAUUUUGCAAUUAAGCAAAUUUAGCUUUAUUAGUCAGUUGUGGUUGAUAUAAAUGAACUUUUUCUACUGCAAUUAAGUCAGGACUCAUAUCUCAGACUUGGUGUCUCUACUGCUCAGUAAUGGCUGCUGCUGCUGCUUCUUCUGCGUCUUCUCAGGGGCGCUAUGAUGUGUUCCUGAGCUUUAGAGGGGAAGACACCCGCAAUAACUUCACUGCCCAUCUCUGUGAGGAGUUGCACACCAAAGGAAUCAACACUUUCAUAGACGAGGAGAAGCUCGAGAGAGGGCAAGCCGUAUCUGCUGCACUUGUUUCUGCUAUUGAAAACUCCAUGUUUUCUAUCAUUGUUUUAUCAGAAAAUUAUGCAUCUUCUAGAUGGUGUUUAGAGGAGCUGGUGAAGAUAAUACAGUGCAUGAAAAACAGGGGGCACAGGGUUCUCCCAAUUUUCUAUAAUGUGGCUCCCUCGGAUGUGAGAAAUCACAAGGGAAAAUUUGGAGAAGCCUUGGCUAAACAUGAAGAGAAUUCCAAGGAGGGUAUGGAGAGGGUGCAGAUUUGGAAGGAUGCUCUCACUCAAGUCACCAAUUUCUCUGGUUGGGAUUCAAGGAAUAAGUAAUUAUUUAAAGCUUUUUUUCACUCUUACUUUUAUUUUUUAUUUUUAAUAUUGCCAUUUUAAAUGCUCUUGCUAAUUCAACUAUUAGUUAUUACAACACAAAGGGUAUGAUAAUAUAUACCAUGUUAACAUUAUCUGAUUAAAGGACUGGGUUCAUAGGAUUUAGAAAUAUUUUACUGGACUUUUUUAAAUUAGAUAUAAGAUACCAACCAUAUCUUGACACAUAUUCUCAUAUUCUCUUUAUUUUUAUUAUCUUUUUGUAGAUAGCUGGACUUAUUAUGUGUUUAUGCUUUAAAUAUGACAGGAAUGAGUCUCUACUAAUCAAGCAAAUUGUUAAAGAUAUUUUGAAUAAAUUGUUAUCUUCAUCCGGUAGUGAUACCAAGAAUCAAGUUGGAAUAGAUGCUCACAUACAAGAAAUGGAAACCUUAUUAUGCUUGGCGUCAGAUGAUGUUCGAAUGGUAGGAAUAUGGGGCAUGGGUGGAAUAGGGAAAACAACCCUUGUCAGAGCUGUUUAUAGUCGAAUCUCCUAUCAAUUUGAAGGUUGCUCCUUUCUUGAAAAUGUUGCAGAGGGUUUAAAAAAGAAGGGCUUAAUUGGGUUGCAAGAGAAACUUCUUUCUCAUCUAUUAGAGGAAGAAAAUCUAAAUAUGAAAGAACUCACAUCUAUAAAGGCAAGGCUCCACUCAAAAAAGGUCCUUAUUGUUCUCGAUAACGUGAAUGAUCCAACAAUAUUGGAAUGCUUAAUUGGAAAUCGGGAUUGGUUUGGUCAAGGAAGUAGAAUUAUUAUAACGACUAGGGAUAAACGUUUAUUACUUUCACAUAAAGUCAAUCUUUAUAAGGUUCAUAAAUUCAAUGAUGAUGAAGCUCUUGAGUUUCUUGCACGUUAUUCAUUAAAACACGAACUCCUUCGAGAAGAUUUCCUAGAGCUUUCAAGAGCUGUGAUAUGUUAUGCUCAAGGCCUUCCAUUGGCUCUUACGGUUUUGGGUUCUUUUUUAUUUAGCAUGAGCAAAGAAGAAUGGAGAGAUCAAUUAGACAAAUUAAAAAGUAUUCCUAAUAUGAAAAUUCAUGAAGUUCUUAAAAUAAGUUAUGAUGGGCUAGAUUUUGAGGAGAAGAAUAUAUUUUUGGAUAUUGCAUGUUUCCUUAAAAGAGAGGAUAAAAAUUACAUUAAGGAAAUACUAGACUAUUGUGGCUUCUUCUCAGUUAGUGGUAUACGAGCUCUCGUUGAUAAGUCACUCAGUAAGUUUUUUUCACAAUAGGAUAAUGAUGCAUGACUUAAUACAAGAAAUGGGUAUGGAAAUUGUUCGCCAAGAAUCUCAUACUCCCGGCCAGCGUAGUAGAUUGUGGCUCCAUAAAGAUAUCAACGAUGCAUUGAAAAAAAACAUGGUAAGAGCAAAAAAAUGAAAUUUAUUUUAUGCAACACAAGUUAAGAUUUGAAAUUAUUUUGGCUUAAGUAGUUAUAUGCUAAUAAAAUUGUAGCAGACAUAUAUUUAUUCACUAUGCAUGUUUUUAACUUAGUCUCCUUCUUGGUAUGCAGGAAAAUGAAAAAAUUGAAGGCAUAUUCCUCGACUUGUCUCAUUCACAAGAGAUAAUAGACUUUAGCACUCAAGCCUUCCCAAGGAUGUAUAAACUAAGAUUGCUCAAAGUCUAUGAAUCUAACAAAAUUUCAAGAAACUUUGGAGAUACCUUAAAUAAGGAGAAUUGUAAAGUGCAUUUUUCUCCGAACUUAAGAUUUUGUUACGACGAAUUGAGGUACUUAUAUUUGUAUGGAUACUCUUUGAAAUCAUUGGACAAUGAUUUCAAUGCAAAGAAUCUUGUUCACCUCAGCAUGCAUUAUAGUCACAUUAAACGACUUUGGAAAGGAAUCAAGGUAUGAUUAUGAUGUAUUGAUAUUAUUUUCUUUAAAAAGCGUUUAAUGUGCAUGAAAGCUAAUUUUUAAGUCAACUUUCUUUCAUGGUAGGUUCUUGAAAAGUUAAAAGUCAUGGAUCUCAGUCACUCCAAGUCCUUAAUAGAAACCCUAGAUUUCUCAAGAGUCCCCAAUCUUGAACGAUUAGUUCUCGAAGGUUGUAUAUCUUUGCAUAAGGUACAUCCGUCUCUUGGAGUUUUGAAUAAACUCAAUUUCUUGAGUUUGAAAAAUUGUGAAAAGCUCAAAAGUCUUCCAAGCAGCAUGUGUGAUUUGAAAUCCCUCGAAACAUUUAUUCUUUCUGGUUGUUCGAGACUCGAAGAUUUUCCUGAGAACUUUGGGAACUUAGAAAUGUUAAAGGAACUUCACGCAGAUGGUAUUCCUGUAAGAGUACUACCCUCCUCUUUUUCGCUCUUGAGAAACCUUGAAAUAUUAUCCUUUAAGGGAUGUAGAGGACCCCCAUCUACCUCAUGGUUGUUGCCAAGAAGAAGUUCAAGUUCUACUGGUUCCAUACUGCAUCAUUUGUCUGAUGUAGGACAACCCUAGGAUGGUUGCCUACACUCAAGGGUAGGUGGGCUAGGGUUUUAUUUUUAGGGUGUAAGGAGGGGAACAAGGAAUAAACUUUAUGGUAGAGAAAAUUAUAAGAUAAGAAAAAGAGAGAAAGAAGAAACAAUGAAGAAAAGAUGGAAAACCUUAGAGUCUCACUAAGGCCUUCUAGGAGUCUCACCUAGAAGAAAAUCAAUGGAGUCUCACCAUUGAGGGUUGCAACCUUGCAAUGAAAGAAAGUAUAAUAUUAUUCAUCAAAAAUUCAUUCCUUUGAUUUACAUUGAUUAGCCUAUUUAUAGGCUUCUCUAAGAAAUCCAAAGUCUACUAGGACUCUAAUAACCUAUUCUACUAGGACUCUAAUAGGACUCUAAUAACCUAUUCUACUAGGACUCUAAUAACCUAUCAUGACUCAAAUUCUAAUUAUAUUAAUCCUACUUAAAGUUUACUUAGGUCUUCCCUUUCUUCCUUGAAUAAACUUUAAAAGGCUUUCCCCCAUCAUUGUCAGGUCUAUAUUCUUUAACAAGGCUAAACCUAGGUUAUUGUAAUUUAUCAGAUGAAACAAACCUUAGCAGUCUUUGCCUCUUAUCUUCAUUGGAAGUGUUAGAUCUAUCUGGGAACAACUUUGUUACUUUGCCAAACAUCAGGGGACUUUCUAGCCUAGAAGGUCUGUUGUUGGAGAAGUGUAAAAGACUGCAAGUACUGCCAGAACUUCCAUCAAGCAUAUAUAGUUUAAUUGCGCAAGAUUGCAUAUCAUUGGAAAAUGCCUCAAAUCAAGUACUCAAGUCACUCUUUCCAACUACAAAGUCCCCGAAGAAAACUUUCAAGGUGGGUUCUAUUUGUAUACGAUGUAUCAUAAUUUUAAUUAUAUAUGCAUAUAUAUAAUUAUUUCGAUUCUAUCUCUCUAACAUCCUAAUAAUUUUGAUUCUACAGCGUAAUUCGGGUGCACACUUGAUAUAUGUGAUGGUUUAUGGGAGUAGAAUACCAGAUUGGAUAAGGUAUCAGAGCUCAGGGUGUGAAGUAGAAGCAGAUCUACCUCCAAAUUGGUAUAAUUCCAACUUGCUGGGUCUUGCUUUGAGCUUUGUCACUUAUGUUUUCGCAUCUAAUGUGAUUAUUCCAGUAUCGUAUACCUUGCGCUAUUCAACAUCCAGUUACAUUGCUAACCGCAUUAGUAUCAGAUUUGAUAAGGAAGGUGUAGGGUUAGAUCACGUGUGGCUACUUUAUAUAAAACUCCCCCUCUUCAGCAAUUGGCAUAAUGGAACUCCCAUAAAUUGGCAUGAAGUGACUCACAUCAGUGUAUCAUUUGGGACUCAGGUCAUGGGGUGGUAUCCUCCGAUUAAGAGGAGUGGGUUUGAUCUAGUGUACAGUAAUGAUCAAGACGUGAAUCCCCCAGUGAUCCAAUUCAGUUCUAUCUCCUCUCCUCCUCUUCCGAACAAGUCAACAGUAGUCCUUAAAGAAAUCCAUAAGAAGGAGGAACCCAGUGGAAGUGAGUUGUCGAAUGUUGAUGGCUCAGAAUCAGACAGCUCUGAUUACCAUACUGCUGAUGAGGAAGAACCCACAACUGCAAAAGAAACUGACCGCUCAGAGGAUCACUCUGAAUCAGAGAUGCGGCCGCAGAAACGUUUGAAGUGCAGGCAUUAUGAGGGCAUCCCUUGAUGAUCGGAGAAACAGACCUAAAACUCUUCCCAUAACAUCAUCUCUUGGUAAUGGUAGGUUGUGUGUUUCUUUUCUUUCUGCCUUUCUUUCUUAAUCUGAUUUUCAACAUUUUUGCUUGGGUAGAUGUCUUAAGAUCAUUUAGAACUGUUUAAAGCGGGAACUAAAAAAUCCCAUAACACUGUUUGAAAUUAGAGUACUCUCACAUAUCGUCGAUUUCAUGCUUAAUCAUCCCGGGAUACACAUGGUUCCAUAUCAUUAGAAUCAUUUGUAUUAAUAAUGCAUUCUCAGUUUACUAAUUGUGGCAACUAAACAGAGUCCCAAAAUCUCUCUCGGGGUUGAUCAUCUUCAAUAGAUACGCAUUGUUUUAGCAGUGAUAAUGUAUUUUGUGAAUUGCAGUCGCAUGAUCUCCAUUCCUGUGAGCAUUGCAAUUAACUAGGGAGAUUAUUUUAGUGGGGGUGAUGCUACAGCACCAGCGAAGGAGCAGAAGCAGAAGCAGAAGAGAGAAAAGAUCUUGUAACGGAACCCAAUCUUCCAUAAACUAACUAUUUUUGGAUUGUUUUUCAUUUCUAGAAAUGGAACGACUAUGUAAAUUAAAGGAUUACUGGAUUCUUCAAUUCAAAGAGUCAUCACAAAUUUGAGUCACUACUCACCUACAUUUGAUUUCAUUCCUUCUACUAUCUCCACCUUGCUCCUUAAUUCUUAUAAUGAUAAAUGUGUUAUAUAAAAUUUUGAUUAUAUUUCAUUUAACCAUUUUUGCAUUAGGGUCACAUCUCUUAGUCGUAUAGAUAUUGUUUACUUUAAUCCAAAGGACUCCCACGAUUUUAAAACGCACCUAUAAGGUUAAAAGGAAUCCAUGCAUAUAUAGAUAUAUCACAUCCAAUAGGGUGAAAAAGCUUUUACUCUCUUACGCCAUCCCUUCCCAUGAAACCCUCUAUUUUGUGCCCACCUAUACCUAUCCUUUCCCUCUUUCUCUCAUGGGCAUAUCCUUUGCAUGAUACACAUUUUAAUCAACAAAUUAUAAUUAAUUUGUUCACUAAAAUAUUUCUUUAGGUUGUAUUUGGUUCCAAAAAUUACUAAGAAAAAAAAAGAAAAAUAUAAAGAAAUAUUAUUUUUUCAUAUUUGGUUAUCGUAUGAAAAAUAUAUAAAAAAUCAAAUAUAAUUAAAAUUAAGUAAAAUUUUUUGUAUGUUUAAAUUAUUUAAUUUUUAUAUCGAUGAGUUAAAAUAAAUAAAGUCAGUUUAAAGUAACAAAUAAAAAUAAAAUUUCAAAUUUUAAUCUAUUUUUUUAUUUUUCUUUAUUGUUUUUUUCUUUUACUUUUUCUUUCUAUUUUCUUCCUCCCAUAUUUUCCCCUAAUUUUCCACCUUAAAAUUGUAUUUUUGUGAUAACUUUCGAAUAUAUUUGACAUAGUGGUUGCCUAGGGUUCAUUCUAAACCAUUUGUUUGGAUUUCGAAUAUAUUUGACAAUUUUUUAAAUCCUUCCUCCCACCUAUACCUAUCCUUUCCCUCUCUCUCACACACACAACCAUCCCGUUCGGGCCAUUCCCAUGAAACCCAUUUUUUCUCUCUUUUCUCAUCCCUCUCACAAAUCACAACCACUUUUUUCUUCCUUUCUUCUCAUCAUUUCAUGUUCUUUAUUUUUUUUCUCUCUCUCUCCCUCUCUUUCUUUUUUCCAUAGCCAUUUUCAUCUGCCCAUCACCGACGCCACCAUCCAUUGUCCGCCGCGACGUGCCACUACCGACGCUGGCGUCACUCUUUCAUGGCUUCCUCCUCUCUCAUCUCAUCAUUUCUCUCUUCUUCUCUCCCUCUAAAAUACCAAGAGCAUGGCAUGGAGGGAAAAUGGGAAGUUCGGGUGAGCUAAACACCAAGGCAACUUGUAGAGUCAUUGCUAUGGCUACUUUCAUCUUGUUUUCAAGACAUGCAUGGGUAUACUCUUUGAUCUCUACACAGUAGAUGUUAGUAAUUUGUGGGUUUUGUUUUCAUUUGAUGUUUUGUUUAUUGAUUUAUAUUUUUGAUGUUGGGUUUGGACUUGUUGGAUUUUGUUUAAUUCUUUUAGGCGUCAAUUAUUAAUGUUAGGCUUGGUUAUUCCAUGCAGACUUGGGCCUGUGCGUAUUGAAUAUUUAGGUUGGGCCUCAUUCCUUGAUUUGAGCCUGGUAGGGAGGUUUUGGACUUGACCUUGGGUUAAUUUUAUCCUUUAUAGUUCAUUUAUGAUUCAUUGUCGUGUUUAGAUCAUUCAAAAAAUUUGUUUUCAACUAUGUUCUUGAAAAUAAUUUCACUAAAAGUAUCAGAAAUCAGAAGGUGUCCAAUUAGUCGAGUUUUAAAAAUAUUGUUGACAAAUUUACCAAUAAAUUCUUAACAGCCCAACCACCCAAAAUAUAAUUGCCUACUUGAAUGAAAUAAAUAAUAAACUUUAAUUUAUACAAAAUAUUUAUUAUUAUAAUUAAUAUUUUAAUAUCCUUCAUUUAAAAAUAAAAUGAAUAAAUAAAUAAAUAAUCAACACAGACUCUUCUUCAAUGAUCGCAUUUAAUUUACUGCAAAUUUUGCUAAGAGUAUAUUAUUCCCAAUUCUCAUUUUCAUACAUAUUCUAUUAUUUUUCUUUUGCAAAUAAUCAAAUAUAGUUAUCUGUUUGUUUGAUUUGUUCAUCAAUUUGGAAUUAUAUGUAUCUUUUUGUUUCCCACUGGAUAAUUUAGGAUUCACAACUCAAAAUUUCUGAAUCCAUCUUCUCCACUCCUCAUAAUGGCUGAUCCUUCUUCUUCUCCCUUUCUUUACAACAGGGCUAUAACGUGCUCUUGAGCUUUGGAAGAGAAGAGAAGACACCCACAAUAGCUUCACUGCUCAUCUCUAUAAUGAGCUUGAAAAGGUGUUUAUACUUAUGAUAUCUUAAUCUAAUUUCUAGAUUUGGACUCAAUUUUUCGUAAUCAUGUUUUUUUUAUUAAAAAAUGAGUUACAUUAGAAUUUUAUUUCUUAUAUUAUUUUUCUUUAAAAACAAAUAAAAAUAAGUAAUGGCUCUAAUUUUUAAAAAUUAAUAUGUUUUUUAAUAAAAAUGAGUUUCACCAUUAAAUGGAAAUACAAGUAAAACAUACAAAUCAUAGUUUCAUUGUUGUUUUCCUCUUAUGAUCUUUUAUGUUUAUAAAGAGAAAUAUGAAAAAAGUAAUACAAAAGGUAAAAUUAAGUCCUUAUACAAAUUCUAAAAACUGAUGACCCCAUAGACUACUUAUCCUUGCCAAUUCACACUGUUCCACAAUUUUGCAUGUUCACAUUGCUCAAAAUAAAACUAUUAUAGAUCAAAAGAUGCGUCUAGGUUCAAAGAGUUUAGCAGAUUUUUAGGAAUGCUAGUUGAAGGGUGAGAUGAAGAAAUCUACUUGUUGCUGAGUAAGUUGAGGAAAAUGGUCGAAAGCAGGACAUCUUGCAAAGGAAGGAAGAAGAAAUCGGUGUCCGUUUCUCACUUUGAAAUGGAGCUUAGAAGGUUGGAUUGUUCGAUUAGUUAUGGAGAUUUUGUGUUCACUUCCAAAAAGGGUGGCAAAAACUAUUGGGAGCUAAUUUUGGUGGAUUGAUGAAGAUCAAAUCCUCUCUUGGAAUGUUAGAGGGCUCAAUGACAGGGAGAAAUAAAAACUGCUUAAGUCAGUGAUUAGGUCUCAGAAGAAAGAUUUGGUUUGUCUUAUUGAGAUGAACAUGCAGGAGAUGUUGUUAAAGGUGGUGAAAAGUCUGGAUGUUGGUAGGUUUUUGGACUAGGGUGUAGUUGAUGCUAGGGGAGUGUCCGGAGACAUCUUGAUUUUUUGGGACAAUAGAGUUUUGGAUCUUCUAGAGCUAAAAUGUGGAGGUUUCACCAUCUCGAGUAGUUUUAGGAAUGUGGAAGAUGGUUUUGUUUGGGUAUUCACAGGUGUCUAUGGUCUAGUCCUCUCAAGGAAGAGAAAAAAAAAAAGACUUUUGGGAUGAGUUGGGUGUAAUUAAAGGUAUGUAGAACGAUCCCUGGUGUGUAAGAGGGGAUUUCAACUCUGUUAGAUUUCCAAGGGAAAUGAGGAAAGAGGUCAGUUUAACGGCAAAGAUGAGAAGAUUCUAUUAAGUCAAUGAGGAACUAAGACUAAAAGAUUUACCCCUUUCUGAUGGUCAGUUCACGUGAUGUGGUGGCUCAAACUCUCAAGCAGCGUCAAGGUUGUAUCAUUUUUUAGUUUUUAAUGAAUGGGAGGACCACUUUUCAAGUGCCUUCCAAUGCGCUCUUCCUAAGAUCGUCUCUGAUCACUAUCCUAUUACACUAGAGGGUGGAGGGGUUAAAAGAGGUAAGACUGUGGACCCACAUUUUUCACGUGCGUCCCCACUCGAUCGGCGAGACUCGCUUUUUAUUACUAGUGAAAAAAUAAUUUUGGAAAAAGUCGGAAUCGCCACUUAUUUUAUUUUUAUUUUAAAGGGAAAAUAAAACAAAAAAGAAAAACCUUAAAAUGUGACUCCAUAAUUUUUGGAAAAAACAUGUCUUUGAAAAACCUGAGUUUAGGUCCAGGGAUCAAGUUACUUAUUGGGAAGGUACCUCUAGGAGGUAGCACCCCUCUAAGCCUAAAAGAGGUCUCUACUUACUAAGUUGGGGGAAGUGUGGCAAUUAAUUAAUUAAUUGAGGAUACCUAGAUAGGCUAAGGUGAUUUCAAAAAUAACAUGCCAAACAUGAUCAAAUUACAAUAAAUGAGAGUUAGGGUGCAUACCUGGACUGCUUCUUAAGCGCCAUCUAAAGACAUCAAUGAUUAGUUUGGAAAAUAAAACGCACAACAUAUAUUUUAUCCUAGUCUCUUAAUCAAACAUGGCAAGCUAAACAAACAAUAAAAAAGAUAUGUUGAAAAAUUUGAGAAUCGCAUACGAAGCAAUACAUAACGAUCAUAUAUAAAGCAAUACAUAAUUUAUGGAAUUAAGAUACGAAGGUAAGAAGCAUACCUGAAUAGCAUGGGUAACUCAUAAUGCUCUUCCACAAGACAUGAGGGGUUAGAUAAUAAAUAAUGAGAUAAAUUCUAGCAUGCUUGUUAUCUAAUUAGCAUAGCAAAAAUUAUCAGAGUAUACUAAUUCAUCAAUUAUCACAUAGUCUUGUAUAUAAUUCCUAAAAAAAUUGAUAUGAUUGUAACAACCAACAAAGGUGGUAGCAAAAAUAAGUUUUGAAUAUAUUUUUUUGUGUAGGGGUUUCACCAAUUCCCCAAUUGAUAUACACAAAUCUAACCUAGAAUUAUCCCAUUUAUGUGGGACCACAAGCUUGGAUUCGUGUUUGAUUUAAAACCAAAAUUUUCAUUAAAAAAACCGAGAAAGAUGCAAACCAAUAAAAAAAAAUGGUUGCAUAUUAUUUUAAGAAAAUGGGGUUUUUGAUUCUAAGGACUCUAAAUGAAUUUUUAAAAUAGGUUUUUAUAAGGAACAUUUUGGGAAAAGUAUUUUAUUUUAAAGGGAAAGACAUUAUUCACAAACAAACGAUUCGCAAAGGUCAAAUAUAGGCAACCCAAAAUAAAACAAAAUCACAAAGUAAAAUUUUCUCAAUAAUCAACAAAACUAAUAAAGGUGAGGGUAGAGGCCAAUCUUCAUGAUUUGCCAAUGGCCUCUAAAAAUUAAUCUUCACAAAAAAAUAUCAAAGCAAUAAACUAAAUGAUUUUAGAUCAGAUAAGAUUAGAAGAUAUUAAUCAGGAGUUAAAAAUGGGGAAUCAAACACAGAAGAAUAAUAAAAAAACUAACAUAAGAUCAAUUAAGCUAAUUAACUAAAAUUUUAGAGAAACAUAUGAACUAAAUUAUGAUUAAUCCAAGAAUGAAAAUUUAUACAUUUAAGAUGAAAAUAAUACAACUUAAGAUCAAUUAAAACAGUUAUCUAAAGCUUUGAAAAAACAUACAAACUAAAAGUGGACCAACCAAGAAAUAAAAUUAACAAGUUCAGAAUAUGAAAAUGACAUGGAACCAAUCAACUUAAACAACCCCAAGUCUUAAAAACUCACGUACUAAAAGAUGAAAUAAAAAAAUAAGAUUAAUAUUGGAAAACAUAAAUUCAAUUGCAUAGGAUCAAUUAAACUAAUAAACUAGAAUUCUAAAACCACUUAAACUAGAUAACAUGAAUCAAAACAAGGAUAAACAAUUUUAAAAGACAUGAGAUUAAUUACAUGGAUCAGCCAAAUUGAUAAACUAAAAUUAAAAAAAAAAAAAAAGAACCUAAACUAAAUAGAUAAAUCAAAACAAAACUAAAGCAAGGCUAAAAACAUGAACUUUAUCAAUAGAAUUGGUUAAAUUAAUGAACUAAGAUUAUAUAAAAAAAAAAAUGCAAACCAAACAAAUAAAUUGCAAUUAAACUAAAACAAGAUCAGAAGCAUAAAUUUUAUCAAUAAAAUUAAUUAAUCUAAUAAACUAAACCAAGAUUAUAAAAAUACAUCAACUAAAAAGAUGGGACAAAACAAAAUCAAAACUCGUUUUAAAAAACAUAAACCUUAUCUAAUAAAAUUAUUUAACUAAUGAAUUAAAAUUACUAUUACAUUCAAACUAAAACUAAACUAAUGUGGAAUUAAAAAAAUAAACUUUACUUUACAAAUUACUUAAACUAAGGAAUUAAAGUCACUAACACACUCGAAUUAAAUCAUAAGCUAAAAUUAAGUUAAUCCGGAAUUUUAAAAAAUAAACUUUACUUCACAAAUUACUUAAACUAAGGAAUAAAAAUCACUAACUCAUUUAAAUUAAAUCAUAAGCUAAAAUUAAGUUAAUCCGAAAUUUAAAAAAAUAAACUUUACUUCACAAAUUAUUUAAACUAAGGAAUUAAAGUCACUAACACAUUCAAAUUAAAUCAUAAACUAAAAUUAAGUUAAUCCAGAAUUUUUAAAAACAAAUUUUAUCUCUCAAAUUAUUUAAACUAAGGAAUUAAAGUCACUAACACAUUCAAAUUAAAUCAUAAACUAAAAUUAAGUUAAUCCGGAAUUUAAAAAAAUAAACUUUACCUCUCAAAUUAUUUAAACUAAGGAAUUAAAGUCACUAACACAUUCAAAUUAAAUCAUAAACCAAAAUUAAGUUGAUCCGGAAUUUAAAAAAAUAAACUUUACUUCACAAAUUACUUAAACUGAGGAAUAAAAAUCACUAACUCAUUUAAAUUAAAUCAUAAACUAAAAUUAAGUUUAAAAAAUAAACUUUACCUCUCGAAUUAUUUAAACUAAGGAAUAAAAAUCAUUAACACAUUCAAAUUAAAUCGUAAACUAAAACUAAAAGGUGGAUUAGAACUAAACUAAUUGAGAAUUUAAAAAACAAAAUAAACUUUAACACAAAGAAUUAAUCAAAAACUGAAAUUUGUUUUAAAAGAAAUCUAGACUAAAUAAGAAUAUUAUAUGGAAAACUAACCUGUGAAGUGAAAGAGAAAAUCCCUUCUUGGUGACUAAGGUGAUAGCCCGGUCUCUGCCUGAAGUCCCUUGCUCUCCUCUAAAGUUCCGCGUGAAAAUUCUUUCUGUCUCUUCCCCUCUGAAAAAAAGUUCCUUAUGCUUGGAUUCUCUCCUUUAUUUAUAAGGCAACCCACUCCUUAUGGAAUAUCUUAUUUCCAUUUUUUCUACAUGCCCGUGGAUAUGGGAAGUCCAUUAUGUGUGGCUCACUUGGACAUUUCCCCAAGGAUGCAGCCGUAUCUUGUUUGGUAAGUGAUCAGAUCCCUUUUAAUCUUCUUUCCAUAUGCUCCCGGAUUCCUUCUUAAAGCAAAUCAUAUGCAGCCCGGAUUGUUCUUAAAGCCGUGAUCUGCCCACUUUCUAUAUGCAGCCCGGAUUCCUUCCAAGUUUCCCUAUUUGGCCGUGAUCUCCUCUCCUUGAUGUCUUCAAUUGUUUCCUUAUCUCCUAGAGCCACCUUUCCUUAAACUCUCCCAAAACGUAUCUUCCAAUCUCAAUAUGGUAUCCAUUCCAUCUCCAAUGAUCAAGCAUCCAAGGAAAUCCCACAUUCCAAAUAUCAAUACCGUGCACAUCUUCCAUACAUUUCCUAUAAAAUUUCAAAUAAAUAAGGACAAGUAAUAAAAUAAUAAUAAUAAUAAUAAUAACAAUAACAAUAAUAAUAAUACUAAAAAAAAUAAAAAUAAAAAUAAAUAAAAAUAUUUACACAAAAUUAUUAAAUUAAAAUAGAUAAGUAAGGACAAGCAUUAUGGAAAAAGUGACAAAAUAAUAAGGAAAUAAAAUAGAUUAAGAAAUAGACAAGAUAAUAAAUAAAAUAAAUAAGAAUUAAAUAAUAAAAAGUCAAGUCAUGCAACUUUAAAAUAAACAAGUCAUGCAAGUCAUGCAAGCCAUACAAAAAAUGCAAUCAUGCAAACAUGCAAAAAAUUGCCUGAAAGGUGACCUAAGUGGGCCUAAAUGAGCCUAAGUAGGCCAAGUGUAUCUAAAUGGGCUUAGGGUGUCUAAAUGGGCCUAGGGUGCCUAAAUGGGCCUAGGGUGCCUAAGUGGGCCUAGGGUGCCUAAGUGGGCCUAGGGUGCCUAAGUGGGCCUAGGGUGCCUAAAUGGGCCUAGGGUGCCUAAAUGGGCUUAAAGUGCCUAGGUGGGUCUAGGGUGCCUAAAUGGGCCUAGGGUGCCUAAAUGGGCCUAAGGUGUCUAAAUGGGCCAAGAGUGCCUAAACGGGCCUAGAGUGUCUAAGUGGGCCUAGAGUGCCUAAGUGGGCCUAGAGUGCCUAAGUGGGCUUAAGGUGCCUAAGUGGGCCUAGGGUGUCUAAGUGGGCCUAGGGUGCCUAAAUGGGCGUAGGGUGUCUAAAUAGGCCUAGGGUGCCUAAAUGAGCCUCGGGUACCUAAAUGGGCCUCAGGUGCUUAAAUGGGCCUUAUGUGCCUAAAUGGGCCUAGGGUGUCUAAAUGAGCCUAAGGUGCCUAAAUGGGCCAAGAGUGCCUAAACGGGCCUAGAGUGCCUAAGUGGGCCUAGAGUGCCUAAGUGGACUUAGGGUGCCUAAAUGGGCCAAGGGUGUCUAAGUGUGCCUAGGGUGUACUAAGUGGGCCUAGGGUGGUGCCUAAUGGGCCAAGUGUAUCUAAAAACUAUCCUAAAAAUGAAUGAAAAGCCUAAGUCUAAAUUAGGGCUGCCAAGGGUCACAAUAAGGGGUCAGAUAAUCCCUAAACCAAAGUCUCCGAGGUGGCUAAAAAAAGGUAAGUAGUGUGAGUAGCUAUGGGCCACCAAGGAACUACUGUAAAGUAUCGAAUAAGUAUCUAAUAGGACAUGUGCUAGGAGGACAAAAUUGAGGGUCUACAAAGACCCAUUUCCGUUUUGAGAAUAUGUGGCUAUUAUCGAAUGGUUUCAAAGUGUUAGUGAGGAAGUGGUGGACCGAGUACUUGAUUACAAGGAGUAGUAGUCAUUGUCUUGAUGAGACAUUGAAGGGCUCUUAAAAAGGAUCUCAUAGUGUGGAAUAAAUAAAUUUUUGGCAACCUCUUCUUUAAAAAAUCAGAAGCCUUUUCUCGAGCUCAUUUUUAGGAUUCCAAGAGAGAGUUAAUCCCCUCUCUAUUAAGGAGGCAAAGGCUAGAAAAGAGGUUGUCAAGGAGUAUAAGAAAUGGUUUUUAUUGGAAGAAGCUUCUUGGAGACAGAAAUCUAGGGAAAUCUGGUUAAAGAAGGGCAACAAAAACACCAGGUUUUUUCACAAGGUGGCCAAUGCUCGGGCAAGAAGGAAUCUAUUAUCCAAGGUGAAAAUUAAUGGGGUUAUUUUAACUAACAAUGAGGAUAUCAAGGCUAAGGUGUGCAGGGCUUACCAAACUCUACUGACUGAAAAUGGGGACUGGAGACCAAGCCUUGGGAAUCUUCAAUUUAGAGUGUUGGAAAAAGAUAGGUCCAGAAGUUUAGAGGAGCCUUUUUGGAAGAAAAGGUGUUUAAAGCCCUUUCCAACCUUUGUGGUGAUAAAAAGUCAAGUCCAGACAACUUCACCAUGGCGUUCUGGCACUUCUGUUAGGAUUUCACAAAAGUUGAGAUUAUAACCCUCUUUGAAUAUUUCUUCUACCUUGGCACAUUCCAAAGGAGUUUAAACUCCACUUUCCUAGUUCAGAAAAAUGGGUGCAGAAGAGUUGAAAGACUUCAGACCGAUUAACCUGGUUGGUGGACUAUACAAGUUGUUUGCCAAAGUCCUGACAAACAAGUUAAAGUCAACCAUGGGGAAGUUGGUUUUAGACAGUCAACAGGCCAUUAUGUGGACCCGCAUUUUUCACGUGCGCCCCCACUCGAUCUGCGAGACUCGCUUUUUAUUUGUGAAAAAUUAAUUUUUGGAAAAAAAGUUGGAGUCGCCACUUUUUUUAUUUUUAUUUUAAAGGGAAAAUAAAACAAGAAAGAAAAACCCUAAAUGUGACUCCAUAAUUUUUGGAAAAAGCAUGUCUUCGAAAAACCCGAGUCUAAGUCCGGGGAUCAGGUUACCUAUUGGGAAGGUACCUUUAAAAGGUAGCACCCCUCUAAGCCCUAAAAAGGUCUCUAUUGACAAAGUUAAGGGGAGUGUGGCAAUUAAUCAGUUAAUUAUAGAUACCUAAGUAGGCUAGGUGAUUCCAAAAAUAGCAUGCCAAACAAGAUCAAAUCACAAUAAAGGAAGGUUAGGGUACGUACCCGGACCGCUUCUCAAGCGCUAUCAUAAAACAUAAGAGAUUAGUUUGGAAAUAUAACACAUAAUAUGUAUUUUAUCAAAGAUGAUCAAACAUCAAGACAAUCAAUUAUGGCAUUAGACAUGGUCAUGAUUCAUGAUAACAUAUAGAAUUUUAGAGUUGAAGGGUAGAAGGAGCGUACCCGUUUAGCGAGCAUCCACACGUCUAUGGGAACAAGGGUAUCUCAACAAUAGAUAUAAAGUGAAUUCAAGUAUUGCAUCAAGAAGAAAAAAAAUCAACAUAUCAAGCAAACAGUAUUGAAGUGAGUGUUAUGAAUGUUGGGCCCCCACCAAAGCCCUAAUUAAUUUCGCAUGAGUUGAUCCCAUAAAUUCCAUGACUUGAAAUUAUGGAGUUUGUUCGUGCUUAAGAAAAUCGAGAAAAAUCAAGAAGAUCGGUUGAAAAUCAAAUAAAAUAGUGAAAGCGCAUGCCAGAAGAAAAAUGGCAGCAAGAGUAUGUUAGAAUAUGGAUUUUAUACCUAGAAAGGAUCUAAGAUGAAUUUUUCAAAGCCAGGAAUGUUUAGUUGAACAAUGAUUAAAAAAUUCAAUUUAAAAAAAUAAGUUCCCAAUCAAGGAAGCAAAUAGAGGAGAAGAUGUGUAUAGCAAGGUUGCCAUGAAGUGAAGCCAGGGAAAUUUUGGAUAGAAGGGACCAAUUCACUGCAAGAGCGUUCAACUGUCAAAUGCUUCAACGAGCCAAGCUAUCCAGGUGGAGUGUUAAUCGUUGGCCACAAAUGCUAUCCGAAUAAGCGUUAUCGAAGGAUCCGGACAUGUCUGUCCAGGGGAAGUUGAAUCGUCCUCAUCUCCCAUCUGGUGGCAGGCGCCGGAUGUGAAAUAUCUGGAGAAGGUGGAACGUCGGUCGGAUAGAAUUGCGGCGGUGAGAUAUCCGGAGAAAGCGGGGUGUCGGCCGGAUAGAAUGGCGGCUAUGAGACAUCCGGGUGGAAUUGGGAUGUUGGCCGGAUAGAAUGGCGGCUGUGAGACAUCCGAAGAAAGUGGGAUGUCAGCCGAAUAUAAUGGCGGCUGUGAGAUAUCCGGAGAAAGUGGGAUGUCUGCCGGAUAGAAUUGCGGCUGUGAAACAUCCGGACAAGGUAGAACGUUGGCUGGGCAGAAUUCCGGAUGUGAGACAUCCGGGUGGAAUUGGGAUGUCGGUCGGAUAGAAUUGUGGUUGUGAGAUAUCCGGAGAAAGUGGGAUGUCGGCCAGAUAGAAUUGUGGCUGUGAGAUAUCCGGAGAAAGUGGGAUGUCGGCCGGAUAGAAUUGUGGCUGUGAAACAUCCGGACAAGGUAGAACGUUGGCCGGGCAGAAUUCCGGAUGUGAGACAUCUGGGUGGAAUUGGGAUGUCUGUCGGAUAGAAUUGCGGCUGUGAGAUAUCCGGAGAAAGUGGGAUGUCGGCCGGAUAGAAUUGCGGCUGUGAAACAUCCGGACAAGGUAGAACGUUGGCCAGGCAGAAUUCCGGAUGUGAGACAUCCGGGUGGAACUAGUGAGAAUUUCCGUCCGGGUGGAAUGAGCGAUGCCACAAACCAAGAACCCUCAAGAACUAUGGUAACCUCUGCAUCUGUUUAACCCCAAGAAAAACCCGUUUUACACAGCCUUUAUCAAGUUCCCAUCUUUCUUGGAAUGCUCAUGGUCUCCAUAUCCAAGAAUACCAAGGUAAAGAGAGGAAAGAAACGUAGAUACAGAAGCACACAAAAAGACCAAGAAAGAAAAGAAAAGAAAAAACAGGGGAAAAGAAGACCACCAGUGGGUAUUUUGAAGCCAGAUUGGGACAUAAAUGGGGGCAAGACCCAUAACAUCAAAUUCAAAGGUAAACCUAUAUUCAGAUUACUUUCAGAGGAAACCAAAGACAUUAAAAGGAAUAUUAAAAUAGCAUAAACAUGCAAGUAAACCAGUCUCAACUAAUCAAAUUGUGGCCCUUGCGUCCACACCAAACGACGAGAAUGAAUCUUCAGAAAACUAAGAAGUCAGGAAAGAUUGAAACCAAAUGGUGAUAUAGCAAAAAUCUGGAAACAUACCUGCACGUUCUCCUCUCCAAUUGCUUGGUUCCAGGCUGCUGCACCUUUUCCCGACUGAAAAAUCUGCUCCCCAAACCUUUUUCCAUCCACCAAUCUUCUCCCUCUCUAUACAUGUUCCAAGUCCCUCUCUUCUAUGCUUCCUCUUCCAAACCCCUCUCCUGCCCCCCAAACCUUUUUUCGUCCGCCAAUCUUCUCCCUCUCUACACGCGUUCCAAGUCCCUCUCUUCUAUGCUUCCUCUUCCAGACCCCUCUCCUGCUUUCUUUUCUCGCUAAUGCCCCACUUGUUCUUUUUCUUUUCUCCUUAUAUUCGUAUCAGCCUCUCAAACUCAAUCUGCUCAAGAGAAUCCACUUUCCUUUCUUCUAUUUCCCUUCAUUUUUUCAAAAAUCAAAAUGCUUCUCUCUUCUCAUGCAGGAUCUUCUCUUUCCAUAUGUAUGCAGCCACAUUAAUUCCUUUUUCCUCACAAAAUAUUUCUCUUACCUUUUUGAGUGCACAUACCUUAGUGAGAGUUGAAUAGCAACCCCUAUUCUCUUAUCAAGUCAUACAAAAAAGUGGGUCUAAAAGUGCCUACUGGGCCAAGUGUGUCUAAGUGGGCCUAGAGCGAUGCCUAAUGGGCCAAGUGUACCUAAAAGCUAUCCUAAAAAUAAACGAGAAAGCUUAAGUCUAAAUUAGGGCUGCCAAGAGUCACAAUAAGGGGUUAGAUAAUCCCUCAACCAAAAUCUCCGAGGUGACUCAGAAAAAGGUAAGUUGUACGAGUAGUAAUAGGCCACCAAGGAACUACCGUGGAGCACUGGAAGUGAAUUUAAAGACAUGUGCUAAAGGGACAAAAUUGAGGGUCUACACAUUAUUCAAGGUAGGCAUAUUUUCGAUGUUGCCCUUAUAGCAAAUGAGGUUGUGGAUUCUAAGUUAAAGGUCAACAUUCCUGGCCUUCUCCUAAAAUUGGACAUUGAAAAGGUGUUUGACCAUGUCAAUUGGGACUAUCUUCUUUUUAUUAUGGCUAAAAUGGGGUUUGGGGAAAGAUGGAUUAGCUAGAUUAGUUAGUGUAUUUCCAUUGCUAGCUUCAGUUUUAAUCAACAGAACUCCAUUCGGCUUUUUCCAUAACACUAGAGGCUUGAGACAAGGGGACCCGUUAUCUCCCUAUUUUUUCAUUUUGGUCAUGGAGACUCUCAAUCAAUUGCUAUCUAGAGCCAGUUGUGGGGACUUCAUUAAGGGGUUUAAGGUGGGAAGAAGUAGUGGGAAGGGAGAGACUUGCUUCAUUUCCCAUUUGCUAAUGACACUCUAAUUUUUUGUAAUGUCAAUAGCAACCAUCUGAGAUACUUGAGUUGGGUGUUUUUGUAGUUUUAGGCAAUCUCGGAUUUAAAAGUGAAUAGAGAUAAAAGUGAGGUUAUUACCAUAAGAAGGUUAGAGUCUUGGGAGGAUGUUGCUUCGGUGAUGGGGUGUAGAGUUGGGAAGCUUCCCACUUCUUAUUUGGGACUCUUUUUGGGUGCCUUUUUCAAGUCUUCAAGGGUAUAGGAUGCAAUGGAUGAGAGAUUUAGAAAAAAAUUGUCUCUAUGGAAGAGGCACUAUCUCUCUAAGGGGGGAAGGCUCACCUUGAUAAAAAGCACUCUAUGAGGUCUUCAAAUUUAUUUCCUUUCUCUCUUUGUUAUUCUGCGGAAGGCGUGUGUAAGACUUGAAAAGAUUCAAAGGGACUUUUUGUGGGGCGGUGGUGUCUUAGAGAAAAAACCCCACUUGGUGAAUUGGAGCUUGGUUUGUACUUAUAAAAGGAGGGGGGCUUGGGAAUUUGUAGACUUGUGGUUCUAAACAAAGCCUUACUUGGGAAGCGGAGUUAGAGAUUUGCAGUAAAGAGUGAUACCUUUUGGAAACAAGUCAUAAUCAACAAAUUUGGGUUAGAGGAAAGAGAGUGGUGUUCGAGAGUAGCAGGGAGAGGCUACGGUGUGGGGGUGUGGAAAGCCAUUAGAAAAGAAUGGAAGAGUAUUUGUUGCAGAUAUCGCUUUAUUGUUGAGAAUGGGAAGAAGGUCAAAUUUUGGAAGGACUUGUGAUGUGAGGACUAAACAUUGAAAGAAGUUUUCCUUAACUUAUACUGGUUGGCUGUUAAUAAAGAUGAGUGGGUGUCAAAUGUUUGGGAAGGGAGUGAGGAGUUGGGUUGUUGGAAUCCUCACUUCCCCAGGCAUUUUAAUGAUUGGGAAUUGGAGAAAGUGGAGGGUUUGUUCCUGAAACGGCAUCCUUUGGUAGUGAGAAGAGAAGUGGGGGAUGUAUUGAGUUGGAAAGAAAGUAGGGAUGACAUUUUCUCUGUUAGAUCCCUCUACCAUUCCUUCACAAGGGCCUCUAGUGAUCCUUUUCCUUAGGAUAUUAUUUGGAGGUCUUGGACUCCAAUGAGAGUACACUUUUUUUCUUAGGAAGCAUCUUGGAACAAAAUUUUAACCCCUUGAUCAGUUCAAAAGAAGGGGAUAGAAUAUGCCGAAUAGGUGCUACUUGUGUAACGAGAAAGAGGACACUAACAAUAAUUUAAUCUUAUUUUGUGAAAAAAUUACAAUGCUUUGGAGUUUGAUUUUCUCCAUUUUUGGUGUGUAGUGGGUUUUGCAUUCUUCAAUUAAAAGGAAUUUGCUUAAUUUGCAUGAUGUCUUUGUGGGUAAGAAGAGGGAGAAGGCUUGGAAGGCUGCCCCUUUAUGUUUAAUGUGCACCUUAUGAAAGGAAAGAAAUGAAAGAGCGUUCAAUGAUAUCGAACAAUCAAACCAAGCUAUAAAACAUUCAUUUUUGUAUACUCUUGUAAAUUAGGUUAGGGUAUUUAUAGAGGAUCAUACUUUGUCUAUGAUUGAUUUUAUAAAUUGACUAUGUCUAGUUAGGAGAAGGUUUUUUGGCUUCUUUGCCUAAUUUCUUGGGCGUUCUGAUUGUAUACUUCAUUUGUACUUUUUUUUUGCCACUUCUAGGCGUUUCUAAUACAAGCUUUAUUUACCUAUAUAUAUAAAAAAAAAUGCUUCCACUCCUUUGCCUUGCUUUUGAAGUAAACUAGUUUUAUUUUGACCAAUUAAUGUCACACGGCUUUUAUCUUACCUUCUAUCCUUCAAGCUUUUGAAGCAAAUAGUUUGACCAAUGUCACACGACUUUGACCAUCUCUUCCAGCCUUCAUUGUGCUCUCGUCCACCUAAAAAUGGGAGCAUUUUCUUUACCUGUUGUAGAAGCAACUUAUUCCCCUCGUUUACUGCAAGUUUUGUAGUAAAAAAGCAUCAUCACCAAACACUUGUCACUGUUUUUAGUUAUUACUAUUGGUCAUGAUUCUCUUGUGUUUAGAUUUCUUAGUCGUAUUCUUCAGUUAUUAUUAUUAUUAUCUGUUUGUUCAUGAAAUAUUCAUCUGUAAUAUCUAAUAUUAUUUUAAUAGAUUGAUCAAAGCACCUUUUUUCUGCAAGUUAAUUAUUUGAAGUUACAGUUGAAGUCUUUAUAACUUACAUCUCUUCGUCUCUCUGCUUCUCGAUAAUGACUUCUUCUGUUUUUUUUCCUUCUCCUUCUUCCUCAUCUCUCUACUUAUUGACAAUGGCUAUAUAGCUCACAUCUCUUCAUCCCUCCACUUUUCCACGAUGGUUUUUUCUUAACUCAACUCCCUUCAUCUCUCUUUCUCAACAAUGGCUUCUUCUUCUUCUCGACAAUAACUUUAUAACUCGUAUCUCUCUACUUCUCAAUAAUGGCUUCUUCUUCUUUACUCAAAUCUCUUCAUCUCUCUCCUUCUUGACGAUGGCUUUUUCUUCUCAAUAAUGGCUUUAUAAUUCAAAUCUCUUCAUUUCUCUACUAAAUUCCUGAUAAUGGUUUUUUCUUAACUUAAAGCUUUUCAUUUCUCUCCUUAUCGACAAUGUCUUCUUCUUCUUAACUCAAAUCUCUUCAUCUCUCUACUUCUCGUAAUGACGUUUUCUUAACUCAAAUUAUCUUCAUCUCUCUCUUUCUCCUAACUCAAAUCUCUUCAUCUCUUUCCAUCUCGACAAUGGCUUCUUCUUCUUCUUCUUCUUCUUCUUCUUCUUCUUCUUCUUCUUCUUCCCACUAUGAUGUCUUUCUCAGUUUUAGAGGUGAAGACACUCGUAAUUCCUUCACUGCUCAUCUCUAUAGGCAGUUGUGCCAGAAGGGAAUCAACGUUUUUAUAGAUGAUGAGAAGCUUAAGGGAGGGCAAGCCAUAACCCCUGCACUUGUUACAGCUAUCGAGAACUCCACUGCUUAUGUCGUUCUUUUAUCAGAAAAUUAUGCGUCAUCUAGCUGGUGUCUAGAGGAGCUUGUGAAUGAGUGCAGGAGAACAAAGGGACAGAGGGUUCUUCCAAUUUUCUAUAAGAUCGAUCCAUCAGAUGUGGGGAAUCAAAGGGGGAAAUUUGGAGAAGCCUUGGCUAAACAUGAAAAGAAUUUGGAGGGUAGGGAGAUAGUGCGGAUUUGGAGGGAUGCUCUUACUAAAGUUGCCAAUUUAUUUGGUUGGGAUUCAAGGAAUUGGUAAGUUUUUAAACCCUGCAUGUAUUUUUAAUAUGUUUCUAUUAUUAUUAUUAUUAUUAUCAUCAUUAUUAUUAAAAUGAAAAUUGGUUAAGGAAAUAUUAUGAAUGUAUUAUGAUUGUCCACUUAGACUUAAAUAUAGACUUUCAUAAUUAUAGAAUUACAUCUAUUAUGUGAAACCUUUUAUCUUUAAGUCCAAUCUAAAAUUUAAAAUAGAAUAUGAAGAUUUAGAUACUUAGGUGGUGUUUGUUUUUUUACUCUAACUCUAAAUAGAACUUUAAUGCUUAGAGUGCAUUUUGUAGUGAUUUUAGGAAGUGUUUUUACUUUUUUCAACACUCAAAAUUUUUUAUCUUUCAAAUAUCAAAAAUACUAAAAACAUUUCUUAAAAUCACGGUCAAAUGCACUCUUAAUAAUGUUAAGUAUUAGACUAUUUAUUUUUGUAAUAUUUUAUAUCUAUUAAAUAUUAAAAAGUAAAGAAAAAUCAAUAUGAUACUUUUUCUAUUUUUAAAAAAUUAAAUAUAUUGGUUUUUGUACCUAACAAAAUGUUUAUAAUAAGUUAUAAAAAGUAAAAAAAAAAAAAACAAUUUAAAAUUAGAAAGAAAAUUAUUUUUAGCAAAAAAUUAAAAAACCAAACACUCUCUUAGAGUUGGCAUAAGUCAAACUCCUUUUUGAAUGUUUUAUUUAAACAGUGAUUAGUAAAUUUCUAAACUUGUUUCCUUCCCGAAAAAUAAGGAAAAGAAAAAAUUACUAAAGAAAAUUGCAAUACUAGCGGUCACCAUUUAAACCAACGGAUCAUGCCUAUUAUUCUUUGUUCUGCAAUCAUGGCAGGAAUGAGGCUAAGCUUAUUGAGAAAAUUGUCCAGAGCAUUUUGGAAGGCAUGGACGAGCCUUUGAGAAAAUCAAUUGAUGAUGGUAGGGACCCAGUGGUACGAUUUUUUUAAGAAAAUGAGCGAAUUUAUUCUGAGAACUUUGAUACAAUCGACUAGUAGAAUAACGGCUCGUACUCAAUUAACUAGUCGCCAUGGUAGUGAUAUCGUGAGAAAUUUGAUACAGUAGCUAAUUCAAUAAGGGCUUCUAUACAAUCAGCUAAUCCCAAUGAUAUCAUGAAAGAUUUGAUAAAAUUAACUGCUGAAAUAAGGGCUCUUAUAGAAUUAAUUGGUCCUGAUGAUGAUGCUAUCGUGAGAGAUUUGACACAAUUAGCUAGUGAAGUAAGUGCUCUUAUGAAAUUAAUUGGUCCCCUCGAUGAUGCUGUCGUGAGAGAUUUGAUGCGAUUAGCUAGUGAAGCGGAGGCUCGUAUACUAUCAAUUAUUCCCAAUGAUAAUGGUAUCAUGAGACGUUUUGUAGGUGAAACUCAUCAGGUACCUUCGCGAGCAGACAAAAGGCUUCAAAGGCGCAUGGAGCAAGUGCGUUCCAUCUCUUCUGACCAUGUUGGAGAAGAUUUGAAGAGACAAGGAAAACUUCUUUCAAAAGUAUCAGGGUGUAAAAAUCUAGGUUUGAAAUUCCUAUAAGGGCAAGUUUUCUGGGUUUAACACGGAGCACUACGAUAAAGGCAAGACUUCGUGCCAAACAAGUCCUUAUUGUUCUUCACUACGUGAAUGAUUCAGUAGUCAGCAACUAUGCCAAUGCCUCCAUAUUGAUUUUAAUACUAGAUUCUUGGAAUCUCCUGUAUGUGCUGCUUUUGCAGUCCUGUGAUGAUGUGUUUCAUGGCAGCCCUGCUACAAUAUUUUGUGAAUCGAAGUUGAGUGAUCUUCGUUCCUGUGAGGUGGCCGCAUUGGCAAUCCACUGAACUGGGGUGAUGGAGGUCGUUCUAGCGGAAGUGGUAGGAGAAGAAGCAGGAAAGGGAAAAACCCUAAGAAUGGAAGAUUUUGAAGAUAGGAGGUGAUAGAUAAGGACUGACUCCCACUGCUUGCCAAGGAGCUGAAGCUUUUGAAUUAAAAGGCAUUUUCUUGUAAUAUAAUAGUAUGUUCUUGGACUGAUUUACAUGCUCUAUUUUGACUUCAUCUGCACGGUUCUAAUCAAUAUUAAAAACUUGAAUAUUGUUUUAUUCUAUAAUUAGCUUCUUUUAUUUAUGAUCAUAUUCACUUAAGUACUACUUUAUUCUCUUAUUCAUGUUCACAUAUUAGUAUUCAUAAGAUUGAAAGGAUCCACUUGAUAGUUUUAUUAGUAUAAGGAAAGUCGCAUUGUUCUCCCAUGUCUUGAAAAAUCAUUUGUAUUACUUCCUAAAAAAGCACUUGAUAGACGAUUCUCUGAAAAAUACUUUCAUUAAAAGCACUUUAGAUAAAAAUACUAUUAAUUAAUCGCACUUUACAUGAAUUUGUGGUUCUAUGGAAAAAUAUAUCCAUGUAUAUUAGAACAAGCAUAAUUAUGAUGCAUAUUAAAAGAAAGGCAUGUUUCCACAGUAGUGGAGAAGAAAGGAAAAGUAGUUUGUAUUUUCUUAAAGGAUUCGUGUGAGCAAGUUGUCCACCAAACCUUAUAAAAAAAUGGUUAAAAUAAAAGUCAUUUAAGAAAAAUAGUUUAUUUCUAAAUAUGCUUUCAUGAGUAAAAGUAGUUUGUAUUUUCCUAAAAGAUGCAUAUGUGAGCAAGUUGUCCACUCAACCUUAUAAAAAACGGUUAACAUAAAAGUACCUUAUAUCAAAAGAUGCCUUCACGAGGAAAAGUAGUUUGUUUUUACCUAAAAGAUCCUCUCCUAUUGUUAGAAGAUUCUUAAAAUAAAAAAAUCCUCCACGAAGUUGCUUCUCACUACCGGGCAACCUCCUCUCAUCUUGUUUUAGUUGUUUCAAGCUCUUGUUAGAAGAUUAUUAAAAUUAUCUUUCUUUAAUAUUGCUGCUCAUGAAUGGAACCUACCAAAAGACUUGUGUGUGGACAAUAUAUUUGUUGUUUUAGGAUUUCUUUUUAAUGAUGAAGCAUUUUCUCAAACCUUGGAAUCAAUCGAGCUAGCCUAGUAUGAAGUCUAAAAAAAUUUGAACAAGCAUAAAUUCUACUUUAACCUAAGGUUGGUUAGGGAAUGCUUGGGUCCUUGUUUUAACCAUCUACAACCUUCAAAAAACAAAUUUGAUAUCAUUCAUUUCAAUUCCUAAUGUCCUCAUGUUUACUCACUUUUUUUUACCAAUCCUACUAUAUAUAUACCCAAGUUGAAAAAGUCCAAACUAACUUGCUAUUGACCUAGGUACCUUUUCAAAAUAUUGGUCCUUAUUUCUCAUUCUAUAAUUAUUAAGGAAAAUAAUUAAAAAUAUGUACAAAAUCAAAAUCAAUCAUGACAUAAUAGAAAUUAUAAAGAACAUGUACACAAUCAAAUGCAUAAUGAAAAAAAAAACUCACUCCAAUUUGCAUUUUAAAAAAUAAGUUAAUUUCAUUCACCUCAUCCAAAGUUUUCACUAAAUACACCUAACCUCUAUCGAUUUGAAAUUUCAUCAAGUUUUCAUAAAUCAACACCCUCUCCAUGUUCCUCAAGUUUUCUUCAUGUUUAGUCAAUGCUUCUCCAAAAUUUCCAUUUGUGAUAUCUUACAUGUGAGGGAUCCACAUUGUAGAAAAUAGGGAGAACCCUCUGUCCCUUGGUUCUCAUGCACUCUAGAAUCUUCACCAGCUCCUCCAAACACCACCUGGAAGAAGCAUAAUUUUCUGACAAAAUGAUGACAGAAAACUUGGAGUUUUCAACAUGGUUUUGAAAACCGAAUCGGACUGGCCGGUCAUGGUUUCGGUCCAAUCAGGUCAUGAAUUAGACCGGAAAUAGGUUGAACUAGGAUCGAACCUAUUGAACUGGUGGUCCGACCAGUUCACCGGACAAACCGGUCUGUUCGAUUAAAAUUUUUUUUUUUUUCAGCAUCAAAACGAUGUCGUUUUGAUGUUUCUGGAGUCAAAACGAUGUCAUUUUGGAGGACCUUCUUCCAAACCCUCCAUCUCCGACAAUUGCCGCCCACCCCCAACGCGCUGCAACAGGCUCCCACCAUCAGCCAUUUCACCUCAAUGGCAACCAAAGCUCUACUUCCUCCUCCAACAAUGGCAGCAAGAGCAUCAAGUUCCUCAAGAAGACUCUCUCCUGCACAGACACUAGUUCAAUGCUUUCUACUGAGGUCGUCCCAAAAGGGUUUCUGGCCGUGUGUGUUGGGAAGGAGCUGAAGAGGUUCAUCAUCCUGACAGAGUAUCUGGGUCACCAAGCAUUUGGGGUUCUGCUGAGGGAAGCCGAAGGAGAAUUCGGGUUUCAGCAGGAGGGUGUGCUCAAGAUCCCAUGUGAAGUGGCUGUGUUUGAGAGGAUCUUGAAGGUGGUGGAAGAGAAGAGAGAUGUGUCCUUCUUGUAUGAGUUUGGAUUGAAUGCGGAGAAGGAGAUGAUUGGUUGUUGUUCAUCCUCAGAUUGUGAGCUCACACCUUCUCACCAUCCUCAAAUGAGUAGGUGAUCAGAAGAUGAGAAGAUCAGAUCAUAUCAGAUUUCCUCAAAUUGUUGCUUGUCCCACCCAAUUAGUGAUUUAAAUUUCAAUUUGUAAUAAUAAAUUGGCCGAGAAGAAAAGAAAUAGGCACCGGUUGUAGAUCGCACAACCCCCCUCCCCGACUAGUGGUAGUAGCUGCUCCAACGAUUUAUUUUUAUAUAAUUUUUUUUUUAUGUUUUAUUACUUUUAUAUUUAUUAUUUAAUGUGUUAUUUUUAUUUAUUGAUCAUAAUUUUGAUAGAUAUCAUAAAAAUUUAGAUAGAAUUUAUUUUUUUAUUUUUUUUAUUUUAAUAAUAUAUAAAAUGAUAAAAUAUAAAUUUAUGACGUCACCGAUUCGACCGUCGGUCCAAUCAGUGAACUGUGAACCGGGAACUUUUCCGGUUCAAUGACCGGUCCGAUUAUAAAAACAUUGAUUUUCAAUAGCCACAACAAGCGCAGAAGCUAUGACAUCACCCCUCUCAAGCUUGUCAUUGUCGAUGAAAGUGUCGACUCCUUUGGUGCAUAGCUCCUUAUAGAGAUGGGCAGUGAAGCUAUUGCAGGUGUCUUAUCCUCUAAAGCUCCGGAAACAUAUCAUAACUAUUAGAAUUUUUGGGUUGUGUAUUAAUGGUGUUACUGACAAGUUUUUGAAGAGUGAUGGAUGUUGGGUUAUUGUUGCUGGUUUAUGCUUCUAAUUUGCUAUGAAUAUCUAUACCUACAUACUUACAUUCAGUUCAUAAAUGCAGUUUCUUCUUUUAUUCUACAGAAAGGUUGCAGUCUUAUAUGUAGUUCUAAGUGUGGUUGUGAGUUUAAACCAGCCAUGAUUCAAAUUAUUUGAUACUUUCUUUUCAGGGAACACACUAUCCAAACUAUUUUCGUAACUUCAAAAAUAUGAGUAAAAUUGGGCUACAGCCAAUAAAACUGAAUGAAUUUCUCAAAUUAAAUCAGAAGUAAACAAGCUUAUAAAGUCAUCUUCAUAGAGAGUAGAUGACAAUUGGAGACUCUUCAUUCUCAAAGUUUUUGAACAUCAUGAAAAAUUAUUCUUGGAAAAUCACUAGUGGAAUGCGAUGACCAGGUCAAAUGCUCACUACCAAUCAAAUAAAAAAUUCAGGAACCAAAAAUACAAAUUCUACUUUGCCUUAUUCUAAAACCUAAUUCAUUAGGUACGUUAUAAUUAUCAAAGGCAUUAAAAUCAAUACCAGCAGGGUUCGAAUCAUAUACUCAGAAAAAUGGUGACAAAUAGUUUAAUGAUAUAUGCAUUGUAUAAAAGUUUUAAUAAGUUUCUACCCAAUUUAUCACAUAAAAGAAACCAACUAGGUUCAUAAAUAACAUCAGACAAGUAUAUAAAAUAAUUCAUAAGAAAGCAAGAUUCCAAGCUCCUGGAAUCGCUGCAUUUGCAAAGGAGUUGCUCUGCAGAAAGCAAGAAAAUUAACUCCCUCCAUGGAAAUUCUGAUUCUGGCCUCUGCAAAAGAGGAACAGCUUGUCACAUGGUGUAACUCAAGAUUCUUAUCAUUUCCACCCAAAGAAAGUUUUGAAUGUUACAAUUUGCCAUGAUUGUCAAACUCGUGUUAAACAAAAUGUAGAAGAACCGGAUUUUAUGACUCAAACAUCAUAAAUGUUAGCAAAUGUUCCUGCAGUUUUUAUCCUAGUACUCAACAUCAUAAGUUUCUAAUGCUUAUAACACAAGCAAAACUACUACUAUUAAAAUUGAAUCAUUCACAGUCAGAAAAGAAGUAUGCUGGGUGAUUCAUCAGGCAACUUGCAUUCAUCACCCAACACCAACUUUGCUUCAUUUUCUUAAUCAAACUCCCCAUAUUCGCCACCAAGUGCUAAAUAAAACUCAACACUGUCAACAACUAAUUUUGAAGGCUUAAUAACAAAUUUCAGCAUAAUCAAAGGUCAGAUUCAAACAAAAAUAUCUGCCUAAAAUAUCAAAGAAUACAAGAAAAAAUGACAAAGAGAAUUUCAGUUGCUUCAAUCAAUAUAUCUCAAUAAGAGAAAAGUUGAUGACUCACCGAAAAGUCAGACAGAGAUAUAAUAUAUAGACAUGAUUGGAGGAGUUCGCUGAGAAUUAUUGACGAAAAAUAUCAUCACUGAUUUUGAGAAUGCAUGACCAAAUCAACAGAAAAGAGAAUUUUAUUGGAAAAAAGACCUGGAUGAUGGUAGUCAUUCUUGAGGACGUUUGCGCUUGAGCUUGAGCGUGGGAUCAUUGGUGGGUCCAUCACUGCAGCCACUAGAACUAGAGUCCAUUCCACUUCGAUUGAGUCCUGCUCUGUCACUGCUUCUCUCAACUACAUUACACCCCCUACUCUUAAGCUGUUUUCUAUUUUGUGGAUGGAUUCCUUCAAGAUCUUCUGCAUAUAUAAGACAUACGCCACACUUCUUCACCACAUUGGAUGCACUUGAGUUGAAUCUGUGGGCUGCUUCAAAAGAAAUCUCAAUGUGAUUCCACUCAUUGGGGUCAUUGAAUUGAAACAACCUCAACUGGGAACACGGUUGAUAACCCAGCCAGACAUGUUCUGACCCAACAAUGUUGCCUGUCCAAUGGAAAUCAUGGCCGAAGUCUUUCAAGUCCCCAUAAUUAAAAACAUCAGAAUUCAAAUGGCAUAUAAUUCUCUCAGGAAGAUGUUCAAGAACAGAGCAGAGAGCAAAUCCCAAGAAGUCAUCACUAUACCAAUUUGUAGGUAGCUGAAUUUUUAUAGAAGAUCCCACAUUCUGAUGCCAGAUCCACUCAGGAAUCCCAGUGCCAGGAAAAACAAUACUAAAUGCAAUAUUUUCAAGCAAUUUCUGCAUCAUAACAGGUGAAGUAGUCACAGAGGAAUCAGAAGCAGUGGAAGACACAUAAAUAUGUGGAAAUAUUUGUAAUUCUGUCCUCUUAUCAUCACUGGAUUGGUCCUCAACUGGUUUGGAGCAAUUAUAGAAUAGGAACUGUAGCCCUUGCAAUGUGCUUACACUUGAUGAGCCUGGCAAAAGAGACGUGCAAUUGUGUGCAUCUAUGUCUCGGACACUUGGUGGAAGCUCCGGAAUUCCUGUGAGACUCUGGCACUGCGCCAAUCGAAGGUCUUUUAGGUUUGUAAGUUCACUGAUGCCAGCAGGUAUGCUUAGAAAAUUGUUCCGGCUUAGAUCUAAUUUCUUCAAUGAGAUUAAGGAGCAAAUACCGUUGGGGAUUGCUCCUUCUAUUAGUUUGCAGUCACUUAUGUCUAAAUUUGAUAAGGACCUGAAACUAGAAAAACUAGAAGGCAAGCGCAAACCAAUCCCAUUUGAACUGUUUCCAUGCAAUAACCAGAAUGAAAAGAGCGAACCCAAUGAGGUAGGUGCUAAUAUUUUACAUCCAGGAUAGAUCAAUACUUGCAGGUUUCUCAAAAGAACAAUUGAGUCAGGAGGUUGUGCUAUAGCAGUUCCAUCUGCAUGGAGCUGUGCUAGACGUUGCAGGCUCCCGAGGUUCCUCGGCAAAUUGUUUAAUUAUGAACAACCAGAGACAAUGAGUGUUUCAAGAGAUGUCAAAUUACACAUGCCGUUUGAAAGACUCAGAAGGUUUUUGCAUUUCCUCAGAUUCAAUAGAACGAGGCCUUUGAGACGUUCAAUUGAUGAGGGUAGCACUUCGAUAGGUGUCCCAUCUAAAAGAAGCUCUUUCAAAUUGUCCAUAUUCUCCGUCACUUCUGGAAAACUUUCAAGUUGUGAACAUCCAGAAAGAGAGAGAUUUUCAAGGGAUUUCAACUUACAAAUACUUGUCGGAAGACUCUUAAGAUUUUUGCACCAUUUCAGAUCCAAUAAAACAAGUCCAGUGAGAUGCCCAAUUGAGGAGGGAAGUUCCUCAAUAGCAGUUGAAGCUAAAUAAAGCUCCAAUAAAUUUUCCAUGUUACCUUGAAUAUUUGGAAACUUCUUGAGCCCUGAGCAGCCAGAGAAAUUGAGAAUUUCAAGCGCUUUCAUGUCGAUGAUGCUUGGAAAACAAAUAAGCUUUUUGCAAUUUUUCAAAUUCAAUAAAAUAAGCUUGUUCAGCUUUCCAAUAGAUGGGUGAACCUCAAGCAAACUUGAACAACCAUCAAGAAUUAGUUUCUCCAGAUUGGGCGCACUCACUGUGAUGUCUGGAAUUUCAAUGAGGUGUUGAGAGCAACUAACUCUUAUAGUAUUUAACUUUUCAAGAAGCUGUAACAGGAAAAAAAAAAAAAAUUACUUUGAUAUAUUUGCUUUCAUGGACUUUAGAGUUUAACCAAAGAAGAAAUAUGAAUAAAUAAUCAAUCAUCAUACCAAGUCACCUUCCCAAAGUCGUUUUAAGCUGCUAUAACACAUGUCAAGUUCAACAAGGUCCUCUGCAUAAAAUCCUAAUGGCAAAGAUUCCAAAGGAUAACCAUGCCAAUGGAGAUAUCUUAGCUCAUGAGAAGGGAAUUCAAAGUCUUUAGAUAGCUUUACUUUAUUAUCCUCCCUCGUAGAAGCAGAUUCUAGAUCCCAAUGGAUUUUGAGUAGUCUAAGAUUCUUCAUCAUUGCAAAAGCUUCAGUAGUAAUAUGUAUCCGCGUCAAUCUAGACAAGUUCAGAAGUAUGCCUUCAAUUGCCUUUGUUCCCUGGUAAACAAGAGUAGAUGAUGAGUAGAGCAAAAUACAUAGAAGUUAAAUAAGACAUGUAACUUAAACAAAAAUGAUAUUGUUGAAGCUUAGGUAUUUUGAAUAACCUUAAACAUGAAAGUAUAUUCAUUUGCAUUUUCUCUUACCAUUUUUCUUGUCAAUACACGAUUUACAACCUCAGGAUAGCACAAUCUGCUCCAUUUUCCAGGGUCUCUAGGACAUUCUUGUCGAACAAUUUCUCGUCCCAUUUGUUGUAACAAAUCAUGCAUCCAUAUCUUGUUGUCUAAAAUAGUUACAAAGCACUUAUCACCAAGGACUCCUAUUCCACUCUCCGCAUAGAAGUUGCAAGCAUCUAGGAUUCUAGUAACAAAAUCUUUCUCCUCUCCAUUAAAGAAGCAAGCAAUAUCUAAGAAUAUCUGUUGUUGUGUGUCAUCUAAUUCAUCAUAACUUCUCUUAAGCACACGUUGGAUUUCUUGGUUAGGUUCCCUCUGCAGUUUUUGCAAUUCACUUUCCCAUUGACGUACUGUCUUGCCAUAUAGGAAACAACCCAAAAUCUUAAGACCUAGCGGAAGACCAUUAACAUAAUGUACAACAGAGUUUGAAAGUGUUUCAUAGUCUUCUUUGGGAUGGUUCUGUUUAAAUGCAUUCCAACAAAAGAGUUCAAUAGCUUCCUUGUGAUCUAAUUUCUUAGCCUCAUAUAAUGCAUCCAUUCCAUGCAGCUCCAACAAAUGCUUAUCUCUAGUUGUUACAAUAAUUCUACUUCCUGGACCAAACCAACUAUGGUCACCAGCUAAGGCUUCCAAUUGGUUCAAAUCGUCAACGUCAUCAAGAACAAGAAGAACCUUUUUAAAGCAUAGUCUGUCUUUUAUCAUAUGGACCCCUUCAUCAACAUUCCUUAUAAAGUUCUUCCUUCUUGGCAAGAUAUCAUGAAGAAGUUGUUUUUGUAAAUAAAGUAGACCUCGACUUUUAGAAUCCUCUCUAACAUUAGCAAUAAAGCUAGCAAUCAUGAACUGGGCACCAAUUCGGUUGUAUAAAACUUUGGCCAUGGUUGUCUUACCAAUUCCUCCAAAUCCAUAGAUCCCAACCAUGCGAACAUCAUUUGAUAAUGGAUCUAUUAUUUGUGGAAAAAUUUCUUCCAUUUCUUCCAAACGAUAAUCCAUCCCGAUGAGGUUCUUGUCAACCUGUAAGAGUUUCUGACUAAAUUUCAUCAAAAUAACGCAAGUGAUAUCCUCAAUAAAAUCUGCCUCAGACUUGCUGCCAGAAAGCACAUACAUAGGUGAGCUAACAGAGCAACAAAUGGUAGAAAACAUGAAGUAAACUUGAUUAUGCUUGGUUUAGUACAAAACAUGAAUUAUGGGCAAUUAGAAUUUGUUAAGGGGAUAAGGAUGAAUUAAUUAGAUGUUUCAAGCACCAUUAGAACACUAUAAGAAGAAGAAAGAAAAAAACCUUCUAAAUGUUGCCCUUUAUUUCAUCUUUGCUAACCUCUACCUAUACUGGAAGAUUACUCAACUCCCUUCUUAGAUGAUGUUGGCCUUUAUUUUAAACUUUACACUCUUCCUUUCAUAAGCUUUUUUUUCAUUAGGUCUAUCCUAAGUUAGCAUUUGUAUGUAUCAGAAAACACUAAAAAAUCAAGAAUAGUUGUUUGCCCAUACUAACAUAUUAACCUUAUAAAAGAAUGGAAAGAAAUAGGAAAUCAAUUAAAUUUUAGAUGGGCUUUGAUAGAUCAAUUUAAUGACUUGAUAACUUAAUUUAAGUCAUUAAUAGAUUAAGUAUGUUUAGCAAAAUAACUUAAUAUUAUAAUUUAAAGUAAAAAAUAAUUUUAAAUAUUAAGUCAAAUUAGGUUCUUUAUAAUCUGCAAUCCCUUUUACCUCAUGUCCUCAUGUUUAGUGAGAGUACUACACAAUCAUAACUCCACAUUCACAACCCAUCUUUUAUAGUAAAUAUUUUUUAACCAUUCUAGAUAUCUACAAUAUAUGUUUAACAAAUAAAUUUAUUAUUUAAGAUUAGUCAAAGUAAAUAGGAGUUAAAAUUAGUGAGAGUAAAUAUGAGUUAAUUUGAUGAUUUAGAAUAAAUUUUAAAUUAACUUUAUCAAACAACCUUAAUACUUAAAGUGAAAAUUAAGUAAUAUAUUUUAAGUUAACAACUUAAGAAUAAUUUAAUACUAAUUCCGUCUAAUCUACUCUAUCUAUCGGAAUUCUCCAUAUUAUAAAUUCACUUUAUUUUUUAGGAUAAGAUGCAUGUGCUGAUUAUAAAUUCUAGUAGAUUUCUGAUUUAUCAUUAUGUAUAGAAAGAUAAAAGGAUACUUGCAAAAGAUUAUGCGGAUCGAACAAGCUAUAUUUACCCAUUCUGUAUAUGCCAUCCAGAAAGAUUGCCCACUUCCCUCAAAGCUGCUCUCAACUUCUGUGUAUACUCCAGAGGAAUUUUUCUUUCAUGAUUGGCCAACGCUUCUCCAUAACUCUCCCCCUGAUUUCGCACAUCGGAAGGAUUCACAUGAUAGAAAACUGGAAAAACUAUUUUUCCCAUUUGUCGCCUCGACUCCAUGAUCUCCUUCAACUCGUCCAAACACCACUUGGAAUGAGCAUAGUUUUUCGAGAGAAUUACGAGAAAGCACCUUGACAUCUCAAUAGCUCUCAAAGUAGUUGGCAAAAUCAUUUCUCCCCUGAUAUAAUCCACUCUAAAGGUUCGAAACCCUUUCUGAUACAAAGCUGCAUAGAGAUGAUCUGUGAAAUUUUGUCUGGUAUCUUGACCCCGAAAACUCAAGAAAACUUCAUAUUCCCAUGGACCAAUACAAGUAGAAGUAGAAGAAGAAGACGCCCUUCGAAGAUCCAUCCCAACAAGCUUCUUCUCAACCUGUAAGAGUUCCCGGUUUAAACUCUUCCAAAUAGUGGAAGUAAUCAUCUCAAUAACAUGUGACUCGGGUCUGCAAGUGGCAAAGCAUGACACAUGGGGUGAGUCAAUGGUUGCAAACACCAGCAAAACAUGAAUUAAGUGCCCUGGAUCAUAUAUGCUUUUAGCUUUACUUAGAAAACACGAUUUAUCAUGCAAAGAAAAGAAGUUAUAGUUACCCAUUCCUUAAACACCAUCCGCUAAUCUUCGCCACAUUCCACAACGCUUCCCUCCACCUCUUUAUCUUCGACAUUCCUUCCUCGUCUGCCGUUCUUUCAUGAUCGGCUAAUGCUUCUCCAUAACUCCCCAUCUGUUUUCGCACAUUGGAGGGGUCCACCUGGUAGAAAAUCGGAAACACUAAUUGUCCCAUACACUGCUUCCACUCCAUGAUCUUUACCAGUUCAUCCAAACACCACCUAGAACGGGCAUAGUUUUUGGACAGAAUUACGACACAAAUCCUUGACUCUUCAAUAGCUUUUAAAAGUUCUGCUGCAAUCUCUUCUCCUCUUCGUAGCUCCUCAUCAUCUCUAAAGGUACGAAUCCCUUUCUGAUCCAAAGCUCUGUAGAGAUGAUCUGUAAAAUUAUGGCGAGUAUCUUCACCCAUAAAGCUCAAGAAAACAUCGUAAUUCCAUACACGAGUAGAAAUAGAAGAAGAAGAAGAAGAAGCUCUUUGACUUUGAGGGUCUGCAAAAGCCAUCCACUCUUUACUGUGAGAACUCACUCAACUUAACUUAAAUGGCAGGCAAUUUCUUCAUAAAAGGCGGAAAGAAAUGGCAGGAAAACACUGGUAGGUAGAAAGACAGCGAUGAACUCUGCCUUGGAAGGUCGGGAUGCUGUGUGCUAAAAUUGUUGUGAAGGUCUCCACUGUAUCCCGAAUCUUUUCUAUUGUUUACAAAUUAUUGUCCAUGUAUAUAUCAAAUAUAAAAAUGGAUUACAAUAUUUUUAAUUAUUAUUUUAUUUUAAAUGCAAGAAAGAAGUUUGAUUCCAGCUACCAUCCAUCCACAUACGAUGCCUAAAAAAAAAAUUGAUUGGGUUUAGCUUGACACAUGGGUCUGAACAAACCGGCUUUAGCAUUCAGGUUCUCAUGCCAUAUAUCCAUCAUCGUCUCCGAGGAAGAAAGAAAGCCAUGAAAUCUAGUUUAAAUGAAAUUAACCUUAAAGUAAGUGUUUAGUUUAGAUGUUUGCUAAAAAAUUAAUUUAAAACUUCAUCCGGUGAUAUGAAAUUUAAAUUUUAGAGUUUAUUUACAAAUUAUAAUUUAAAACCAAUUUAUUUUUAAAUAAUUCAGUUCUCUUGGGUUUUGUUUUAUAAAUUCAAUUUAUAUGACAUUAAUUUAAUUUAUAUUAUUAUUGAUUCAAUCAUGGCAGGUGGGGAUGGAGGACGAAAUUUCCUUCCAUUGACCUAAGAAAGAUUCAAGUCUUUUCCUCCCAAUAUUUAAAGACUCAUUGGGAUAUGUAGAUGACAAUGAGAAGGGAAUUAAUUGACUCAUUUUCUAAAAGGAGACACCACAAAAGCCCAAAGUUUAAAAUAAAGUAGCCUUUAUGCUGCCCAAACAAUUCACUACGUAUGACUAGCUCUUUCAACUACUACCACUAUAUGUUUUUAUCAUAAAUUAAUUUGUGGUUGAAAAAGUAUUUUAUGGUGAAAUAAUUUUUUUAUUAAAAAUUAUUAUGGUUAAAAAAAUAUUUUGGGGUAAAAAAGUCUUUUUCAUUAAAAAUUAUUUGUGGGGAUGCUUGAUAUAAGUUGGUGAGUAAUUAUUCUUAGGGUUUUGCUUUGAAAAAACUUGUGUAUAAAAUGAUUAUCUAGGAAUUAUAUUAAGUGAUUAUCUAUAUUUGUCACUUUUAAACUUUAAUAAAAAUUUAGUAAAAGAAUAGUUAUAAUUUAUUUAAUGUUACUAAAGUUAUAACUCUAAGACUGUAAAAAAAUAUUUUUGAAAUACAUUUGUGAAAGUGUUCAUUGGUAAAUUAGAAUAUAGAAUCUACUCUUAAUUUAAAAUAGUAUUAUUAAUUUCUUUGAUUGUAAUUAUAUUGUUAGUUUUUAAUUUAUAGUUGAACUUGUAUAUGCAAAGGAUUGGGUUAAACAUUGAUAGUAUUUUUUUAAUUCAUAAAUUAUUACAAUGUUAAAAUAAAUUUAAAAAUAAAUAAAUAAUGUAAAUUUUGAGGAGGGUACGAAAAAUGUGAUGAAAGUACAAAGAAUAUAAAAAUAGUAUAGGAAAUGUGAAGAAAGUACGAAGAAUUUAAGGAACGUACAAUGAAUGUAACGAGUGUAAGAAGAAUAUGAAGAAUAUACAAAAAAAAUGUGAGAAAAGAACGAAAAAUGUGAGGAAUGGAUAAAAAAUGUGAGGAAUUGAUAAAAUAAUGUGAAGAUAGUAUGAAGAAUGUGAGGAAUGUAUAAAAAAAAUGUAAGAAUGGUAUAAAAAAAUGUGAAAAUGGUAGGAAAGAAUAUGAAGUGAGUACGAAAAAUGGGAGAAAUAUACAAAAAAUGUGAGGAGUGUAAAGAUAAUAUGAGAAGGUAUAGAGAAUGUGAAAAUGACACAAAAAUGUGAGAAGAGUACUAAAAAUAUAUGGUAUGAAAAAACAAAGAGAUAUAUGUUCUUUUCUUAAAUGCGAUGUUGGAGUUAUAUUUUUUUUUAAUUAAAAUGUUUAAAAAUCUUAUAUUUGUUCUUAUCUUUUUAAAAAAUAUUUUAAUAAGAAAAAUGAUAUGGUUCAAAGCAAGCUUGAAAAUGACAUGUACAAAUUUCAAGUCUCCGAAUCAACUAAUUCUCAUUCAAAUUGUCAUUCUCAUGAGCCUUUUAAUCAUCCUAAUGUAGCAACUAAUAAUGCUAUUAUAGUACCUAUGCUACCAACUCUCCUAAAAGCAAUUGUUGUUAGGAAAGGUGUACCCUAACCUUAUAGUGCAUUCACCCAAGCGCCACACAAGGGGAAUUGAUGGAUGCAGCCAACCCUCCGAACUACUAACAAUCCCCCUCCCACCCCCAGCGACACCCCUGGGGUUCAAACCCAUGACCUCGGCUCUGAUACCACUUAUAGGACCUCAGACGCUACCAACUCUCCUAAAAGCAAUUGCUGUUAGGAAAGACGCAUACCCUAGCCUUAUAGUGCAUUCACCCAAGCGCCCACGGCGAACACAAGAGGAGUUGAUGGACGCGACCAACCCUUCACUCUGCCAACAACUAUCUCUAAGAUUUUUUAUAUUUGACAUUCUUGUUUAGGUCACCCUUCUAUUGAGAUUGUAAAGAAGGUGUUCUCACUCUCUAUUUUCUUAGUUGUAUCGUUUGCGUACAAAGGGUCAAGCUUUGUGAUUACUACUCAAAAAGUGCUAUUUCAUAGCUUGUAAUUAACUCUUUUAAACACUUUUGAGUAGUAGUUAUCACCUUUUAACCCAAUUAACAUAUUAAGGACCCUUGCAAUCAAUUCUAAUCAAAUUGUGUUAAGUUUUGGUGUUUUGAUAGCUUUUUGAUCACCAAAGCAAUCCGAGAUUGAGAAGAGUUCUUUGGAAUCCAUGGCAAAAGAUGUCCGGACAGGGCGUCCGGACACACCAUCGGAGGGCGGCGGAACGUGGGUUGUGGCAGGCUAUUGGAAUGACGUAGCAAGGCUUGUGCGCUUUAGCAAUGAUCCUGACAACAUAUCCGGAAUUCUGCUCCGUCGAUAUUACACCCGGAUGUCUCACAUCCGGAAUUCUGCUCCACCGACAUUCCACCCGGAUGUAUCACAUCCGGAAUUCUUCUCCGCCGACAUUCCAUCCGGAUGUCUCACAUCCGGAAUUCUGACGCCGGAUGGGAAAGGAGGGCGUUUCAACUUCCCCGGUCAGACAUAUCCGGAUCUUUUGAUAGCGCUUACCUGGAGAGUUUCGCAGCCAUUUUGCAUAGUGCCGCGGUGUUCUCCUGAAGCUUCCAAAUAUUUGCAACCGACAUUUUGAGAUAUUUUGCUUUAGAUAUUUGAUGUCUAAAUCCCCAAACUCUUCUUAUAACCCACCAAUUAUAGGAUUCCUUAGUUCUUAAGUUUGGAAAAAGGGUGAAUAACCCCUUAUAUAUAGUUUGUAAUCUUCUUUAGAAAAUAUCCAUCUCUCGGGAGCUUGUUCUCAGAGACGGAUCCUUUGUACAGUUUUGCAAGGAAGUAAAAUACAGAGCCUUUGCUCUGCCUUACCUUCUCGUUUUAAUUGUUUUGUAUAUUAUUUACUUUUUAUUUCUAGCCAAUCAAACUCUGAGGAUUUUUCCUCAGAGGAUGAGAGGCUAGGCUCUUCGUCUCUUGGAGUGAAGAAAGCCGGGUAAGUUUCCAUAUGCAUAAAUUGGAAGUUUUGUUGUUUUAGUUUUUAAUGAAGAAAAAGUGUGACCCGUUAAUGGUUUUUAUCUUUUUAGUUAACUUAAAACGCCUUUAAAUCACCUGGGCCAACACUUGAUAAGGCAAGUGAUCUCCAUCCAUUGAGAUGCACUAGUUUAUCUCUUGCGAGCCUUUGGGAAGUGGUUUAAAGGUAGGAUUUUCUAGAAUAGCCAACACUUGGUAAGCUUUUGGACUCCAAGGAGACAUCCAUUAGUUAUCUCUUGCGAGCUUUUGACGGGUAAUCCAAGGUUAAAGAUCACCUUGAAUGGUAAAUGCUAGGUGAGAGGCAUGAGCCAUUGCAAGGUGCAUCAGUGAGAGGGAUUUAAUGUUUGAACCCAUUAAAAGGAAGCAUCUGUACCACACCGGUUAGAGAAUUAACUAUAUGUUAAUUCUCUAAAGCGAGGAAAAGAAACAAGUGACCGGAACUCCCUUUUUGUACAAGGAAUCUAAGCCCAGUGAUCUAAACUCCAAGAAACACUUUUCUUUGUAAUUAAAAUCAGUUACUAUUAUUUUUGGUUAGCUUAAAACCAAUCCUUUUUCAAACAUCUUUAUGUUUUCUUUUAAAGCUAACCUUGAAAUGAAAAGGCACCAAUUCAUCUUUGAAUUAAUAUCAAUUGUGAAAUGAAAACCCAUCCUAGUGAACGAUCCUAGAGCCACUAUGCUAUAGUAGCUUUGUCUUUGCUACCCUAGUUCAUGGUGUAAUAGGUUAUAAAUUUUGUUGAUUACUCCCUGAGAACUACAAUCAAGGGAUACCAGCUGGACACGAAUCAGCUAAGACACCAAUUGGGAACGAAUCACUUUGUCAAUCAAUAUUUGUUCACUUCAAAAAUCUUGUAGAAAACCACUUUAACAUUAAGAUAAAAUUAUACCCAAUUGAUGGUAGGGAUGAGUUUAAACCUUCUCAUUCUUAGUUAAUCAUGACAUUAAACAUUGAUUGUCUUGUCCCAAAACUCCAUAGUAGAAGGCUCAGGUAGUAUGUAAGAAUCAUUAUGUUGUAGGUUAGCCUUGUUUGCUCAAGCAUUUAUGCCUUUCAAAUUUUGGGUGUAUGCAUUUCAUGUUGCUAUUUUUCUCAUAAGAAAAAUGGCUUCUUAUAUGUUAAACUUUCAAUCUCCCUAUCAGGUUCUUUUUAGAUCAAUUCUUGAUUAUUCUUCCUUUAAAUCCUUUGGGUGUCUUUGUAAUCGCUUUAUUCAUCUUUUUAAUAAAUAGAAACUACAAUAUUGGUCUACUAAAUGUCUUUUUGUCAGUUAUCACACUCCUCACAAAAUGUAUCUUUGUCUUUAUUAAACCUUUGAUAAAGUUUACAUCACUCAUCAUGUUGUUUUUGAUGAAUCUUGUUUUCUUGUGGUUGUAGGCACUCUCCCUAGUGUUUCUACUAACUCAUCUCCUUUCCUUAUUUUUCCACUUGCUUUUAUUCAUGUCUUUUUCUUCUCCUUCUCAUGGUUCCUUCAAUACUUUACAUUCUACUCAUCAUUCUUCUUUUGUUUCCCCUAUGUCAUCCCCUAUUCAACUUGUGGUUUUGGACUCUAAGAUGCAUCCAUUACCUCCAACUAUUAAUACUCAUCCUACGCUCACUCAUGUCAAAGCUGGUGUUUUUAAACCUAAGACCUAACAAGCUAAUGCUUCCAUUGAGUUAUCUAAUUUUUAGCAAUUUAUCAAGGAUCUUCAUUGGUAAAAAGCUAUGGAAACUAAUUAUGAUGCCUUAAUGGAGAAUGAUACCCAUACACUAGUUUUUCUACAUUCAAAAGCUAAUAUUGUUGGUUGCAAGUAGGUUUAUAAGUUCAAGUACAAUCCUAAUGGCAACAUUGAACAUUUUAAGUCAUGCUUGAUUGCCAAGGGAUUUCAUCAAACACCUGCCAUUGACUGGUUUUAGUCCAGUGGUCAAAGUGGCUACUAUUUGAAUUUUUCUCAUGAUUACUCUCUCAUUUGGUUGGAUGAUUUGCCAAUUAGAUGUGCAUAAUGCCUUUUUAUAUGGUGAUUUACAUGAGCAAGUAUUUAUAUCCUAGCCAUAAGGAUUUUUUCAUCCCAGUAUCUUGACUAUGUUUGCAAGCUUAACAAAGCUCUCUAUGACCUCAAAUAGGCUCCUCAUGCCUGGUUCACCAAAUUAAGAUUGGCCUUAAGCAGCUUGGGUUUUAGAUGUGUAAGGGAUGAUAAUUUAAUGUUUGUUUAUUAUUUAGCCUCAUAUCUUAUCAUUAUCUUGGUCUAUGUUAAUGGUAUAUUAGUUAUUGGUAGUAGCUCUACUCAAGACCCUCAAUUGAUUGUUUUCUUUAUUGCUUCCUUUCUUUAUAUGAUCUUGGUGUUAUCAAUUAUUUUUUUGGUGUUGAGGUCACUCAUACAUUUGGAGCCCUUCUUCUUACUCAACAUAAGUACAUUAAGGACUUGCUUAAUUGCACAAAGAUUCUCACUUGUAAACCAACUGCUACUCCUAGUUGUGUUAGUCCAACCUUGCCUCAAUUUGAUACUUGAUAAGUCCAUUUAGAGCAACUUAUUAUCUAUGAUUUAACUUGAUAUUUCAUUAGUUUAAGAGUAAUUUUAUCUCAACAAUCAUUAUUUUUAUUGUUUUAGGUCUCAAAUAGCCAAGAGUAUGAAAAGUGAGCAAUAUGAGGCAAAAUUGGAAGAAAAAAUGAAGUUUGACGGCCUCUUACGUGACAAUUUGCGUAACUCACCCGAGAAGAAAGCGCCAUUGCGGGAAGGACUUAAGCGCCACGGCGUACGCAUGUGGAAAAUCAUAGUUGGGGACUCGAGACAAAACCGUCGCAAUUGGAGAAGCUUGUCCGUAGCGGCGCCCAAAGGAAUUUCAGAAAUCCUAAGAACCCGAGACUAAAGCGCCACGGCGGGAGACACUGAGCGCCACGACCUGAUAUUUAAAAUUUGAAAAUUAUUCGUCCUUAUCUCAUUCUGUUCAGAUCAGAAUUAGGUGGGACAUCAGUUUACGAUAUUGGGGCUAUAAAUAGACGAAAGUAGGGUUUAUUUGGGGAUUUUGGAGACUUGGAAGAAUGAGGAUCUUGAAGACCUAGGAGAAGAGAGAGCUUGGAGAACAAGAAGGAAAUUUGUAGAUUUUCUUCUAUUUGUCUGGUUUAUUCUUCCAUUUUCUUUAUGAUUGUAAUUCAAGAUGUUUGUUCUUCAUCUUAAGAUGAACUAAUUUCCUUUGUCUAGGGCUGAGAUGUAGCUCAAUCACGAUUUUUGUUUUUGAUUGGUUUAAAUUAAUUCUCUGUUUUGCAUCAAUUUAUUUGUGUAUCUAUUCUGCGCUUAAUGCUCUCAAUUCUUAAGGGCCCAAGUUUUGAUUGAUUUUAUGAUUUAGGUUGAUAACGAGAGUUAGAAUCUAAAUUAAAUCCAUAGAAUAGAUUACGUUAGAAUGAAUGAAUAGUAGAGAUACAUUACCAUGUUUUAAGAGAUUAAUAGUUAAAUCUAUAAUAAUUCCAUAGAUCGUAAUUACUCCUUUAGACUUAAAUUCACAUAAAGAUAUGUUAGGUUAGUAAUUUAAGGAGCAAUCUGAUACAUUUUGAGAGAAAAUAUUGGUUGGCUUAGGGAAAUAAAUCUCCAAAUAAAGCAUAACAGGAAUUAGGUCAAGCAAUCAAUUGCAUGAAAAGUGUUUGUAGUGAAAUCAAAAGCCCUAGAUCGUUUAAAUCAUAAGAGUUUGAAUUUAUUUUCUUUAAUUGUUUAAGUUGUUUUCUUUUACAACUUUAAAUAUUUGGUUGAUCAAAUAGUAAUAGAAAUAAUAAAUUUUAGUAAUUAGUAGCAUAGUCCUUGUGGGUUCGAUAUCCGUACUUAGGUACAAUUAUAUCACUUGAACAAUUCGUUUACUUACGAACCAACACAUCAAGUUUUUGGCGCCGUUGUCGGGGACUAUUUGUUACUAAUAUUAAUUCCAGUUAUUUAUGUGCUAAUUUGAUUUAUUUUCUUUUUAUUCUCACUCAAUUGUUUUUCUUUUUUUAGGUUUUCUUAAUGUGUGAGACGUACAAGGAGUCUGAACUUAGUACCAAUCGACCUUGAUAUCAACAAAACACUACGAAAACUAAAUCGAAAACGCAAGCAACAAGUAAUUCAAGAGGUUCCUGCAAUGGGGGAUGAGAAUCAUGUUGAUAAUGGAGUCCCAAACAGGGUACUCAAGGAUUAUUAUGUUCCUAAUGUGGGUGUCUCAAGCAUUCGAAGGCCACCCAUCCAAGCUAACAAUUUUGAGAUCAAACCGGUAAUUAUUCAAAUGAUUCAAUCUUCGAUUCAAUUUGGAGGAUUGGCCAAUGAUGAUCCUAAUCUACAUAUUGCAAAUUUCUUAGAAAUUUGUGAUACCUUCAAGCAUAAUGGUGUGACCGAUGAUGCAAUAAGACUUCGAUUGUUUCCAUUCUCUCUAAAUAACAAGGCUAAGGCAUGGUUAAUUUCAUUACCUCCGGGGACAAUCACUACAUGGGAUGGACUAGUUAACGCUUUUCUUACUAAAUCCUUCCCACCAGAAAAAUCUGCAAAAAUGAGGAAUGAUAUAACUAACUUUUUACAGCAAAAUCAAGAGUCUCUUUAUGAAGCUUGGGAAAGGUUCAAAGAUCUUUUAAGAAAGUGCCCACACCAUGGCUUACCAAUGUGGAUGCAAGUGCAAACGUUCUACAAUAGUUUGCACCCUAAUACUCAAACCAUGGUGGAUGCAGCAAGCGGAGGAGCUUUUAUUAAUAAGACAUCGGAUGAGGGAUAUCAACUUAUAGAAGUGAUGGCUAGCAACAAUUUCUUGAAGUCUACGGAUAGAAAUGCACAAAAGAGGACAGUCGGGGUUCAUGAUAUCGAUGCUUUUAAUAAUUUGGCUGCUCAAGUUGCAAUUUUAAAUAAUAAUUUUAAGAAACUGAAUGUUGCUACUGUUUCUAAUCUAGUUUGUGAAAAUUGUGCAGGUAAUCAUCAUAACUUAGAGUGUCAAGUUGGAGGCCCAUAUGAAGCAAAUCCAUCCAAACAAGUGAACUAUGUGACCAAUAAUCAACGUCAAUACAAUCCCAACUCCAAUUAUUUCAACCAAGGGUGGAGGAAUCAUCCGAACUUCUCAUGGAGUAACAACACUCAUGUGCAAAAACCACCUUCCGGUUUCCAAUCUCAAGAUAAUAAGCCAAACUUGGAAGAAGUUUUCACCCAAUUUAUACAAAAGACUAACGAUUUUAUUGAUGAUACUAAAGCAAAUUUCAGGAACCAAGGUGCAAGUAUUCGCAACCUUGAGCAUCAAGUGAGGGAGAUUUCUAAGUUAUUGACGGAGAUAACACAAAGAGCACUUCCUAGUAUCACAAAGACGAAUCCUAAGGAGCAUGUAAAGGUCAUAACUCUUAGAAGUGGGAAGUAGUUAGAACAAUCAAAGGAAGCCGAGUAGCAAGCAAAUAAGGAGAAUACUUCAGUUCCCAAGGAACAAGAUGCUUCCACUUCUAUAUAGCCAUCUAUUCCAAAACCAUCAUCUAAUGCCAUUCUUUUUCCUCAAAGGCUGAAAAAACAAAAUUUAGAUAAGCAAUUUUCUAAAUUUAUUGCUAUUUUUAAGAUCUUACAUAUCAAUCUUCCUUUUGUAGAUAUGCUGGAGCAAAUGCCGAAAUAUGCUAAAUUCUUAAAGGAGGUGUUAUCAAAUAAGAGGAAAUUGAUGGACAAUGAGAAUGUGAUGCUCACUGAAGAGUGCAACACCAUUCUUCAAAGGAAGCUUCCUCCUAAGCUAAAAGAUCCAGGGAGUUUCACUAUACCUUGCACUAUUGGUGAUUUUUAUUUUGAUAAAGUUUUAUGUGAUCUAGGUGCAAGUGUUAAUUCGAUGCCUCUUUCUAUUUUCAAGAAACUUGGACUAAGGGAAGUAAACCCUACUACGGUAUGUUUGCAGCUUGCGGAUAGAUCUAUCAAACAUCCAAGAGGCAUUAUUGAGGAUGUUUUGUUAAAAGUGGAUAAGUUUAUAUUUUUGGCUGAUUUUAUUGUAUUAGAUAUGGAAGAAGACCGGGAUGUUCCACUUAUAUUAGGAAGACCUUUUCUUGCUACAGAUAGAACUCUUAUAGAUUUUCAUCAAGGUAAGUUGAUUUUAAGGGUUCAAGAUGAAAAAGUUACGUUUAAUGUUUUUGAGGCUAUGAAAUUUCCAUCUGAUAUUGAUGCAUGCUUUGCAAUCAGUGUUUUUGAUAGGGUGGUAGCUAAAACAUUUCAUGAAACUUUUCCCACUUCACCUUUAGAAAAUUGUAUAAUGAAUGGUAGAAAUUUAGGAACUCUUUGUGAUGAUGAUGAUGAUAUAAUUGAAUGUGUUAAUAAUCUUGAUGCAUUGCUAACUUAUGAGUUUCCAAGAAAGUUAAAAUUUGAGGAAUUAGAGGCCAUUCAUGUUAACAAUCAUACAUUAAAGAAGAAGCUUCCUAAACUUGAACUUAAAUUGUUGCCAUCUCACCUCAGGUAUGCUUUCUUAAAAGAUUCUAGUUAAUAUCCUUUUAUUAUUAACUCUUCUUUGAAUGAUUUGGAGGAAUAAAAACUAUUAAGAGUUUUGAGGGAGCAUAAGAAAGCUAUUGGAUGGACUAUUGAUGACAUUAAUGGAAUAAGCCCAUCGAUUUGUAUGCAUAAGAUCCUAUUUGAAGAAAGCUACAAGCCAACAGUUCAACCACAACGAAAAUUAAAUCCAUCUAUGCAAGAAAUGGUUAAGAAAGAGGUUGUGAAGCUUUUGGAUGCAGGUAUAAUUUACCCAAUCUCGGAUAGUACAUGGGUAAGUCCAAUUCAAGUAGUUCCUAAGAAGGGAGGUAUAACUGUAGUGAAGAAUGAUAAUAACGAACUUAUCCCCACAAGAAUGAUAACCGGAAGCUUAAUGAUGCCACAAGAAAUGAUCACUUUCCUUUACCCUUCAUUAACCAAAUGGUGGAGAGACUUUCCGGUCAUGAUUAUUAUUGUUUUCUAGAUGGAUAUUCAGGAUACAAUCAAAUCCCCAUAGCACCGGAAGAUCAAGAGAAGACCACUUUUACAUGCUCAUAUGGCACUUUUGCUUACUGACGAAUGCCAUUCGAUUUAUGCAACACUCCGGCCACUUUUCAACGUUGCAUGAUGUCCAUUUUCUCUGAUAUGAUUGAAAAAUGCAUUGAAGUGUUUAUGGAUGAUUUUUAUGUUUUUGGUUCUUUUUUUUAUGAUUGCCUUUCUAAUCUUUCUUUGGUUUUGUAGCGAUGUGUUGACACAAACUUGGUUUUAAAUUGGGAAAAAUGCCAUUUUAUGGUAAGAGAAGGUAUUGUGUUAGGACAUCGAAUUUCUGUAAAAGGAAUUGAGGUGGAUCGUGCUAAGAUAGAUUUGAUUGAGAAGUUGACACCACCUACAAAUGUAAAGGGAGUUAGAAGUUUUCUUGGUCAUGCAGGAUUUUAUAGAAGAUUCAUUAAGGACUUUUCAAAAAAUUUCUAAACCUCUUUGUGAUUUAUUGGCUAAGGAUGCAGUUUUUGAUUUUUCUAAAGAAUGUUUAAAUGCUUUUGAAACUCUUAAGUCUAAACUGAUAUCUUCUCCUAUUAUUGUUGCACCUGAUUGGGAAUUGUCUUUACAUUGAUGUGUGAUGCUAGUGACUUUGCUAUAGGUGCUAUUUUAGGGCAACGGAAAAGUAAAAUUUUUCACGUGAUUUAUUUUGCUAGCAAGGUUUUAACAGAGGGUCAAGUAAAUUAUGCAACCACUGAUAAAGAACUUUUAGCAAUUGUUUAUGCUUUUGACAAAUUUCGAUCUUAUUUGAUAGGGUCUAAGGUGAUUGUCUAUACUGACCAUUCAACUUUGAGGUAUUUAUUUGCUAAGAAAAAGGCAAAGCCAAGGCUACUUUGUUGGAUCUUGCUAAUACAAGAAUUUGACUUGGAAAUCAAAGACAAGAAAGGAACUGAGAAUUUAGUUGCAGAUCAUCUUUCUCGGAUGAAUCAUGUGGAGCCUAAUGAAGAAGUUGAUGAUGAUAUUAAUGAAAGAUUUCCUGAUGAGCAACUUUUUGCAGUUGAAAAAGCGUCAUGGUAUGCAGACAUUGUUAACUAUUUGGCUAAGAAGAUUUUGCCUCCCAAGCUUACUUAUCAAAGGAGGAAGAAGUUUUUCUCAGAUCUCAAGUACCAUUUAUGGGAUGAUCAUUUCCCAUAUAAGCAAUGCGACGAUCAAAUAAUUAUGAAAUGUGUGCCGGAAGAGGAGAUGGAGAGUAUUCUGCAUCAUUUUCAUUCUCGUGAAGUUGGAGGACAUUUUGGAGCUACUAAAAUUGCAGCCAAAGUUUUACAAUCAGGAUUUUAUUGGCCUUCUCUUUUUAAAGAUUCAUUUAAUUUUGUUGCCAAUUGUGAUAGAUGUCAAAGGGUUGGAAUAUAUCUAGGGAAAAUGAGAUGCCUCUAAUAAAUAUUUUAGAAAUAAAAUUGUUUGAUGUAUGGGGUAUUGAUUUUAUGGGUCUUUUUCCAUCCUCUUAUGCUAAUGGUUUUAUUUUGGUUGUUGUAGAUUACGUUUCCAAAUGGGUUAAAGCUGAGGCACUGCAGACCAAUGAUGCUAGAGUGAUGGUUAAAUUUCUUAAGAAGAAUAUUUUUGCAAGAUUUGAUACACCAAGAGCUAUCAUAAGUGAUGGGGGAUCUCAUUUUUGUAAUAGUCAAUUUGAGUCACUAUUGGGUAAAUUGGAGUAACACAUCGUAUAGCUACUCCUUAUCACCCGCAAACAAGUGGUCAAGUUGAGGUAUCUAAUCGUGAGCUCAAGCGAAUUCUGGAGAAAACAGUUAAUUCUUCUAAGAGGGAUUGGUCAAGUAAGUUGGAUUACGCUUUAUGGGCUUAUAGAACGGCAUUCAAGACACCUAUUGGGAUGUCUCCAUAUCAAUUGGUUUAUGGCAAAUCGUGUCAUCUUCCGGUUGAGUUGGAGCACAAAUCAUUUUGGGUUGUUAAACUUUUGAAUUUUGACUUACAAACUGCAGGGGAAAAGAGAUUGUUACAAUUAAAUGAGAUGAAAGAGUUUCGUAAUAAUGCUUAUGAGAAUGCUAAGAUUUAUAAGGAUAAGGCAAAAAGAUGGCAUGAUAAGCAUAUUCAGAAGCGCAAUUUUGAAGUUGGUCAAUAAGUUCUUCUUUUCAACUCACAUCUCAAGCUUUUUCUGGGUAAAUUAAGAUCGCGAUGGUCUGGUCCAUUCAUAGUUAACAAGGUUUUACCAUCAGGAGCAAUAGAAGUUCAUCAUCCAUCAAAGGAGACUUUUACAGUGAACGGGCAACAAUUGAAGCACUAUUUGGGAGGAAAUUUUAGCACCGAACGGGUGUCUGUUGUGCUUUCAAUUCCAAAGUACAAGAGUGGAGAAAGUCUAGCUAACAACUUAAAUUUUAGCGCUUUUCGAAAGACAACUCGAUUUAUUUUGAGCAAUUUUUAUUUUCGAAUCUUGAAUUAUUUUUAGUUGUUAGGAUUUUUAUUAAUUUUGUUUUUAUUUUGUUUCAAAGUUAAUUUAGUUAGUGAAUUUUUAGAGUUAAUUGUUUGGUAGUUUAGGAUUAAUUUUUAUUUUUUUUAUUUUUAACUAUUUUUCCUUUAUUUUCAGGAGAAAAAGGGCUUUUUACAUACCCAGUGAAAGGAGCCGCAGCGGGAGGCAUUGAGUGUCGCGGUUGACUCUUCAAAUGCUACUUAUAAAGGACCCGAGGCUAAACCACUGCAGCUAGUAAGGCUUUGCGCCGAAGCAGUCACCCCCAAUUGAAUUUCUCUUAUAAAAAUUAGGGCUUUGCGCCGCGGCGAAAAGACUUGAGCACCGCUACGCGAUGAGUAAAUGGGAGUUUUAAAAGGGCCAUUUUCCUUCAUUUUUCACAAACAACUUUUCUCAUUUUCUCAUCUUCUCUCCAUUUUCUCUCUAUCCUUCGAUCCUAAUCAUAUUUAAACUCCGAAUUCUUUGUUUUCUUUUGGGAUUACUCAUGGGUUUUGGAGAUUUGGCAAGAUUAAAGCUUGAUUUGGUGUAAUUUUGGAAGGAAAAUUGCAUAUCCAAUCCGUCUUCUUGUUGGGUCACGAUUUGGGGUGAUUGUUUCUACCUUUUUGCUGCAAUUUGGACACUACUAAAUGAUAAAUGAGCGAUUUUUUUAUGUGCCCCAAAAAUUCAUCAAAAAUGGAGUUUUUUCUUUUCCUUACUUUAUUUUCUUUUGUUCAUUGAGGGCAAUGAAAGUAAUUAAGUUUGGGGGGAACGAUUAAUUUCUUCUGGGUUUAGCUAAGUUCAGUUAAAAAUGUUUUUUUCGAAACUUCUUGAUUUUUUAGCAUUAUUUUUCGAGUUGAUUCAUAUAGUCAAUGAUAAUAUCUUGAUUGCUAUGAUGCGUGGUUGUUAAGAUGAAAUUUGAUAUUGCUUAGAUUUUGAGGAUAAUUUGGAUGUUUGUUUUGUUUGGAUUUGAGAUUCAAUGUUGGUCUAGUAUGGUGAUUUUGAUAACAAUCCCAUUUUGCAUGCUUAGAGACAUUUUAUUUAGACAAUUGUGGAUGAUAGAACUUGGCUGAUUGUUACUCAAGGUGAAAUCCUAGAUUUUCAUGUUACUUAGGAGAUGAUUUAGGCCAUUUUUAGAUCGUUUGAGCUUUUCUUACCUUACCCAAAAUAUUUUAUCCGCUAGUUACCUAUUUGAGCCUUUUUAUAUAAUGUUAGCCUUAUUUUUCUUUCUUUAAGCCUAUCUUCCUACCUAUUUUAAGCCUAAACACUUAUCCUUACCCUUGAUGAGAAUAUUUACAUGUUUGUUAUUUAUUUUGUUUGAGAGCAAAAAUAUCUUAUUGAGGAAAAUAUGGAAAUGUGUAUUGUUAACCUAGUUAUAAUAGAGAAAUAAGUUUGGGGGUUUUGAAGAAUAAAAGGAAGAGUGUGCAUAAAAAAAAAAAAAAAUUGGCAUUAGGGUGAAAUAUGUGAAAAGUGCUUAUGAGCACGAAAGAAAGAAAAAGUAUGAAAAGUUUCAAGAAGGUAGGAAGUGAUGUUAAUAUUAAAAGCUCCUUGAGUCUGUUACAUUUUGUUCAAUUGUGAAUGUUCUCAUUCUUUGAAUUUAUCCUUUCCAUUCUUUGUGAGCCAACACCUUAGCCUAACAUUACAAGCUUAUUAAAGACCUUUUGAUCCGAGGUAACAUGAUGAAUAUACAUUAGUGUAGGAUAGCAAGAAAGCCAAGCCUAUGAGAUUCGAUAUCAUACAUUACUUGUUAGAGGUCGACUUUGUCUAUAAUUGUUUUUAUAAAAUCAUUUAGGUAGUAGAAUUGAUUGUUUGAAAGGUUGCUUACUUGGAUUUUUCAUAAGAUUGAAGGUUUGAAUGGAAUGAAUGUCUGAGUAAUCCUUCUUGAUUCGUGCCCCGUUAGUGUACCUUGAUUUUUGGUCCCCUGAUGGGAGUAAUCAACAAAAUUUAUAACCUAUAUCACCAUGCACUAGGAUAGCAUAAGCUAGUAUAGCAUAGUGGCUCUAGGAUCGUUCACUGGGAAGGGUUUUCAACUUACAAUUGAUACCAAUCCAAAGUUGAAUUGGUCCCUUUUCAUUUCAAGGUUAGCUUCAAAAGAAAACAUAAACUUUGGUUGAAAAAGGUUUGGUUUCAAGCUAACUAAAAAGAAAGUAAUGGGAAUUACUUAUAAAGAAAAAGCGUCUCUUGGAGUUUUAGGAUCACUGGGGUCAGGCUCCUCAUGCAAAAACAGAGUUCCGGUCACUUUGGUUCUUUUCCUCGCAUUGGAGAAUUAACAUAUAGUUCAUUCUCCAACCGGUGUUGUACAGAUGCUUCCCUUUUAUGGAUUUUAGUACUAAUUCCCUCUCACUGAUGCAUCUUGCAAUGGCUCGUGCCUUUCACCUAGCAUUUACCAUUCAAGGUGAUCAUUAACCUUGGAUUUCUCUUCUCAAGCUCGCAAGAGAUAACUAAUGGAUGCCUCCUUAGAGUCCAAAAGCUUACCAAGUGUUGGCAAUUCUAGAAAAUCCUACCUUCAAGUCACCUCCCAAAAGCUUGCAAGAGGUAAACUAGUGCAUCUCCAUGGACGGAGAUCAGUUGCCUUACCAAGUGUUGGCUCAGGUGAAUUGAAGGCGUUUUAAGUUAACUAAAAACAUAGAAAUCAUAAACGGGUUACACUUUCUCUUCAUUAACAACUGAAACAACAAAACUCUCAAUUAUUGCAUUCGGGACCUUACCCGGCUACCUUAGCUCCAAGAGACAAAAAGGCCUAGCCACCCAUUCUCUGAGGAAACAUCCUCAGAGCUUGUUUGGCUAGUAAUGAAAAAUAUAAUCAAAUUGAGUAGGUAAGGCAGAGCAAAGCUCUGUAUUUUACUUCCUUUCAAACUAUACAAAAAGUUGUCUCUGAGAACAAGCUCCCGAGCUCCCCUUUUGUAAAGAAAAUUACAACUAUAUAUAAGGGGUUAUUCACCCUUUUUCCAAACUUAAUAACUAAGGAAUCCUAUAAUUGGUGGGUUACAAGGAGAGUUUGGGGAUUUAGACAUCAAAUAUCUAAAGCAAAAUAUCUAAAAAUGUCGGUCUCAAAUAUCUGGAAGCUUCAGGAGAACACCGCGGCACUGUGCAAAAAUGGCUGCGAAACUCUCCGGGUAAGCGCUAUCAAAAGAUCCAGAUAUGUCUGACCGGGGAAGUUGAAACGCUCUCCUCUCCCAUCCGGCGUCAAGUGCUGGAUGUGAAAUAUCCGGAUGGAAUGUCGGCGGAGCAGAAUUCCGGAUGUAAGACAUCCGAGUGGAAUGGCGGCGCACUUUCCUAUCCGGACUCCCUCAGGGAGAAGCACACGGCACUCGUGAUCAUCACACCCCGGACGAUAGCAUAUCCUAUUCGGAUAUGUUGUCCGGAUUAUUGACGCCCAUGUUCCUCCGCCCUCCGAUGGUGUGUCCGGACGCCCUGUCCGGACAUCUUUUGCCAUGGAUUCCAAAGAACUCUCCUCAAUCUCGAAUUGCUUUGGUGAUCAAAAAGCUAUCAAAACACCAAAACUUAACACAAUUUGAUUAGAUUUGAUUGCAAGGGUCCUUAAUAUGUUAAUUGGGUUAAAAGGUAAUAACUACUACUCAAAAGUGUUUAAAAGAGUUAAUUACAAGCUAUGAAAUAACACUUUUUGAGUAGUAAUCACUUCUCAUUUUUGUAAUGUUCGAUAGAUUCUUGACGGCUUUGUGUUAUUAGUAAUUUUUGAGAUAAUAUUAUGAAUCAAACUUGACAAAUGAAUUUGAUUCUAGAAGUUUGAGAAGUUUUGAGUCUUGAUUUAGUUUGUGAUUUAAUUAUUUUUAGAAUAGUUUUAGGUUAGAUUUUAUUUUGUUUUUGCUCGAGGACUAGCAAAAUGUUAAGUUUGGGAGAAUUUGAUAAGUCAAUUUAGAGCGACUUAUUAUCUAUGAUUUAACUUGAUAUUUCAUUAGUUUAAGAGUAAUUUUAUCUUAACAAUCAUUAUUUUUAUUGUUUUAGGUCUCAAAUAGCCAAGAGUAUGAAAAUGGAGCAAUAUGAGGCAAAAUUGGAAGAAAAAUAUGAAGUUUGGCGGCCUCUUACGUGACAAUUCGCGUAACUCACCCGAGAGGAAAGCUCUGCCGCGGGAAGGACUUAAGCGUCGCAGCGUACGCAUGUGGAAAAUCAUAGUUGGGGACUCGAGACAAAACCGCCACGUCUGGAGGUGCUUGUCCGCCGCGGCGCCCGAAGGAAUUUUAGAAAUCCUAGGAACCUGAGACUAAAGCGCCACGACGAGAGACAAUGAGCGCCACAACCCGAUAUUUAAAAUUUGAAAAUUAUUCAUCCUUAUCUCAUAUGUUCAGAUUCGAAUUAGGUGGGACGUCAAUUUACGAUAUUGGGGCUAUAAAUAGACGAAAGUAGGGUUUAUUCGGGGAUCUUGGAGACCUGGAAGAAGGAGGAUCUUGAAGACCUAGGAGAAGAAAGAGCUUGGAGAACAAGAAGGGGAUUUGCAGAUUUCCUUCUAUUUUUCUGGUUUAUUCUUCCCUUUUCUUUAUGAUUGUAAUUCAGGAUGUUUGUUCUUCAUCUCAAGAUGAACUAAUUUCCUUUGUCUAGGGCUGAGAUGUAGCUCAAUCACGACUUCUAUUUUUGAUUGGUUUAAAUUAAUUCUCUGUUUUGCAUUAAUUUAUUUGUGUAUCUAUUCUGCGCUUAAUGUUCUCAAUUCUUAAGGGCCCAAGUUUUGAUUGAUUUUAUGAUUUAGGUUGAUAACGAGAGUUAGAAUCUAAAUUAAAUCCAUAGAAUAGAUUACGUUAGAAUGAAUGAAUAGUAGAGAUACAUUACCAUGUUCUAAGAGAUUAAUAGUUAAAUCUAUAAUAAUUCCAUAGAUCUUAAUUACUCCUUUAGACUUAAAUUCACAUAGAGAUAUGUUAGGUUAGUAAUUUAAGGAGCAAUCUGAUAUAUUUCGAGAGAAAAUAUUGGUUGGCUUAAGGAAUUAAAUCUCCAAAUAAAGCAUAACAGGAAUUAGGUCAAGCAAUCAAUUGCAUGAAAAGUGUUUGUAGUGAAAUCAAAAGCCCUAGAUCGUUUAAAGCAUAAGAGUUUGAAUUUAUUUUCUAUAAUUGUUUAAGUUGCUUUCUUCUACAACUUUAAAUAUUCGGUUGAUCAAAUAGUAGUAGAAAUAAUAAAUUUUAGUAAUUAGUAGCAUAGUCCUUGUGGGUUCAAUAUCCGUACUUAGGUACAAUUAUAUUACUUGAAUGAUUCGUAUACUUGCAAACCAACACAUCAAUAGGGAACCAUUUCUUCAUGUCUUUCUUCAUCGCAAUAUUGUUAGUGUUCAACAAUAUGUCUUCAUUACCCAAACAAACCUAUCUUUUAUUGUUAAUAAGUUUGUCAGUUCAUGUCUCAACUUACUUCUACAUAUUGUUUAUCUAUGAAACACACUUUGCAUUAUUUGAUAGGAUCUUUAUAUUAGUAUCCUUUUACAAGAAAUUGAUCGUCUUCAUUUUCAAGCUUAUUCAAAUUCUGAUACAGUCUAGGCUCUUGUCCUAAUGACAAGAAAAACAAUAAUGAUUAUUGUGUCUUCCUUAGGUUGAAUUUGGCUUCUUAGUCCUCUAAUAAGCAAUGGGUUAUUUCAAGGAGUAGUGUUGAAUUAGAAUAUUGUGGUCUAACUACUACAAUUACUAAACUCACUUAGAUCUACUCUAUGCUUUAGGAACUGUGUAUAGCAUAGGUUACCCCUCCAAUUCUGUGGUGUGAUAAUCAAAAUACUGCUUAUCUUGCUACAAAUCCUAUCUUUCAUGCUCGCCUGAAACAUAUUGAACUCGAUAUCUGACAAAAUGUUACAUAAUGAACUUGUUAUUCAAUAAAUUCCCUCUACUGAUCAACUUACUGAUGUGCUUGUUAACCGAUUGUAGUAAACUUUGUGUUGUUCCCAAAUUGAUUAACUUGCGACGGGAUGAUAAAGAGUAGAUUGCCACCUCAACCUAACUUCUAGAAUAAUCUAUUAGCUGCAACAACUAUUUGUUAUGGAUACUACACACCCAUGUUUUGCUCUUGUUAGAUCUAGUGAAUUAGACAUUAAAGCUUAAAUAAAUAUUUAACAUCACAAGCUCAUGAGUUAGGUGAUUUUUUAGUUCAUUCUCUAGAAUUUUCAAUUUACUUCCAAAGCCUAUAAAUGACCAAUUGUUGAAACAUUGUACUAACAUAUUUUUUUUUUUCCUCAAAGCAUAAAAAUCACAAAUUGUUCGAAUAUUGGAUUGACCUUUUUUUUUCCCUUAUACUUUCGUAGUUGAAUUCAUAAUUUUAGCAAUAAAAAGGGACUAAUUACUUCCAUUAUUGAUAUUGAUGAAACAAUUCCAAUGUAUAUAUAUUGACUAGAUUUAAUUCAGUUGAUUUGAGAUUGAGGAUGAUUUUAUAUGAAUUUAAUGCAUUUUCAAGAUGUUUCAAUGAAGAAUUAAUAGAUAGCAUUUAGUAUGAUUACCAAAUUUGGCUAAAGAAAAAAGGAACUAAUGCCAUUGAAUGAUGACUUAUUCUCUUCCAUUUAAUAAAGGUUAUGUUUUUUAUAUUAUAUAUUUCUUGAUGUAAUUUUCUUUUUUUCAUUCUUCUAGGAUAACUCAUGAGUUUAUUAUUAUUUUUUGGAAUAUAAGAUUUUGCUCAGAGAAUUAGAAAAUGCAAUGAAAUUGAAAAUAUAUAAUUAAAACUUGAAUUUUAAUUUAAAUUUGGGGCUAGAAUAAUUGGCUCUAAUAUUCUAGGCUCCACUACUAAUAACUUUCUCUUAUAGAUUCCAACCAUUCCAAUAUCAUUUGACCAAUUACAUCACUAUGUUUAUCAUUCAAUCUCUUGAAGAUGUUUUCCACAAUUUCAUUGAUGUAUUUGGACUCAUACCAACCAAUUAUAAAUCAUAAUAAAACAUAUGGUGAGUCAAAUGAGCUACAAAAUAAUGAUAAAAGCAACAUGAGGAAAAUUUUAUAAUAUUUUUUUAUAAGCAAAUGGUAGUAAAUUUUAUGCUUAAAUCACAUCAUGACUACAUGAUUAGUAUCCAUGUAAAUGAAGCAAUAUCUUAGUGAGGGCUCCCAAGCUCCUAAUUAAGUAUUAUUAUCAUGGAAAAGAUGAUGUAAGGGUGGUAAUUCUUGAUUAAAUCAAACUAUAAAUAGGAUUUGAAAAUGACAUGAAACUAGUGAGUUCCAUUAAUUGAUGUUGAUCGAUCAUAUUCUAAGUUGAAGUUUUCAACCUGAAUGUAUACUUCAUUUUUUUCCUCUUAGUAUUGUUAUCCUAUGAUUGUCUUCCCUCAUCCAUGUUCCUUCAUUGCAUACAUACUUAGGAUCCUUUUCUAAGUCAUUUAUUGUGUCCUUAUUAGUUGUUCAUUGUUACUCAUCUUAUCACUGUUUUUGGACCUCUUUUAGGGAUAUAUAUUAGAAGGAUUUUGUUUUUCUAAUAUGAUUUUAGUAUCCUUUAGUUUUAGCUUAAGAGUUUGUUUUCAUUCGUAAGUUUUCUUUUGAUUUUGGUUUUUCAACUUGUUUUUAGUUUAGCCCCUUUAUCUUUGUUCUUAGGUAAAUUCAUUUAGUUGCAUUUUAGGAAAAUUCACUCAGUAGUUGAUUACUACUCAAAAAGUGCUCUUUUAUAGCUUGUUAUAAACUCUUUUAAACACUUUUGAGUAGUAUUUAUUACCUUUUAACUCAAUUGGCACAUUAAAGACCCUUGCAAAUGUUUCUAAUCAGGUUUUGGCAAGUUUUGGUGUUUUUGAUAGCUUUUUUAUCAUUAAAACGAGCCAAGAAUGAAGGAGAAUUUUGUAUAGUCCAUGGCAAAGCAAGUUGAAGCUCAAACACAUGAAGAAUUCAAGGUUUGGAGAGCUUCGUAGCCUUUUCCAAAUCAAUCAAGUAUGCAAGGAAGAGAAUCAAAGAAGAAAUCUAACAUCCAACAAUUUCACCUGGCUAUGAGAAAUUUUCGCAUAGCAUGUGAAAUGUCCAAAAGGAGUACAAGCUGCAGGACAGAGAGCAAGACUGUGAAAAAUGAAUUUCGCACCCUAUGCGAAAUUUCGCAAGCCUUGCAAAAAUCCUCCUGUGUAAUUUUCAGAUAUUUUUGCACCUACUCCGUCAGAUUUUUAUCUCGAGAUAUUUUGUGUAAUUACCUAUUUUAUCCUUGUAAUCAAUUAAAGAUAUUUUUAGAUAUUUAGGAUAUCUAAAUAAGGGGUUAAAAUAUCUCUUUAUAUAUGUCUUAAAAUAUCUCUUUUGUAAGCUCUCGGAAGAUUUUCCAGAGAACACUUGUAGAUUCUUGUAGUAAGAAAUACACAGAGCUUUGCUCUGCCUUACCUACUCAUUUUGUUUUUAUUUUCUUUCUAGCCAAACAACCUCUAAUGAUGUUUUCUCAGAGGAUGAGUGGCUAGGUUUUUCAUUUCUUGGACUGAAGGAAGCUAGGUAAGGGAUCCAGAUACAAAGGUGGGAGUUUUCCUUGUUUUAAAUGAGGAGAGUUGUUACCCUUUAAUGGUUUUUAUUUUUAAGGUUUAACUUAAAAUCCCUUCAAAUCAUCUGGGCCAAUACUUGGUAAGCUUUUCAGACUUCCUGGAGAUCCAUUAGUUAUCUCUUAUGAGCCUCUAGGAAGUGGUUUAAAGGUAGGAUUACCUAAAAUGACCAAUACUUGGUAAGCUUUUCGGACUCCCUAGAGAUCCAUUAGUUAUCUCUUACGAGCCUCUGGAAGGUGGUUUAAAGGUAGGAUUACCUAGAAUGGCCAAUACUUGGUAAGCUUUUCGGACUCCCUGGAGAUCCAUUAGUUAUCUCUUACGAGCCUCUGGGAGGUGGUUUAAAGGUAGGAUUACCUAGAAUGACCAAUACUUGGUAAGCUUUUCGGACUCCCUGGAGAUCCAUUAGUUAUCUCUUACGAGCCUUUGAAGGGUAAUCCAAGGUUAGGAUCACCUUGAAUGGCCAAUACUUGGUAAGCUUUUCGGGUUCCAUGGAAUCCAUGGAUGUCUAUUAGUUAUCUCUUACGAGCCAUUGAAAGAUGAUUCACAGUGAGAGGUCUUUAGUGUUUGAAACCAUUAAUGGGAAGCAACUACAGUUUUUCAUGGACCAAUGGGAUCAAAUCUUGAUUGCUAAAUACACACCGGUUCGGGAGAUAACCAUUCUUUAUGUUAUUAUCCCCAACGCGAGGAAAAGAUCCGGAAUCUCCUCCUUUUGUCUAAGGAACCUGAACCUAGUGACCUAAAACUCUAAGAAAUCCUUUUCUUUGUAAUUAAUCUCAGUUACUAUUUUUGGUUAACUUAAAACCAACCUUUUUCAACCAAAAUUAUGUUUUCUUUUAAAGCUAACUCAUAAAAGAAAAAGCAUCAUUUCAGUACUUUAACUAAUAUCACUUGUAAUAUGAAAACCCAUCCUUGUGGACGAUCCUAGAACCACUAUACUAUGCUAGCUAUGCUACCCUAGUGUAUGGUGAAUUAGGUUUAUAAAUUUUGUUGAUAACUCCCGUCUGAGGACUGAAUCAAAUAGAUCACCAAUUGGGGACAAAUCAAAUGGCGUCGUUGUCGGGGAUGGUGCCACUUCACAGUGAUAUAACCUUUACAAAACACUUGUGAUCUUCAUCACAAGUUUGGUGAUUUUUCUUUUCUUUUACUAACUCUUUUUAUUUGUUUUCAUUUUAGUUUAUCUUUUAUCUAGUUUUUAGUUAACCUUAAUUUUUUUUUUCUAGAAUUGUAUUUCUUUUGUUUUCUGUGUUUUUGUUUCAAUUAUUGCUAGUUGUGCAUGCCCUAUUGGAUAUGAGACAAUGAGGGAAGACUUAUGAAAAUCGAAACUCCUCACGAAACAGAGUUGGAAUUGUGCUUGAACGUCAUGGAAGCUACACCUGAAGAUCAGCAUAGUCAACAUGCUCAGGAGGAGAAUUUCAACGCAUACCGAUCCAUGAGGGACCGCAUGCAUGCACCUCGUAUGAGUGCACCGUCAUGCAUAGUGCCACCUACAGAGCAACUGGUGAUCCGACCACAUAUUGUGCCACUUCUACCUACUUUCCACGUGAUGGAAAGUGAGAAUCCCUACGCGCAUAUCAAGGAAUUUGAGGAGGUUUGUAAUACUUUCCAAGAAGGAGGAGCUUCAAUCGACUUGAUGAGGCUCAAGUCAUUUCCUUUCACCUUGAAGGAUAAGGCCAAGGUCUAGCUUAAUUCUUUAAGGCCAAGGAGUAUUCGAACUUGGACUGAUUUGCAAGCUGAAUUUCUUAAGAAAUUUUUCCCGACCUAUAGGACCAAUGGCUUGAAAAGGCAAAUUUCAAACUUCUCAGCUAAAGAGAAUGAGAAAUUCUAUGAGUGUUGGGAGAGAUACAUGGAAGCUAUCAAUGCUUGUCCUCACCAUGGCUUUGAUACAUGGCUAUUGGUGAGCUAUUUUUACGACGUUAUGUCUUUCACUAAUGAAGCAACUCCUAGAAACUAUGUGCGAAGGAGACUUCAUGAGUAAGAAUCCGGAGGAAGCCAUGGAUUUCUUGAGUUAUGUAGCUGAAGUUUCAAGAGGAUGGGAUGAGUCGAAUGCUAGAGAAGUGGGAAGAAUGAAGUCUCAACUUAAUGCUCCUAAUGCUAAGGCUGGAAUGUAUACUUUGAACGAAGAAAUCGAUAUGAAAGCAAAAGUUGCAGCUAUGGCAAGAAGAUUGGAGGAGCUAGAAAUGAAGAAGAUAUGAGAAGUGCAGGUCAUUUCUGAAACACCAAUGCAAGCUAUGUCGUGUUCCAUUUGUCAAUCUUUUGAGCACUUAGUGGAGGAGUGUCCUACGAUUCCAAUUGUGAGAGAAAUGUUUGGGGAUCAAGCAAAUGUUAUUGGACAAUUUAAGCCCAAUAACAAUGCUUCAUAUGGCAACACCUACAAUUCAAAUUGGAGGAACCAUCCGAAUUUCUCAUGGAAACCAAGGGCACCUCAGCACACACAACCUGGCCAAGCACCUCCGUAAGCCUCAAAUCUUGAACAAGCCAUUAUGAAUCUUAGAAAGGUCGUGGGAGACUUUGUUGGAGACCAGAAAUCCAUCAAUGCUCAGCUCAGUCAAAGAAUUGACAGUGUAGAGAGUACAUUGAACAAAAUAAUGGACGGAAUACAAAAUGAUCUAUCUCAGAAGAUAGAUAAUCUCCAGUACUCAAUCUCAAGGCUCACCAACCUCAACACAGUAACAAAGAAAGGAAAGUUUUCUUCUCAACCUCAUCAGAAUCCCAAGGGUAUCCAUGAAGUAGAGGCUUAGGAGGGAGAAUCUUCACAUGUGAAACAAGUCAAAGCAGUUAUCACUCUAAGGAGUGGUAAAGAGAUUGAUCUGCCUACCUCCAAGCAAGAGCAUGAACCAGAGAGUGAAACAUAGAAAGAAAAGAGGAAGGAAAUCAAAGGAAAGAAAAAAGGGAACAGUGCAAAGAAUGAGGACCUUGAAUCUACUGUGAAUGAAGAACCAGAGAGGACCAUCAACCAAGAAGAUAUGAUGAAGAAACACAUGCCUCCACCUUUCCCCCAAGCUUUGCAUGGCAAAAAAGGAAUCAAUAAUGCAUCAGAAAUUCUUGAAGUGUUGAGGCAAGUGAAAGUUAACAUCCCUUUGCUAGACAUGAUUAAACAAGUUCCGACUUAUGCAAAAUUCCUGAAGAACUUAUGCAUUAUAAAAAGAGGGUUGAAUGUGAAUAAGAAAGCCUUCUUGACUGAGCAAGUAAGUGCCAUUAUACAGUGCAAGUCUCUAGUGAAAUACAAAGAUCCAGGUUGUUCUACCAUCUCAGUGAUUAUUGGAGGGACGUGUGUGGAGAAAGCUUUGUUGGACUUGGAGGCAAAUGUGAAUUUGCUACCCUAAUCUGUCUACAAGCAAUUGGGACUUGGAGAGUUGAAGACAACAUCAAUCACUCUAUCUCUAGCAGAUAGAUCUGUGAAGAUUCCAAGAGGCAUGAUUGAAGAUGUCCUAGUUCAAGUUGACAAAUUCUACUACCCAGUGGAUUUUGUUGUUCUUGAUACAAACCCAGUUGCCAAAUGAACUAACUAUGUUCCUAUCAUACUUGGAAAACCAUUCCUAGCUACAUCAAAUGGUAUCAUCAAUUGUAGGAAUGGAGUCAUGCAACUUAUGUUUGGCAACAUGACGUUAGAGCUCAACAUCUUCUAUUUGUGCAAGAAACAAUUCCAUCCAGAAGAAGAAGAAGAACCAAAAGAGGUGUGCAUGAUUGACAACUUAGUGGAGGAGCAUUGUGAUCAGAAAAUGCUCAAAGAUUUGAAUGAAAGUCUUGGGGAUCUUGAUGAAGGGUUACCUGAACCCUCAGAUUUGCUUGCACUUUGCCCCCUUGGAAGAGGAGGGAAGAAAUUCUACCUUUAUUCAAUGGGGAGGAGACACAAGAAGUUGUUAAGGAGGAGCCCCCAAAGCUUAUUCUGAAGCCACUACCCACGGAGUUGAAGUAUGCAUACCUGGAAGAAAACAAACAGAGCCUUGUUGUUAUUUCUUCAUCUCUUACCACUCCUCAGGAGGAUUGUCUACUUGAAGUCCUCAGGAGAUGUAAGAAGGCGAUAGGGUGGCAAAUAUCUGAUCUGAAAGGGAUCAACCCUUUAGUUUGUACCCAUCAUAUAUACAUGGAAGAAGAAGUUAAGCCAGUUCGAAAACCUCAGAGAAGGUUGAACCCUCACAUGCAAGAGGUGGUGUGAGCUGAAGUGCUUAAGCUACUUCAGGCUGGUAUUAUCUACCCCAUAUCAGAUAGCCCAGGGGUGAGUCCUACGCAAGUCGUGCCAAAGAAAUUAGAGAUCACGGUGGUGCAAAAUGAUAAGGGAGAAGAAGUUUCUACACACCUCACUUCAGGUUGGAGGGUGUGUAUUGAUUAUAGAAAGUUGAAUGUUGUAACAAGGAAUGACCGCUUCCCGUUGUCGUUUAUUGAUCAAGUGCUUGAGAGGGUCUCUGGCCAUCCAUUUUACUAUUUCUUGGAUGGCUACUCCGGGUAUUUUCAAAUGGAAAUUGAUGUUGAAGACCACUUUCACAUGUCCAUUCGGAACCUACACAUACGGAAGAAUGUCUUUCGGCUUAUGCAAUGCACCCGCAACAUUCCAAAUAUGCAUGUUAAGCAUUUUCAGUGAUAUGGUGGAGCGUAUUAUGGAAGUCUUUAUGGACGAUAGCACCAUAUAUGGAAGUACGUUUGACGAAUACUUAAUCAACUUGGAAGUUGUUCUGAACCGAUGCAUUGAGAAACACUUGGUGCUUAACUAGGAGAAAUGUCAUUUCAUGGUACACCAAGGGAUUGUCCUUGGGCAUAUUAUCUCAAAGCAAGGCAUUGAAGUGGACAAAGCAAAGGUUGAACUUAUUGUCAAGUUGUCAUCGCCAACAACUAUCAAAUGAGUAAGGCAAUUCCUUGGUUAUGCAGGGUUCUAUAGGAGGUUUAUCAAAGAUUUCUCUAAACUUGCAAGACCUCUUUGUGAACUAUUGGUAAAGGAUGCUAAAUUUGUAUGGGAUGAUCGAUGUCAACGGAGUUUUGAAGAACUGAAGCUAUUUUUGACAACCGCUCAAAUACUGAGAGCUCCCAACUGGCAAUUGCCCUUUGAAGUGAUGUGCGAUGUCAGUGACUUUGCUAUAGGAGCUAUUCUUGGGUAAAGAGAAUAUGGAAAGCCCUAUGUGAUCUACUAUGCGAGCAAAACGUUGAAUGAAGCGCAAAGAAACUACACAACCAUAGAGAAAGAAUUGUUGGCUGUAGUUUUUGCCUUAGACAAAUUCCACACUUAUUUGGUGGGGUCUUUCAUUGUGAUUUUCACUGAUCAUUCGACCUUGAAAUAUCUGCUAACUAAGCAGGAUGCAAAAGCGAGGCUGAUUAGAUGGAUUCUCUUGCUUCAAGAGUUCAAUCUUCAUAUCAAAGACAAGAAAUGAGUGGAGAAUGUGGUAGUCGACCAUCUGUCAAGGCUAGCCAUCGCAACAAAAUUCCCAUAGUUUGCCCAUUAAUGAUGAUUUUCCAGAGGAGUCACUCAUGUUGAUGAAAGUCGCUCCUUGGUAUGCUCAUAUUGCUAACUAUUUAGCUAUCGAAGAAGUUCCAAGUGAGUGGAAAGCACAAGAUAAGAAGCACUUCUUUGCAAAAAUUCAUGCCUAUUAUUAGGAAGAGUCAUUUCUAUUCAAAUAUUGUGCAGAUCAAAUAAUACGGAAGUGCGUCCCUGAACAAGAGCAACAGGGGAUCCUCAGUCAUUGCCACGAAAGCGCAUGUGGAGGCCACUUUGCUUUUCAAAAGACAGCUAUGAAGGUAUUGCAAUCGGGUUUCUGCUAGCCAUCACUUUUCAAAGAUGCCCACACCAUGUGCAGGAGCUGUGAUAGAUGUCAGAGGCUUGGGAAGUUAACACAUAGGAACAUGAUGCCUUUGAACCCCACUUUAAUAGUUGAUCUUUUUUAUGUCUGGGGCAUUGACUUCAUGAGACCUUUUCCUAUGUCCUUUGGCUACUCCUACAUCUUGGUAAGGGUAGAUUAUGUUUCUAAAUGGGUUGAAAUGAUCCCAUGCAAAUGCACUGAUCACAGAGUUGUUCUCAAAUUUCUCAAAGAGGACAUCUUCUCUAGAUUUGGAGUACCCAAGGCUUUAAUCAGUGAUGGGGGUACUCAUUUUUGUAACAAGUCGUUCGAAACUCUCUUAGCCAAGUACGGGGUAAAGCAUAAGGUAGCUACACCUUACCACCCUCAGACUUCUAGGCAAGUUGAGUUAGCAAAUUAGGAGAUCAAAAACAUACUGAUGAAGGUGGUGAAUAUGAGCAGAAGAGAUUGGUCUGUUAAGCUUCAUGAUUCACUAUGGGCGUACAGAACAGCUUACAAGACCAUUCUUGGAAUGUCUCCUUAUCGCCUAGUCUACGGCAAAAUGUUCCAUCUCCCCGUGGAAGUGGAAUACAAAGUUUGGUGGGCAAUCAAGAAGCUCAACAUGGAUUUGAGCAGAGCCGACAUGAAGAGGUUCUUAGACCUUAAUGAGAUGGAGGAACUGAGAAAUGACGCCUACAAUAAUUCAAACAUUGCAAAACAAAGAUUGAAGAGGUGGCAUGAUCACUUAGUCUCCCGCAAAGAAUUCCAGAAGGGACAAAGAGUCUUGCUAUAUGACUCUAAGCUCCAUGAUUACUACUCAAAAAGUGCUAUUUCAUAGCUUGUAAUUAACUCUUUUAAACACUUUUGAGUAGUAGUUAUCACCUUUUAACCCAAUUAACAUAUUAAGGACCCUUACAAUCAAUUCUAAUCAAAUUGUAUUAAGUUUUGGUGUUUUGAUAGCUUUUUUAUCACCAAAGCAAUCCGAGAUUGAGGAGAGUUCUUUGGAAUCCAUGGCAAAAGAUGUCCGGACAAGGCGUCCGGACACACCAUCGGAGGGCGGCGGAACGUGGGCUGUGGCAGGCUGUCGGAAUGACGUAGCAAGGCUUGUGCACUUUAGCCAAUGAUCCGGACAACAUAUCCGGAUAGGAUAUGCUAUCGUCCGGGGUGUGAUGAUCGCGAGUGUUGUGUGCUUCUCCCUGAGGGAGUCCGGAUAGGGGAGCGCGCCACAUAUCCUCUUAGAGAAUCCGAAUGGAGUUGCUCCGGAUAGCGAUGCGCACUCCGUGUCAUCAGGAGAAGGGGUCCCUACACCUUGCACACGCAGACAGCCCCCUUGCGAUGUGUGGCAUCGCACAUUCCACCCGGAUGUAUCACAUCCGGAAUUCUUCUCCGCCGACAUUCCAUCCGGAUAUUUCGCAUCCGACGUUUGAUGCCGGAUGGGAGAGGAGGGCGUUUCAACUUCCCCGGUCAGACAUAUCCGGAUCCUCUGAUAGCGCUUACCCAGAGAGUUUCGCAGCCAUUUUGCACUGUGACGCAGUGUUCUCCUGAAGCUUCCCGAUAUUUGCGACCGAUAUUUUGAGAUAUUUUGCUUUAGAUAUUUGAUGUCUAAAUCCCCAAACUCUCCUUGUAACCCACCAAUUAUAGGAUUCCUUAGUUAUUAAGUUUGGAAAAAUGAUGAAUAACCUUAUAUAUAUUAUUAUUGUAAUUUUCAUAUAAAUAUCUCUCGGGAGCCUAUUCUCAGGGAGACGACGCAUCCUUUGUACAGUUUUGCAAGGAAGUAAAAUACAGAGCCUUUGCUCUGCCUUACCUUCUCGUUUUGAUUGUAUUGUAUAUUAUUUAAUUUUUCUUUCUAGCCAAUCAAACUCUGAGGAUUUUUCCUCAGAGGAUGAGAGGCUAGGCUCUUCGUCUCUUGGAGUGAAGAAAGCCGGGUAAGUUUCCUCAUGCAUAAAUUGGAAGUUUUGUUGUUUUAGUUUUUAAUGAAGAGAAAGUGUGACCCGUUAAUGGUUUCUAUGUUUUUAGUUAACUUAAAACGCCUUUAAAUCACCUGGGCCAACACUUGAUAAGGCAAGUGGUCUCCAUCCAUUGAGAUGCACUAGUUUAUCUUUUGCGAGCCUUUGGGAGGUGGUUUGAAGGUAGGAUUUUCUAGAAUAGCCAACACUUGGUAAGCUUUUGGACUCCAAGGAGACAUCCAUUAGUUAUCUCUUGCGAGCUUUUGACGGGUAAUCCAAGGUUAAAAAUCACCUUGAAUGGCAAAUGCUAGGUGAGAGGCACGAGCCAUUGCAAGAUGCAUCAGUGAGAGGGAUUUAGUGUUUGAACCCAUUAAAGGGAAGCAUCUGUACCACACCGGUUAGAGAAUUAACUAUAUGUUAAUUCUCUAAAGCGAGGAAAAGAAACAAGUGACCGGAACUCCCUUUUUGUACAAGGAACCUGAGCCUAGUGAUCUAAACUCCAAGAAACACUUUUCUUUGUAAGUAAAAUCAGUUACUAUUUUUGGUUAGUUUAAAACCAAACCUUUUCCAUUCAAACAUCUUUAUGUUUUCUUUUAAAGCUAACCUUGGAAUGAAAAGGCACCAAUUCAGCUUUGAAUUAAUAUCAAUUGUGGAGUGAAAACUCAUCCCAGUUAACGAUCCUAGAGCCACUAUGCUAUAGUAGCUUUGUCUUUGCUACCCUAGUUCAUGGUGUAAUAAGUUAUAAAUUUUGUUGAUUACUUCCUGAGGACCAAAAUCAAGGGACACCAGCUGGACACGAAUCAAAUGGCACCACUGUCAGGGACCAUUGAGAUGACAGCUGAGACACCAAUUGGGAACGAAUCAUUCCACAUCUUCCCGGGAAAACUGAAGUCAAGGUGGAUAGGUCCGUUUACUAUCCAACAAGUGCAUUCAAAUGGAGUGGUGGAACUACUCAAUUCCAACAACAUCGAGAGUUUCAAAGUCAAUGGCCAUCGUCUCAAGCCAUUUGUGGAGCCUUUUUCUCUAGACAAUGAGGAAAUCAUCAUCUUUGAGCCACAUCAAGCUUAACAAGACAAGUGGUUAGAUGGACUUAGUCUGUCGAAAGACAUUAAGUCUAUAAUUUUUUGUUUUAAUGUUGAUUUAAAGUUUUAUUGAUUUAGUACUUGUUUUAAUUGUAAUUUCUUGCUUUAAUUUUAUUUUUUUGUGAUUUAAUUUAAUUUUUUAUGAUCAAUUGCAAGUGGAUUUCAUAAUAGAUGGGAAAAACCUUUAAAAAAUUUAUGGUGGAGGAAAAACAGAGCAUUUCGCACAUGCUGCGAAAAUUUUGCAAGGCUUGCGAAAAUCCCAAAUAUCAUUUCGCAAGGGGUACGAAAAUUUCGCACACCCUGCAAAAGCCAAUUCGCACACCCUGUGAAAAUUUCGCAAGGCAUGCGAAAAAUUCGCAUACCCACCUUUGCAUUGCGAAAAUGCCAUGCGAAAUUGCUUUGCUUUGCGAAAAUGUUUUGCGAAAACCUGUGCCAAAUUAGAGAGGGUAUGCAAACCCAUUUCACAAUCCUGUGCGAAGUCCAACAGCCGGUGCGAAAACCAACAGUCACUUAAAACUCUAUUUAAAGCCCUCUAAGCCCUAUUUUCAUUUCGUACACCCCAUCUACCCAUUGCGAAAGCCUCUAUCACCUUGCGACGCCCAAACUUCCAUCGUUUUUCUCCAUUGGACGCCCCGCGACCACCCAUUUGAAGAGGCGACCCCCACCGAACUUGAAGAACACAGACCCGAGCCUUUCACUCCAUUUUUUACAUGGCGCGAAUUAGAGGAGGCCAUACCGACUCUUCACUCUCUCGCGAGCCGAGGCCAAGAGCCUGCUCUCCUCAAGAUUCGACAUCUCAGGCCCUUGAGGCCCCAACCAUUCCAUCUUUUGAGGGAGGAGUGCCCUCUAAUCCUCCUCAACAUAGAUACGAGACGUGGAGACCACCGACUACACCUGGGACUACUUCUUCGCGCCCUGAGACCUCAAUACGUUGCACUCCAACUAAGAGGGCCAGGACUUUAGGCCCUGGAAAGUCGUCUAGAUCUUCACAGCCUGAUCAUAGGGCCCCUGUCGAUUCUCAGCGUCCUUCUAACAUGUCACCGGAAGCCAUCAUCAAACGACCUAUGGUCACCGCGCCGCCCAUUAAGGGCAAUUCAGAUUGUAGAGCCAGACCAUUUCAUUCCGAGCUAUAUUUUGACCUCGAGGUUAUGCGACAGUAGUCGGAGCUUCGGGAUUCAUUUGGACUACUCCAGAGGUACCAUCUCGAGCACCUUAUGACUCCCAGGGAGUUCUUUUACCCCAAAGUGGCAAUGGACUUCUAUCAUUCUAUGACUACUCAAGGCGCCUGGAGUCCUACCGCCAUUCACUUCAGCAUUGAUGGGCGCCAGGGUAUCCUUGAGGCUAGACACAUUGCAGAGGCUCUACAUAUUCCAUACGAGCUAGUGAAUCCAGCAGAUUGCCAGGAGUGGUCCCCUGUAUCUCAGUGGGACAUGGUCCGCAUCUUAUCCAUGGAAACCUUUGGAGAUUCAGUCCUUCUACGUAAGGAGCUUCCACCUAGGAUGCUCCUAGUAGAUGUGUUGCUACAGUCCAAUCUUUUUCCCCUUCAGCAUUUAGUGCAGAUGAGAGGAGCCAUUCUGAACGCUUUAUUCCGGAUAUCCAAGGGUUUCUAUUUCGGGCCACAUCACUUGAUUAUGGCCUCUCUCCUCCACUUUGAGGAGAAGGUUCACAGGAAGAAGCUCCAGAGAGCCGACACUAUUCCACUACUGUUUCCGAGGUUGCUAUGUCACAUAUUGGAGCAUAUGGGUUAUCCUACUGAGCCCUACCUUGAGCGCCGCCAUCAUUGUCGAGAGCGAUUCACUCUCAACAAAUGGACACAGUUGGCGGGCUAUUCGGCACCUCUAGAAGUCCCACCCAGGCCAGCACCUCCAGUGCCACCAUAGGCUGAGUAGGCACAACAGGAUGAGCUUCCCACGGAGUCUGUACCACCUACCCCUACAACACCUAUGCCUGAGGCCACUUAUACUGCUCCUCCUACCACUCCUGCCGUUCCACCAGUUGCACCUUCUAUAUCUGAGGCCUUCAUCACCAUUUCUGCCACAGAGUUUCGCGCCAUGGUACAUACAUUCCAGACACUGACCACUACACACAAUGCUUUAUUCCAACAGAUGGCCACCAUGCGUGCUCGGUAAGACCAUCAUACUGCUAUCCUUCAUCAUAUUCAGCAGCAUUGGGGACUUCUGCCACCACCUCAGCCUGACAUUCAUGGACCAUCACAGCCCAUAGCUCUAGUUAAGGAGACUAUUCCAGCUGAGGAGACCACUAAAGCCAAUGUCCCGAUCUAGCCUACUCAGGAGGCCACCACAGAGGCAUCACCUCCACCAGAGGCCCCCGCUACUUGAUCAUCUCUUUAUCAUAUUGUAUUUACUUAUUAUAUUAGUAGACAUAAUUACAUGUUUUGAUGUUUUAUAUUAUGGGAUUGGAUGUAUUACAUGAUCAUAUCUCACAUUGUACUUUCUCAGAGUAAUAUAUACACAUCAUUUUUUAUUAUAUUUGUCAUUCUUCUAUUUCCUCUACUCAUUACUCUUUUGUUUUUUGAAUCAUGUGGUUUAUCCUAUACGACUCAAACUCCAUGUCACUCAGGAGGUACCACUUCCUUCUUUUAUUUUCAAUCGCUCUUGCCACAUUGAGGACAAUGUUGAUCUUGGUUGAGGGGAGAGUUAAGGAAGAAAGUUUUGUUAAUAAUGCUAGGUUAUUUUGUUAAUUUAGGUCUUUUUUCUUAAUUUUAAACUUUUUGCUUAAUUUUAAAAGUUUUUAUUCUACCAUCCAUGAUUAUUAAGAAAAUUUUCUCAAAAGGAAAUGGGAGAUAUUGAAUUCUUAUCUUUUUACUUGAAUCUUAGAGUUUAUAUUAUGUGUAUUGAGGUUGAUGAAUUAUUGAAAAUCCUAUUGAAUUCAACCUUAUUUCUUCCACUUUAAUCUUACCACACACUAUGCACAUUAGGUUCCAUUUAUAAGAUGAAAAACUAUCUCACCCCCUAAACUUAGGAAAACUUUGACUUAGUACCUUUGACCUCAUUUUAAUAGUAUUGGGACACCUUAUAAAAGGCCAAUGAGCCUUUGAAAAAAAAAAUAAGAAAGAACAAAGUGUUUCGCUUGCCUUGAAACCCGAGCAAGAUCCGAGGGGUUUAUGGCGAAAGUCUUUAAAACCCGAUGCCCUAAACCUUUAUUGGUUGGGAGUCACCAACCUCAAUGCUCGUUGCAAGGGUGAAUAGGUGGAGUUUAACAUAUUGUAGGUGCUUGGGUAUUAAAUGUCAAUCUCAAAAGUCCGGGGUAAAAUCUGAAGAGUUAGUGGUCGAAAGAUCCUUAAAGCUUGAUGCCCUAAACCUUGAUUGGUUGGGAGCCAUCGAUGGAUCCCUAUUACAUGGACACUUUAGAAAACAAUACCUUAAGCAUUGCACACUUACAAUGAAAAAAAAAAUUUGUGAAAUAAAAGAGGUGCGUUUUUAGCCUAUUGGAGGUUGGUCAGUUUGCUAAAGUUUGAGAAAGAACUAGGUUGGGGGGAGAGAUUAGUUCAGCAUACUAUAUUCGGAAACUAAUAAGCUUAACACAUAGAUUUUUGUGCAAUAGUAAGGAUUGAGGCUAUGAGAGUGGAAAUCCUUUUAAUACUUAAAUUUGCAUAAUGCCUACUUUUUAUGAAUUGUGAUCAGGCAAGAUAUUUGAUAAAUUCUUGUUGAAGGUUGAGUUUUGCUUCUUUAAUGUCCCAUGAGAGAGUAUGCUCUACAUCAUGCCACUUGAAAAAAUUUUGGAGUGAUCAGCAUGAUUUUGUAAAUUAUUUUACUGUCUAUUUUUCAUUUUUCUCUCCUUCAUUGCUAAGGGACUAGCAAUAUGUCGGUUGGGGGGAGUGAUUACUACUCAAAAAGUGCUCUUUUAUAGCUAGUUAUAAACACUUUUGAGUAGUAUUUAUUACUUUUUAACUCAAUUGGCACAUUAAAGACCCUUGCAAAUGUUUCUAAUUAGUUUUUGGCAAGUUUUGGUGUUUUUGAUAGCUUUUUUAUCAUUAAAACAAGCCAAGAAUGAGGGAGAAUUUUGUAUAGUUCAUGGCAAAGCAAGUUGAAGCUCAAACACAUGAAGAAUCCAAGGUUUGGAGAGCUUCGUAGCCUUUGCCAAAUCAAUCAAGUAUGCAAGGAAGAGAAUUAGAGAAGAAAUCUAACAUCCAGCAAUUUCGCAUGACUAUGCAAAAUUUUCGCAUAGCAUGCGAAAUGCCCAAAAAGAGUACAAGCUACAGAACAGAGAGUAAGACUGUGAAAAAUGAAUUUCGCACCCUAUGCGAAAUUUUGCAAUCCUUGCGAAAAUCCUCUUGUGUAAUUUUCAGAUAUUUUUGCACCGACUCCGUUAGAUUUUUAUCUCGAGAUAUUUUGUGUAAUUACUUAUUUUCUCCUUGUAAUCAAUUAAAGAUAUUUUUAGAUAUUUAGGAUAUCUAAAUAAGGAGUUAAAAUAUCUCUCUAUAUAUGUCUUAAAAUAUCUCUUUUGUAAGCUUUCGGAAGAUUUUCCAGAGAACUCUUGUAGAUUUUUGUAAUAAGAAAUACACAGAGCUUUGCUCUGCCUUACCUACUCAUUUUGUUUUUAUUUUCUUUCUAGCCAAACAACCUCUGAUGAUGUUUUCUCAGAGGAUGAGUGGCUAGGUUUUUCAUUUCUUGGACUGAAGGAAGCUAGGUAAGGGAUCCGGAUACAAAGGUGGGAGUUUUCCUUGUUUUAAAUGAGGAGAGUUGUUACCCGUUAAUGGUUUUUAUUUUUAAGGUUUAACUUAAAAUCCCUUAAAAUCACCUGGGCCAAUACUUGGUAAGCUUUUCAGACUCCCUGGAGAUCCAUUCGUUAUCUCUUAUGAGCCUCUGGGAGGUGGUUUAAAGAUAGGAUUACCUAAAAUAGCCAAUAAUUGGUAAGCUUUUCGGACUCCCUAGAGAUCCAUUAGUUAUCUCUUACAAGCCUCUAGGAGGUGGUUUAAAGGUAGGAUUACCUAGAAUGGACAAUAUUUGGUAAGCUUUUCGGACUCCCUGGAGAUCCAUUAGUUAUCUCUUACGAGCCUUUGAAGGGUAAUCCAAGGUUAGGAUCACCUUGAAUGGCCAAUACUUGGUAAGCUUUUCGGGGUCCAUGGAAUCCAUGGAUGUCUAUUAGUUAUUGACCGAAAUUUCUCUAUUGUACCAAAAUACUUAGCCUUUUUACGUAGUAACUCUGGUCAAGAAAAACUAGAGAAAGAGUCACUACGGCUUUUGUAGUAUUCCGGGUAUCGUUCUCAAGGACUGGCUUAUGAAAAUUGUCAAUACUAGAAUAAAUGAAUUGUUUUUUGUUUAAAUCCUUAAGUGAAAAACAAUAUGUGAAUAAUGUGAAACUAAGUAAAAGAAAUUGGAUUAAUAAGAGAAAAUGAAUAUUGAUUUUAAAUUCAAUUGAUUCAAGUUUGGGGUUUUCCACAAUCCAACCUAGGGUAUAGAAAUUAUAGAAAACAAGGGUAUUUUAAGUAAUAUGAUCUUAGGGUUUUGGGAUCCUUGGCCACUCGCGAUCAAGUUGGGUUCUAUAACUCAAAAUUGCAUCCGAAACCUAAUUUUUCCUUUUUCAAACAGAUUCCUAAAACCAUCAAAUGAAUGAGAUUGAUUAUCAAUUUAAGAUUUGGCUUUUUAACCCUUCCUACUCCUUAUAGCUUUGUUUAGGGGCAAAUAACGGUAGGGAAAACGAGGAUAACUAAUGAUCAAGAAUUACCAAGAAUCACUAGUAUCAAGUAAUAACCUAUCGUAUCAUUCCCUAAACGAACUCACAAGGAUAGGAUAAAAAAAUAUAAUAAAUUGUCACCCAACCAAUAAUUAAUCUCAUUGUUAUAGUAAUUUACCCAUUGUCCCUAUAGGUUUCCUAGCCCUUAGGUUUUCAUGCUUCAAGCCCCAAGUUGGCUCUUAGCCUCUCAUGGGGGUGAUGUCACAUUCACAAUCCAUAGUAGGGUAAAAAUCCAUAAUUUGAAUCAAAAGAAACUAAAAACAAUAUAUUCAAGAAAGAAGGAGAAGAAAACAAACCAAAGUUCUCGUCUUCUUCCACCUUCAAUGUCAAACUCUCUAGAAAAAAAUCCAAGAUCCAAGAUCCCUAAAACCUAGAAUUGAGAGGGUUUAUAUAAUAUCCUCAAUUACCUAACAUGUGGCACACUCUCAUUGGCCACUUAUUACAAAAUAAUUUCCUAAAAAUGAUUAAAAAAUAAUAAAAUGGUGAUUUCUAGUCGUGUGGGGUCCACCUAGGCCGGAUGGAGUGCUUUAGAUGCAAUUCCCGAGGUAGAGGAGGCGGAACAUCAAAGUGGCAGUGGGUGAAUUCGAAAUUGGUGUCAUUUCGAAGUGAAUUUCGAAUUCAUAAGUUGAAUAUAUGCAAUUCCCGGGGUAGAGGAGGCGGAACAUCAAAGUGGCAGUGGGUGAAUUCGAAAUUGAUGUCAUUUCGAAGUGGAUUUCGAAUUCAUAAGUUGAAUUUCGAAAUCAUAAGUUGAAUUUCGAAAUCAUUUCGAAAUGACCCUCCAGCUUGGUGCAGUUGUCUUCAAAUGGCCAUAACUUCUUCAUUUCAGCUCCAAUUUGCAAACCGUUUGAAGCGUUGGACUCCUGACUUCCCGAGCUUCGAAACGAUAUAUAGUAUGUAUAUAAUGGACUCCAGAAAGUGCUCAAAAUUUGUCCUCAAAGUCAGAGUAUAUAAUGCCAUCAGAUUUUUGAGUUCUAAAUUUCCAUGUAGCUAAAUCUUGCUUCAUGCCUCAUUUCCCAUGCUUCCUUGCCUUCUUUCUUACUCCAUAAUGGUCAUUUAUCAUCCUCCAACCUCAUGAUAUCCUUGUUUUGCCUUUCCUUACAUUCAAUGAAUCUUGACUCACUUAUGUCCUCAUUUAGCCCUUUCUUGAUCUUUCAAAAUCUAAAGUCAUUCAAUUUGCACAAUUUUCUUCCCUUGAACCUGAGAUAAAUCUCCAAAGUAUAGAUUAAACUCAUGGCUAGGGCCUUAGCAUUGAUUUAGGUCAAGUUGGGUGAUUUGAAUGUCCUUUGGUGCACAAAUCAUAUCGAAUAUGUGCCAUUAGAGCACAUAUUUUGGCUCCAAUCAGUUAUCUCUUACAAGCCAUUGAAAUAUGAUUCACAGUGAGAGGUCUUUAGUGUUUGAAACCAUUAAUGGGAAGCAACUACAGUUUUUCAUGGACCAGUGGGAUCAAAUCUUGAUUGCUAAAUACACACCGAUUCGGAAGAUAACCAUUCUUUAUGUUAUUAUCCCCAACGCGAGGAAAAGAUCUGAAAUCUCCCCCUUUUGUCUAAGGAACCUGAACCUAGUGACUUAAAACUCCAAGAAACCCUUUUCUUUGUAAUUAAUCUCAAUUACUACUUUUGGUUAACUUAAAACCAACUUUUUUCAACCAAAAUUAUGUUUUCUUUUAAAGCUAACUCAUAAAAGAAAAAGCACAAUUUCACUACUUUAACUAAUAUCACUUGUAAUAUGAAAACCCAUCCCUGUGGACGAUCCUAGAACCACUAUACUAUGCUAGCUAUGCUACCCUAGUGUAUGGUGAAUUAGGUUUAUAAAUUUUGUUGAUAACUCCCGUCUGAGGACUGAAUCAAAUAGAUCACCAAUUGGGGACGAAUCAGUAGCACUUUAGGUAAAUUCAUUUUAGUUGCAUUUUAAGAAAAUUCAUUUAGUUGCAUUUUUAGAAAAUCAUUUAGUUGCAUUCUAAGUAAAUUCAUUUAGUUGCAUUUUAGGUAAAUUCACUUAGUUGCAUUUCAGGAAAAUUUACUUAGUUGUAGUUUAGGUAAAUUCACUUAGUUGCAUUUUAGUAAAUUCACUUAAUUGCAUUUUAGGUAAAUUUACUCAAUUGCAUUUUAAGAAACUUCACUUAGUUGCAUUUGAGGAUAAUCCACUUUAUGUAUUUUUAGGUGAGUCUCAUUUUUGCAUUUUAGUGAAUUUCAUUGGUGCAUUAUUGUAAUUAAAUUAUUGCAUUUUUAGAGAUUUUUCAUAACAUACUUUGAAAGGUUUUCCAUCUUCUAUAAGAGGACAGUAUGCAACAUCAGUUGGCACAACAAACUCUGAGUGCCAGGAAAGUUCUCUUCUUUCUCGGAUUGACCACCGCACUUUAGGUAUCUCAUACUCAACUGGUACUUGUUCAUUGUGCUCUGGAACUACUUUAAAAGAUUUUGGUUAUUCUUGUUUUGAUUGUUUGUUUCCAAUUAAACUUAUAAUGUUCAUCUUUUUCAUCAAUGUGUAUCUUCUUCUUCACUCUGUAGCAUGUCUUCUACAAAGAUGAUAUUUCUACUGAUGAUAAAAUUGCAAGCAAUGGGAUCUCACAAGCGAUACCCCUUUACUCCAUUAGUAUACCCCAAGAAUAUGCAUUUUCUGAAUUUGGAUCCAACUUUAUUCUUUCUUGGUCAUUAUACAUCACAUAAGCAGGACACCCAAAUAUAUGUAAGGAGGAAAAGUUCGCUGGCUUACUAGUCUACAUAUCCAUAGGUGUUUUCAUCUCAAUUGUUGUUGAUGUAGACCAAUUAAUUAUAUAGCAAGCAGUUUUGGUUGUUUCGGCCCAAUAUGUUUUGGGUAGUCUUGCAGUCUUCAAUAUAGCUCUCAUUCCUUUUGCAACAAUUCUAUUUAUCCAUUUUGCUACACCAUUUUUUUAUAGAGUAUAAGCAAUAGUUUUCUGUCGUUGUAUGUUUUCCUGACUAUAAAAUGCAUCAAACUCCUGGCUACAGAAAUCUCAUAUAUUGUUUAACCUCAAACAUUUUAUCUUUUUUCUCAUUUCAAGCUCCCUCUAGGCUUUAAACGCUUUGAAUACUGGAAAAACAUUUGGCUUUCUCUUAAUAGGGUACACCCAACAUCUUCUAAAAUAAUCAUUUACAAACAACACCAAAAUGCUCCCAAGAUAUGUGACUGGUGAUUCCCAAACAUCAUAAUGAACCAAGUCUAGAAUGCUCUUACUUCUUUUCGUAGAUCUACUGAAUCUUAAUCUAUGUUGCUUACUGAUAACACAAUGCUCACAGAAUAAUAAACUUGUAGUUUUGAGUUCAGGAAGCAACUUUUGAUCAGAAAGAAUUUUCAAUCCUUUUUCUUUCAUGUGACCAAGUUUGUGAUGCCACCAUCUCAUUGUUAAUUCUUCUCCAAAGUUUGCAACAAAAGUCUCUACUUGUUGAUAUGUCCUCUCAUGCAACAUGUAUAGAUUUGCAGUAAUAUUUUCUGCCUUCAUCACCACAAGUGCACAUCUAAUAACCUUAAUGAUUUCCUUUUUAGCAUGGAAUUCAUAUCCAAUGUCAUCUAGUUGUCUUAUUGAUAGCAGAUUUUUCUUUAAGCCUUUUACAUGUCAUAUCUCUAGAAUAAUGUGACUCACACCAUCAUUCAUCUUUACUUUGAUGAAGCCCAUGCCAACAAUCUCCAAAGCAUGAUCAUUACCCAUAUACACUAAUCCUCAUGGGAUAGGUUCAUAUUGGUGAAACCCUUUUCUAUGAGAAGUCAUAUGUCAUGUUGUUGUUGAGUCAAUUAACUAAACUUCAAAAAAUCAUUUUCUAACUUCUACAAUUGUUGUUGCCUCAUUGUAUAAGAUUUUGUCUUCAUUUGAAGUACUUGCUACACAACUCUGAGUAUUUGAUAGCUCAAGCUCUUUCUCUUUCAUGUUUUUAUCUACUUCUCCUUUGAAAUGCCAACACUCUUUUUUUACGUGUCAUUGCUUUCCAUAGUGAUAACAUUUAGCUUUCUUCUUACCUUAGGACUUUGAUCUAUUUUGUUUACUCCCACUAGAACCACGUUUUGUUGAUCUCCCUUUAGAGAUAAUUAGAGCCUCGAUUUGCUGAGAAGAUAUUAUGUCUUCCUUGUUUUUACGCCUACUUUCUUCCUCAAGUACAAUAGUCGCAACAUCAUUAAAGACUAGCAUUAUCUACAAUGCACCAUUGGCCACAUUUAUGAUGAGAUGAUCAUAUGAAUCAAGUAGACUUUGGAGUAGAAGUUCAACACGUUCCUUCUCUUAUAUACUAUGUUUUAUAGCUGAUAGUUAAGAAAAUAGAGUUUUUAGGGUGUUGAUGUGUUCAAUCACCAAAGUUGAUUCUAACAUCCAAAGAGUGUAGAGUUUUCUUUUCAAGAAUAUUUUGUUGUGCAAUGACUUGGCUUCAUAUAAGUUUGUAAAAGUAUCCCAAAUUUCUUUUGCUAAUUAAUUGUAAUUUUAACAUGCUUGACAGUAUAUUAUCUGCUACUGCUAAAUGCAAGCUUGCAAUGAUAUCCCCAUCCAUUUGCUUUCACUUUUUAUCUUCAACAUUUUUUGGUCUUUCACCAAUUGUUUCUAGUUAAUUUUCUUUCCUCAAGAUGGCUUUCAUUUUUAUUUUCCACAGCCCAAAAUUGUUCCCAUUGAAUUUUUCUAUUUCAAAUUUUGUCGUCAUUUGUUUCACUUUUAUAGUGAUUAGUAACCCAGAAUAGGAGUAAGUGGUUGUGUUAAAUACACCAAAAAAGUCUCGAGGAAAGUAGAUAAGUCAUAGUGGUCCCACUCUCCUUAGGCUCUAAUUGCCCUUUUUGAUAGAACAUUCCUAGACAUGUACUAACCACACAAGUAACCAUCUAUUGUCCUAAACCAAAGCUCUAAUACCAUUGUAAUGAAAUGAUACCUAGAGCGAUAAUUUGAAAAUAGAAUAAUAAAAAAUAAAAAUGGAAUAAUAAAUAAAACAAUAGAUAAAACAAUAAAUAAAAUAAUGGACAAAAAUACUUACAUGAUAAAACCUUCUUAAUUAAAAUGGAAACUUCCACGGGACAAGAUAAAAAAAAUAUCCAUUAUAUGAAGACAAAAUUUCAACCUCCCUCUCAAUUAAAAUGAAAGAACAUAAAAGCUUACAAAAGAAUGAAAUCCUUUUUUAGGAUGAAUAGUAUAAGGGGUGGAAGCCUUCUUUCAUAGGACAAGGAAGUUCUCCCUUUUUUGUUUUCUUCUGAUGUGGAAUGACUUCAACCUUAACAAAAUACUGGAAAAACUAUUUGUCCUCUUUCUUUCAUGCACUCCAUGAUCUUGGUCAAUUCAUCUAAACACCAUUUCAAUUGAGCAUAAUAUUUUUUUUAAAUGAUCACACCCUUGAUUCUUCAAUUGUUUUCAAGAGUGAUCCAAUCAUUUCUCCUCUCUGAAGUUUGUCAUCUUUAAAGGUGUCAAUGUGUUUUGGACCCAAUGCCUUGAAGAGAUGAUGGGUGAAACCAUCAUGAGUGUCUUCACCUCUAAAACUCAAAAGCACAUCAUAUCUCCAAUAUUCGAUAGUAUGAGAAGAAGGAGAAACUCUUUUCAUACUCAUGGAAGCCAUUGUUAGGUUGUUUAUGGCCAAAUUAUAGGGUAAAUGAUAUUUAAGCUCCUUUCUAAGGGGGGAAAUAAAGUGAUGUAGGAAGCUAGGCUACUUUUUGUGAUUUUCUAAGAAGUUUUAAUCUUGGAAGAUAUCAAGAAGGCAUGAAAUUUAUGUGAAGAAUGAAAGGCUCUUUUGAGGCUCAUGGAAGCCAUGUAAGAAUUUUAAGUGGCCCAGUGUAUAUUAUUAUGUGACAUUUAAAUAUCAAAUUAAACAUUAUGGUCGAAUAAAUAAUAACGUUAAAAUCCUAUUCGUUAGUUUUCAAGAAGUUAGUUUCCUAAAUUAAAGGCACUUUGAUGGAAAAUGUACUCCUUAUUCUAUAAGGAAAUUGAUCUUCUCUUCACCUUAUAAAAUAAAUGUUAUAUUCCAUCAAUAAUAUAUAUGAGAGAAAACCUAAGGGUAAAAGGGUUAAGGGAGAACAACACGAUUUCUACUAUGUUUAUUGUUUGGUCUCUUCAAGAAUUCUCUACAAAUUAAAAGUAUAUCUUUUCUCAAUAAUGGAAAUGUGAAAAAUCAUAGUGUUCUAAAAUCCUUAGCUAUUAUGAUUUAUGCAAAAUUAGGGUUUGAUUUGCAUAAUUAAAUCAUUACUUUAGAGUUUAAUUGGUGAGCAUAUAAUACCAUUGACAUAUGUUGAUGAUUAAGUAACGUGUUGUGGACUCGCAUUUUUCACGUGCGUUCUCACUCAAACGACGAGACUCAUUUUUUAUUUAGUGAAAAUUUUAUUUUUUGAAAAAGACUUAGAGUCGCCACUUAUUUUAGUUUUUUUUAAAUGAAAACAAAAUAAGAAAGAAAACCAUGUGUGACUUCUUAUUUGGGAAAGACAAAUCUAUAAAAAUUGAGUUUAGAUAUGAGGGUCAGGUUACCUAUGGAGAAGGUACACUUAUAAGCCAUAACACUCCUCUAAACCCAUAUACCUACGAUCUCUACUAAAUGAAUCAAGGGAAUUGUGAUAAUUAAUUAAUUAAUUAUAGAUACCGAAAUUAAAGACACAAAUCAAAAUACACAAAAAUAAUUAUAAAAUCAAAUUACAAAAAUGCACAAGAUAAAUGAUAUGAGAAUUAUGAAAAAUGAUUUAUUGAACUAAUUAAUUAAAAAAAUAUUUCAAAAAUUAGUUUUUCAAGAAAUUUCAAAGGAUUUUAUUAAAAACAAUUUUGAAUUAAUAAUUUUAAUUUGUUUAUUUACAAAAAAAAAAAAGUUUCAAUAUAUUUUUAACAAGUGAUUUGAUUCAAUUUCAUUUGUAUUCAAUUUUCAAAAAAGUUAUUUACACUUAUUUUAUCAAAAGAAUUUAAUACAAAAUUUCAAUUUGACAAUAAAAAUUAUUUUUACUUCUUGUUACUAGAAAAAGUUACAACUUUAUUUAAAAAGUCCUUCAAUUUAAUUUCUAUUUACAAAGGAAUUCAUUUCUUUACAAGCUUUAUUUACAAAAAUAUUUUCGAUCCAAUUUAUUAAGAAAAUGGUUUUUGCAACUUGAAUUUGCAAAAAUGACUCCCCUCUGAUUCUCAUUAAAAGGUUAUUUUAAGACCUUCAUUUACAAAAAUUACUUUUAAUCUCAUUCUAAUUAAGGAAAUAGAAUUUAUUUAAAAAAUAUAUUUUUUUGGACAAUUUUAUUAAAAAAAAUAAUCUUUUGAGAAAUAUUAUUUAAAAGCUAGUUUUCUGAACAAUUUUUUUUAAACAUAAAUUUUCAGACAAUUAUUAUUAAAAACAAUUUUUCGAAUUUUCUUAAAAACAAAUUUUUUUGGAUUUUUCUGAAAGCAUUUUUAUGAAUUUUUAUCAAGAAAACUUUAUUUUAUAAAAAAAUAUAUAUUUUCUGAACCUUUAUUUUUAUUAAAACAAAAUUUCUAAGUUAUUGUUCAAUUUUGUUCACACCCAAUAAAUAUAUACAUAAAAAUAUUUACAGGAAUCAAUAACAAUAAAACUAAAUGGAAGUGGAAAAUAAAACGUAUAUCCCAACAAGCCUACAACAAGUUCAAUGCUUCAUUUAUAGUUUUCCUGAGCUUUCUUUCCUUCCAUGAAAUUCGAUUUUCCACUUGUCAUUGAUCUAUAUUCAAUGGAAGGAGCCCAUUCAAAACAAAAUUAAACCAAAUGUAAAUAUCUAGAAAUGUACAAAGUCCAAAAUAAAUAUUUAAACUUAAAUUCAAACUUCAAAUUAGUCAAAUAAAUUUUACUAAUUAAAAAAGGGCCCAAAUUAGUAAAUAAAACUCAACAAAAAUAACCCACAUGUUAUAGGCCUUAGUCCAAGAUCUCCAAAUUAAUAACUAAAAUACAAGCACAAUUAACCAAACCUAAAAUUUGAUAAUUAAAACAAAUUCCAUUAGACCUAAAUUUAAUAUCCCAUAAUCUAAAAGAAAUUAACCCAAUUUAAUAUGUAAACCUAAAUCCAUAACCAAAAUCAACUCAAUUUAAUAUGCAAACUUGAAGUAACACCCAAAAUAUACCACAAUUAUCUCAUAACAAAUCAAAUAAUUUAAAUGAACAAAAUCCAUAUCAAUUAUAAAUCCAUCCAACAAAUUUCAUUAACAACAAAUAAACCCAAAUUUUGUAUUAAUUCAUCAAAGCUCACAUUCCAUAUUAAUUCACCAAUUCAAAUCUCACAAAUAAAAUAAAAUAAUGCAUAAAAUAAACUUACACAUUUUUUUGGAGACCAAGAAUGAAUAGGAGAGAAAAAAAUGGCAGUGGAAUUGAGGAGAGAAAGAAAAGGAAAAAAAGGAAAAAAUAAUAAUAAAAUAGGCAAAUGGGUGAGGUGAGAAAGGGAGGGAAGGGGAAAAUGAGAAAGGGGAAAAGGAGAUGGUUGACCGACAGUGGCUUGCCAAUGACGAUUGGCCGGCCGUGUUGUCCACAGUGAAGGUUGAGUGAGUGUGGUGAGAGAGAAAGAAAGAAGAAAAGAAGUAGGAAAAAAAGAAAGAAAAAAAAAUGGGGAAGGGCAUGUACAAUCUCUAAAAGUGGGUUGUCUCCGUGAUGUGGGGGGGUACGGGAGAAAGUGGGGGUAGGUGGAAAGAGAGAGAAGAGAGAAAAAUAAAAUAAAAUAAAAUAGAGAAAAGAAGAAAAUGAAAAAGAAAAAAUGUAAAAUAUAAUAAUAAUAAUAAUAAAAUGUUCUACAAAAUAAUAAAACUAAGAAUUAAAUAGUGUCUAUGGACAAAAAAAAAAUAGAUGUAAUCAAGUUUAGAAUGUAAAGAUAAAAUGAAGCUCAAAAUCAAUGUAAAAAUAAAUAUGAGACAAAUUUUGAGGUCUAUCCAUGUAUACUUUUGAUGUUAUUGUGAUGAAGUUUAUGAUAAUCAAAGUUUGACUUUAUCAAUUUUUGAUAUAUUAUAUAUAAUGUAUGUUUAUGGUUAAUAUAUAAAGUGAAUGACUUUCUUAAUUCAUGAAAUUUAUUGAAUUGAUUUAUACAUCAACCACUUUUGAUUGAACCAUAAAUAUGAUUUUGUUCAUGUUGUUGCAUCUUUAUCAUCAAUAGAUUCUAUAUGUAAGUGAAAUAGAUUAUGUUAUAUAUAUAUUUAUGUCAAUAGUGAAUUUUGUAUCUUUGAUAGUAAUGUUUUAACGAUAUAUGUACUAUAUAUAAAGAACCAAGAAAAUAUUAGAAGGGUAAACCCAACGAGAGGAAGUACUACCUAAUUCAUAAAUAGUACAAAAUGGUGAUAUGGUGGUCGAGAAAAUACCUUCCACGAAAGAACCUAAUGGAUCUCUUUAAUAAAACAUUAAUAGGCGUCACAUCACUUGUGGCUGGUUUGUGUACCGCUUCCCCGCUUCAUCAAUUGGUGUCAAGUCACUCACAUCAAAGCUUCAUUCAGAAUAACCACCUUGAUGGGCCUUAAUGUAAUUAAGGAAUGUGGAAUUGGUAUAGUGUAUGUUAAUGAAGAGAUGAAUUACUCUAUCUUCACUCCUCCUAAUGAGUCAUCUGUUGUCCUUCAAGAAAUCCACGAGGAGGGACCUAGUGCAAGCGGGUGCUCUAAUAUUGAACUCUGAUUACUAUUCUGCUGAUGAGGGGGAACCCACUGCACCCCUACUGUAAGGAUCACUCUGAAUCAGAGAUGUAGCUAGAGCAACGGUUGCAAUGCAGCCAUUAUCAGAGCAUCCCUUGGCGAGGAGGAACCGGGCAGACAAAUGCUUGAUAUGCACCCAAAUCUUCCGAUAUCAACUAUUGGUGAGCUGUGUGCUUCCUUUGUUUCUUAUCUUGAAACUGACUUUGUUCCUUUGUUUCUAAUAUUUUUGAAACAUCAUAACCAUUGGAGUUUUCGGGUUGUGCAGUAGUGGUGUUGCUGACAAGCUUUUGAAGUUUGAUACAUGCUGGGUGGUUGUUGCUGGUUUUUGCUUUAAAUUUGCCUUGAUACAUGUUGAGUUGUUUAGCAAACUCACUCUUGACAGAUUUUGGUUAUUCUUUCCCACAUGCUAAUGUGAUAUAUCUCUGUUCAAAUUCCUAUUUUCAUUCUUAUUCUCAUAUACUGAACAUACACCCUUAAGGGCAUAUGUUCUCUUCUAAUGUUAGAACAAAAAGGAUCAUGAUAAUUUUUUUUUGGGGAUGGGUUCUUUUGGCUGAAUAUGAUAGAGCUGUUAACAGUUCAUGGUUACUUUGUAAGAAUUGUAAAUUCUUUGGUUGAUUUUUAUACCAUAUUUUGUAGUUUCAUUUUGAUGGAUUCUAAGGUAAUCCAUGACUCAUUUAUCUUCAUUUUGUUAGUAAUGAUGUAUAAGAUACUUGCAGCCAAUGUUUUGAAAACCGGACUAAACCGUUAUCGGCCAUCUCUCAGGUCGAGUUUUCCCUAGGGAACCAUUUUCAUAUUAAACCGGGCUUGAACUGCUCAAGUCGGUCUGGUUUGCACCAGGGAACUAUUUUCAUAUUAAAUCGGUGUUAAACCGCUUGAGCCAUGGUUGGAUCAUUGAACCGGACGGACCGUUCGGCUUCCUAAGAAGCAGUCAAGCCCAAAACUGGGCCAAACUUCCACUUGUUGUAGAAGCCCAAUAGGCUCUACAGCCAAUCAUCCAUUAAAAGCCCAAACCGGUUGAGCCCAAGAGGGUUUAAACGAGCCAAAGCCCAACCCAAUCCGAUGUGGGAUUGAUUCCAGGUGGUAAGGAAAAAAAGUUGUGCAUGCUGCAGGUGGAUUUGAGGUCAGCUUUAAAAUCAAGGGCAAGGCCAUUGAGCUAUAUGCCAUCCAUGUACAAUAAUGCUGUAAAACUAAAUAUAUAGAAAGAUUAAUGGUUUUUUUUUCAAAUAUUUUCAUGUAAAUAUUUACGUUCAUGUCUAUUUGUAUAAUAAUAAUUAUGAAAAUAAUGUAAAUAAUUAAUAUAAUAAUUUUAAAGUAAUAAAAUACAACGAGAUAAAAUUAAAUACUAUGAUUUUAUUUUCAUCUUAAAUACUUUAUAUUUAAAUAUUAUACAUAUUCUAUUUAAUAAGGUUUCAAAUAUUAAUAUAUUUACAUUUAUCUUUAUAAUUUAAUUUGAUAUAUCUAAUAUAAAAUUGAAAUAUUAUUUAAAAUUUUUAUUAUAUAUUCUAAAUUUUUUAUAAUUAUUUUUUUAUUUUAUAUAAUAUAUAAAUUAUAUAAUUAUUACUUCAUUGAUUCUAUUGUGGUUCAACCAUCGAUCCAAUCAAUAAACCACAAAUCGAUAACUUUUUCAAUCCAAUAACGGAUCUGGUUCUAAUUAUUACAAAUGGAAGUAAUUUAUUGCUUUGAGAAGGUUAAGGAAGGAAAGAUAGAAUAAGUCCUCCUCUAUCGAAGUCCCCUUUGGUAACUGGUAACAAAACCUAAGCUCUCCCUUGUAUAUUUCAUGACAUAAUUUUAAGUAAAGAGGUAUAUUUGGCAAAUAAUCAUUCUCUUCCCCUUACUUCCAUCCUGCUCACCGUCCUAGGAAAAAUUUAGCAUCUUCAACCUUGUACCACGCGUGCUCUCGGGUCCUAUGGCUUUGUUUCUAAUCCCCAUUUGCAAAAAGUUCAGUGUGUGAAGCCUAAGGGUCUUAACGAAAAAUCAUGGUAUAAAAUGUGAACCAACCAAAAGGCUUUAUCCAAUUCUUGUGGCCAUGCAAAGCCCUUGUCUUUCUCUAGCCGGAGACUUACUUGCAAGGCGACGGAAGUGUCGGUGGCGGAGGAGCCGUCGGCUGCGGGGGAUGGCGAGAACUGGGUGCCAGUGGUGCCGCUGUCGGCAUUGCCCAAGGGGGAGCGGCGCGUGAUUAUACAGGACGGAGAGACGAUUCUGUUGUUGUGAUUAUACACGAAAUUUAUGUGAAGAAUGAAAGGCUCUUUUGAGGCUCAUGCAAGCCAUGUAAGAAUUUCAUGUGGCCUAGUGUAUAUUAUUAUGUGAUAUUCAUUUAAAUAUCAAAUUAAAAAUUAUGGUCAAAUAAAUAAUAAAACUACCAGAAGUUAAUUUCCUAAAUUAAAGGUACUUUAAUGGAAAGCGUACGCCUUAUCUGAUCUUCUCUUCACCCUGUAAAAUAAAUGUUCUAUUUGAUCAAAUACACAUAAGAAAAAACCUAAGAGUAGAAGGGUUAAGAAAGAACAACACGGUUUCUACUUUGCUUAUUGUUUGAUCUCUUUAAGACUUCUAUAUGGAUUAAAAGUAUGUCUUUUCUCAAUAAUGGAAUUGUGAAAAUCAUAUUAUUCUAAAAUCCUUGACUAUUUUGAUUCAAACAAAAUUAGGAUUUGAUUUGCAUAAUUAAAUAAUUACUUAUGAGUUUCAUUGGUGAGCAUAUAAUACCACUGACAUAUGUUGAUUAAGUGACAUGAAUACUUUUGAUGUUAUUGUGAUGAAAUUUAUGAUAAUAAAAGUUUAUUUUAUCAAUUUUCAAUAUGUUAUAUACAAUGUAUGUUUAUGGCUAAUAUAUAAAGUGAAUGACUUUCUCGAUUUUUGAAUUGAUUUAUGCAUCAACCACUUUUGAUUGAACCAUAAGUAUGAUUUUGUUCAUGGUAUUACAUCUUUAUCAUCAAAAUAGAUAUAUAUCUAUAUGUAUGUGAAAUAGAUUAUGAAAAUACUAGAAGAGUAAACAUAUUGAAAGGAAGUACCACCUAAUUCAUAAAUAGUACAAAAAGGUGAUAUGCCAAUUGAGAAGAUACCUUUUGUAAAGAACCUAAUAGAUUCUUAUACUAAAACACUUAUAGGAAAAGUCUUUGAUUGUAACGGGGACAAUAUAGGUGUCAAAUAUGCACCUAAUUUACUUUUAUAGCAUUAUGUUUUGAGGGCUAAUGGAAGAUUGUUAGGAUAUCAUCCUACAAAGCAUUACAUGAUAUAAUUAGAAAUUUGGAUUUAUCAUUUAUUUAAUUAUAUUCUAAUUGCUCUUUUAUCUAUGCUUGUAAUAGAGAGUUCCCUAUAUUCAAAUCCCAACCCUAAUAUCAUAUAAAAUAAAGUUUCAUGCUAGUAGAAUAUCUAAAUAUAUUCUCGGUAGUUUUUGGUCAUCAUUGGCAUAACUUUGGGCUAUGCACAAUAACUUUCCAUAUAUUUGGCUUUUAGGUAUAAAUUUAAUUUCUAUAUGAAAUCGUUCAAUAUAUAACUUUUUGCUACAUGAGUCUAAAAGUUAUUAACUUCCAUGCAUGGUGCGACUGGUGGGGUUUCCAAUCACUUGGAAACCAUGUCCAGAUACAUAUGAAGAGAUCAAUAAAACCAACCUUCCACUUCCUACAAUAAUAGUUUACCAAGUGUAUCUUCAAUCCUAAGCCAGUCUGGUAUUCGGUGUUGCAGCUCCUGUAAACUGGCCUCUGCUUGGUCCAGCUCCAGAUAAAGCUGCUCUACUUCAGCUAUCUUCUCAUUCAAGCGCCUACGAAUCACGUCCCUCUUGCCCUCUGCUUGUGCAUACUCAACUAAAGGUUGCACUCCUGUAAACUGGCCUCUGCUUGGUCCAACUCCAGAUAAAGCUGCUCUACUUCAGCUAUCUUCUCAUUCAAGCGCCUACGAAUCACGUCCCUCUUGCCCUCUGCUUGUGCAUACUCAACUAAAGGUUGCACUCCAACAAAUGGGCUUCUUAACCAAUCAACCUUAACCCGCGCCCUUGAAAAGAAGAAGAAUUAGCUGAAUUAAUAUUAUUGAUGUUGAAGUGUGUAUUUAUACAAGGAGGUUUGAGAUCUUUUUCUACAAAUCAGAAAUCAGCUUACCAUAUUCUAGACUAUCCAGCUAUAAGUCAGGAAUUACAAUAGGAAAACUAACAUAUACAGAUCAUCUAUUCUUAAUAUGGAAGAUUUAGGAAGAUUGACUUUCCAACACUCCCCCUCAAGUUGGAGAGUGGAUAUCCUGCACUCCCAACUUGCGAAUCAUAGGAGCAAAAAUCUCCUUUCCCAAUGGUUUAGUUAGAAUGUUUGCAAGUUGGUGUGCUGAGCUCACAUGUCUUGUAAUAAUGGAACCAUCUUGGAUCUUGUCCCUAAUAUAGUGACAAUCCAUCUCAAUAUGUCUAGUACGCUCAUGGAAAACAGGGUUAGCUGCAAUGUGCAACGUUGCCUUGUUGUCACAAUACAGCAAGGCAGGUUCCUGAUGUAAAACAACCAAAUCUUUCAAAAGGUACCGAAGCCAUGUCAACUCACAACAAGCUCUUGUCAUUGCACGAUACUCUGCUUCGGUUGAAGAGAGUGACACUGUUUUCUGUCGCUUUGAUCUCCAAGAAAUCAAUAAAGGUCCAAGGAAUACACAGUAGCCUACAGUGGACCUUCUAGUAAGUGGACAACCUGCCCAAUUAGAAUCACAGUAGGCUCUCAAUCUAAAAUCAUUAUUCGAAGAGAAGAACAGACCCUGACCAGGUGUAUUCUUGAGAUAACGUACAACUCUGAACGCUGCUUCCAUAUGAGCCUUUCUCGGUUGAUGCAUAAACCAGCUUAACACAUGAACUGCAUAAGUGAUAUCUAGCCUCGACAUAGUUAGAUAUAUUAACCUUCCAACCAAUCUCCUAUAACGACCUUGAUCCUUGAGCAAAUCGCUCUUAUCAGACAAUUUCAAUCCUCGUUCCAUAGGUGUAUCAAUAGGGGCAGCGCCCAACAAUCCUGCAUCCUCAAUAAUCUCUAAUGCAUACUUACAUUGGGAAAUAAAAAUCCCAUUUUUAGAAACAGAAACCUCAAUGCCAAGAAAGUAUUUUAAAUCACCCAGAUCUUUGAGAUGAAAAUGACUAUGUAGAAAUUUUUUUGUUGUAGCAAUGCUCACAGGAUCAUUUCCAGUAAUCAGAAUAUUAUCAACAUAUAUCAAGAGGGCAGUAAAGGACUUGCCUUGUUUUCUGGUGAACAAAGAAUAAUCGACUCGAGAUUGUGCAUAACCGACGGAUUGAAUAGCUUCUGAGAACUUGGCGAACCACUGGCGAGAAGCUUGUUUCAGACCAUAGAGUGAUUUAUGAAGGCGACAUACCAAGUUUUCCUCCCCCUGUCGCCGAAGCCCUAGCGACGGAGACAUAUAUAUUUCCUCAUGUAAGUUGCCAUGAAGAAAAGCGUUGUUAACAUCCAUUUGAUGAAGAGACCAGCCACGGGCUGCGGCAAUGCAAGCAAGCAGCGGACAGAUAUGAUCUUGGCGGUGGGGGCAAAGGUAUUCUGAUAAUCGACACCUUCUAAUUAAGUAAAGCCUUUCGCUACCAAUCGUGCUUUGUAACGCUCAAUAGACCCAUCUGAACGGUGUUUAAUUUUAUACACCCAUCGACAGCCAAUCGUUGUCUUACCGGCCGAAAGUGGAGUGAGAAACCAAGUGUCAUUAGCUUGGAGAGCCUGCAAUUCAGAACACAUUGCCUCCUGCCACUCAGGAUGAGCGGCUGCUUCUAAAUAAGACCUGGGUUCUGUGACAGCACUAUGUUGAGCAACAAAAGAUCUAUAUGCAGGCUUAUAUCUGUGAUAAGAAACAUAAUUGGCCAGUGGAUGUGUACCUUUAGUUGGACCUGGAAUCAAGAAAGACGAUUGAUUGGAGGAAACGUGGGAACAAACAUAAUCGUGGAGCUUGAUUGGCGGGGCGAUAUGGCGGCUGGAGCGACGAAGAGGAGUGGCUGGUUUGGGUGAGUGUGUCUCGGCUGGAGGAACGGACGGGAUGGAUGCAAACGGUGGCACCGGAGAAGGCGAUACUAGAGUUGUAGAAGGCGGUGGUGAAGGGUUUGGAUCAAUCUGAGAAGAAGGUUCGAUAAUGAGUUCGGAAUGUCGAGAAAGAGAGGAAAAGUCGUCAUUUUCUGUGGUGGGAGACAGUGUGCUUGUGUGGUUGGAAAGAAGAGGGGAAAGUGCGUGAGAAGUAGAGUCAAGGGAGGAAGAGAUGUCGUGGGCCACCAAGGGGAUUGGGCCAGAAUUAUGGGUGAACGAAGAGAGAGUAGAGUUGGGCUUGAGAGAGACAUAAGGAAAAAUAUCUUCAUGAAAUUUGACAUCUCGGCUAGUAAAGACCUUUUUGGUUGAUAAAUCAAAUAAUUUGUAUGCUUUCUGACCAACAGGAUAACCAAUGAAGAUGGAUGGCAUGGCACGGUAAUCAAAUUUGUGAGAGGUGUGAACAUUGGUGGCAUAGGCUAAACAUCCGAAAACACGGAGAUGGAGUAAGAAGGUGGUUUUGAGUAAAGCAAUUCAAAAGGAGUUUUGAAAGACAAUAUUGGUGAAGGUAACCGAUUGAUGAUGUGUACGGCAAUGAGAGCACACUCCCCCCAAAAUUGAGUGGGAACUUGAGCAUGGAAUUUCAAAGCUCGGGCUACUUGUAAAAUAUGACGAUGUUUGCGUUCCACAACCCCAUUUUGUUAAGGCGUGUAAACACAAGAAUGCUGAAAGAUGACACCAUUAUCUUGAAAAAAAGGAACGAAGUGAGGUAAAUUCUCUACCAUUGUCACUUCGAAAAGUUUUAAUGCGAAAUUCAAAUUGUGUGAACACAUAGCUGAAGAAAUGUUUUAAAAGUGAUUGUGCUUCAUCUUUAUAUCGCAUUAAAAAUAUCCAAGUGAAACGUGUAUAAUCAUCGACAAUAGUGAGAAAGUAAUGGGCACCAAACAGAGAACGGUGUCGAUAACGACCCCAAAUGUCACAAUGAAUAAUCUCAAAAGGUUUUGUAGAAGAAAUAGCACUAGUACCAAAAGGUAAACAACUUUGCUUAGCCAAAGGACAUAUAGGGCAAGCAUUAUUGGACUGAACAAAAAAAUUCAAAAAAUUCUUGGCAAUGAAACUCAAACGAGAAGGUGAUACAUGGCCUAAGCAACUGUGCCAGAGAUCGGUGGAAGAGAUGGCGAGAUUGCAGGCUGGUUGGUUUGUGGAUGAGGAAUGGUUGGUUAAAGAUUUCUCCGUCGCUAGUGCCACCAAAUAGUAUAGUCCGUCACGUUGUUUACCCAAACCAAUCGUCCUCCUCGUAGCCAGAUCCUGCAAAAUACACCAAUAAGGGAAACACGUCACUGAACAAUUUAGACCUCUUGUCAAACGACUAACUGAUAUUAAAUCAACUUUGAAUGUAGGCACAGAUAAGACAUCAUGCAGAUAAUAGACGGAAUUCAGAGGCAAAGUCCCUUUCGUAACAAUAUUCGUUUUUUCUCCACUAGGCAACAAUACGAGCGGUAACGAGCAAUUUUUAUCUUUAUGCAAUAACUUAGAGGAUGAAGUAAUAUGAUCCGUCGCCCCACUAUCAAUAAUCCAAUUGCGAGAAGCGACUUUGGACAAACCUGGCUUUGUUACAGCAUUCACUUUGGAACUAGAGUUUUCAUCUUGGUUAUUAAGAAGUGACAAAAGUUGCUUGAGUUGGGCUUCUGACAAUGCAACUGCAGGUUUCCCUUCAUCUGCCUCAGAAACUUGGUUAGCUGCAGAAAAACUUUUAUUUCGAUUUGAGUUUGAGCCUAAGUUUAUUCUUGCUUUUGGAUGGUCUGGUGGGUAUCCAUGUAGUUGAAAACACUUUUGGACCCAAUGACCCAUAUCUCCACAAUACGAGCACUGGGGGCGUCCUCUUCCAGAACCCAUGCGGCGCCAAUCUUGAUCAAAAAAUGGUCUGCCAUCUUGUCCCUGAGAAGACCGAUUCACCCGGAAAUUUUGAGAACUAGAGGGGUGAUCAGUCGGUUCCAUCCUUCCUGUGUUCGAUCGAUCUAUUCCAUCCUUCCAAGUUGCCGAAGACUUGUCGUUGCUACGCACAGCCAUAGCAGCACUUGCGGCAGAUUCCGCUGCUGCGUUCGUCGAAGUGAGGAGGCGUUGUUUUUCUUCUUGAGAGACAGAGGAGUAUGCUUGGCGGACAGAAGGAAGAGGAUUCAUCAGGAGGAUUUGCCCGUGAAUAGCACUGUAAGAUUCAUUCAAACCCAUCAGAAAUUGCAUCAAUUUUUGUUGAUCUUGUUGUGCCCCAUGUGAUGCAGCGUUGUAGGAAGCCAGUUCAUCCCACAGGCCUUUCAAUUUUGUGUAAUAGGCAGAGACAGAGAGUUGCUCUUUUCAAAGACAAGCAAUAUCUCGCUGAAUUUCAAAGAUGCGAGGCGCAUUGCUCUGAGAGAAUCGCUCACAGAGAUCUUCCCAAACUUCAUGAGCAGUAGAAUAAUAGAUUACACUGUCCGCAAUUUCUGGAUUGAGAGUAUUGACGAUCCAGGAGUGAACCAUGUCGUUACACCGUGACCAAGUCGCAUAACCUUCAGGAUCAAUUUCUUCUGAAGGAGCCUUGAUCGAGCCAUUAACAAAACCCAAUUUGUUCUUGGAAUUUAAAGCUAGAAUCAUAGCCCUUUUCCAAGCUGAAUAAUUGUCUCCAUUCAAAGAUUUGGAAAUCAAAACCAAACCUGGGUGAUCUGAAUGGUGAGUGAAAUAGGGAUUGGAGAGAUCUGCCUUUGAGAAAUCCGUAGGAAUCUCUAAUUUUGCCAUGAUGAUUGAAGAAAAGAGAUGCUAUACGAGAGAUUAGAGUGUAGCAAUAAAUCAGGAUUUUAGUCCUGCUCUGAUACCAUGAAAAGAAGAAGAAUUGGCUGAAUUAAUAUUAUUGAUGUUGAAGUGUGUAUCUAUACAAGGAGGUUUGAGAUCUUUUUCUACAAGUCAGGAAUUAGCUUACCAUAUUCUAGACUAUUCAACUAUAAGUCAGGAAUUACAAUAGGAAAACUAACAUAUACAGAUAAUCUAUUCUUAAUAUGGAAGAUUUAGGAAGAUUGACUUUCCAACACCCUCUCCAAAUCACUCAAUGCUCUAUCAAUGAAGUAGGUGUCUGCACCAGACAGGCUACAGGCAGUAUUCUUCUGCAUCAGCUCCACAAUCUGCAGUAUGGAACCUUUGAUGAUCUCUACAAACUGGGGUGCUGUAAAGGAGCAAUUGGCAGUUACGUCUCCAUAUUUGGUCCAUAUUUGCUGCCAAAUCGACUCCCUGGUAUUGGAAGUUACACCAGAUCCCUCAACCAUCUCAAGAAGCCCUGCAGCAGCUGUGUUAGGAUCUGUGAGAGUUUUGUCUGUGUCCUCAGCUUCAGUUGGAGCGAAGGAAGUUUGGAUCUCCUAAAGCCCAAAAAAGAGAAGGAAAAGUAUAGAACUUGUGCUUGGAAUUAACCAACAAAAAAGAUUAAUUUUGAUGUAAAAGUGCCCAAGGAAAAAUAUUUUGGUAGUUUCAGUUGAAAAUUUUGACAAACCUUGUCAGCUCCCGAAGCACCUUCCACUUCAUCUGAAGGCCAAUUAAGUGUAUCUAGGCAUUGCAACCUGUGAUUAUGCUCAAGAUGAAGUUUUGUGAUCACCCAUUGUCCAUUGUCAAGUUUGACUUGGAUCUGGACAUUGCAACCUGUUCUUGUUUCUGAUCUCUGAUACUUUGUUCCCUGGUUGGGAUGCUUCUUGGUCCGGAAGCCUUCACAUGAACAAAGAAAGCAUCGCCCUUUCAGUGUACCAUUUGCUUUCCUUUGUACCUUUCCUUUUCUUACUGUAAAACCAAUUCUCUUGGCAUACUUUUUACAAAAUUCUUCAGCUUCUAACUCAGAAGAAAACGCCAUCCCUCUCCGUGGUAUCUGAUCAUCGUCUUCAGGAUUUUUCUCAUUUACAUUAACCAAUGUUCCAAUCUCAUCACCAUUUACAUUAAUAGCCAUUUCAGUCUCACCACUAUAGAACGAACUCCACCAAGAAUCAAAAUUAAGCUCAUCCUGUACAAAGUGAGAUAGAGAGAGAAGUUUUCUAUGAGAAAAAUGAGAAGCAAAAAGUGGUACAAUGCAUAACAAUAAUUUUCUUCUGUUACACCAACUAUUGAUUCAAACUACAUCUUAUCCUGUAACUCUUGUAGAACAAUGAAUUAAUAUAAGAAGAGUGACACUGUAAGACGGCUUAUAGACAAGUAGAUGGAGUAACCAAUUCUUGAUUUGCUGGUAGCAGCUUUAUUUGGGCAGAAAAGUUUUUGAAUUAUUUAUCUUUAAAAUUAACCGUUGUUCUAGAAAAUGGAUCGAGCUUACCUGGAUAGUGAGGCGCCUGAAGGUACCGCCAACUCUGUUGUGGUUUACUAAAUCAUCAGAUUCCUGUAUGGCACCCCGAACAUCUGGGCGUGAACCGAUGGAACUAUACCUGCAAGAUGAUAGGGUUCGAUAGACAUUCUGGUGCAGUUGAUGGGUGUGGAUCCAGAGGAUCGGUGCUUGAUUGCUUUGCUUCCGGCUGGUGCAGGACCCUCAAAUGUUUGGGAUCUCGCCUUCCCAAGCCAAGACUCCUUUUAUGGCUCUCGCAGCCUGCUGUGUGGGACAGCGUCCUUUUUCCUUGUUUGCUUUGCUUCCGUUCCCAAAUUCCAACCCACUGCGCUUUGACCAGAUGGUCCAAAUCUCCAUUUCUCGGCCACGUCGGUGCCUUUGGUGCUCUUUUCCCUUGUUUUAUUUCCUUCAGUGCCUUCACUACAAAAUACAUGGUCCCACCCACCGUUUUUAAAAUUCAACCCAUCUUAUCUAUUUAAGCAUCCGUUGUCUUUUUUAUAAUUCAAAGAUAAAGGUUUUUUAUCUUUCCUCCCAAGAGGCUACUACUCAAAAAGUCAAAACUUCAGAAACAUUAAAUAUAUAUAUAUAAAAUAGAGAAUUAUCAAAACGGUGGGCGGAAAGUGGUAAUCCUUUUUAAAAGUCAUCAUGUUGACCAAUUCUACUCCUCGGGUAAUCAUUUGAAAGAAAUUUUCAAUUAUAUCCUAUCUAAACUUUAUUUUUUUAUUUUUUUCUUUUGUAUUAUUAUUAUUAUUAAAUAUUAAUACUACUCUUAAUAUUAUUAUUUAUGAUAUUAGUAUUUUAAAUUUUCAUAUUAUUAUUAGUAUCAUUCUUAUUAAUAUUAUUUAUUAUUUUUAUGAUUAUUAUUCAUAUUUUUAAUAUUAUAUUAAAAAUAAUAUUAUUAUAUUUUUAUUACUACUACAAAGAAACCUUAGAAGAUAAUUUAUAUUUUUUCGUUCUUAGAACUUGUAAACUUUAUUAAAAAUUUAUUCUUUUUUUUUCAUUUUAUACUUUAUAUGUUAUAUUAAGAUUAAUUAAAUUAUUAUUAUUAUUAUUCUUAUUAUUGCUAUUAAGAUAUUAGUUUUAUAUUAUUAAUAUUUUAAUAAAAUAAUAUUAUAUCCAAGUUAUAGAUAUAAUAAAAAAUGCAUUGAUGUUAAUAAUAUAAUAGAAUAAAGCAAUGUUUCUAAUACUAUUAGAUUUGUUACAAAAUGUAAGUACAACAUUUAUCUAUUGAAUUUAUAACAUAAAUACAUUAAAAAUACGAUAUAGUACAACAUUUUUAAUAGUUUUCAUGUAAAAAUAAAAUAAAAUUUUAUCAUUUAAAUUUAUCUCAUUUUAACUGUUAUACAUUCCAUCAUGUUAAUGUCUUGUAAAUUACUAUUGCAUUUUUUUUCCCACAAAUAAUAGAUUCAUGUUUAUCAUCUCACAAAUAAAUUUUAAUUAGGAUUUAUAUUUAUUUUAAUUUUUAAAAUAUUUAUAAAUAUAAAACAUAAUACAAUAAUUUAGUUUACAACAUUAAACUUUACCUUGCUCCACAUCCUUUCAAAAAGCAAGGAUGACCUUGCCCCAUGUGCUUUCAAAAAAUAAGGAUGAAAAUAUGGAUAAUUAUGAAUAUAUCAGUUAUUUAAUUUUACUGAUACAUUAGAGAUGCGAAUAUUUUCAUACAAAUAUCGAUGAAUAAAAAAUUGAUCAAAACUCAUGAAAAUAUUAUGAAAAUCUCUAAAAAAAAUGAUAUAAAAAUAAUAAUAAUAGAAAUAUUGAGAUUGUUUUGUUAAAAUAAAUUGAUAUAUAUAUAUAUAUAUAUAUAUAUAUAUAUAUAUAUAUAUAAUAUAAGUUGUGAUAUUUAACAAUAAUGUUUAUAACUUGAAAACAUAUUUUAUGUAUAUACACCAAAUUUGAAUAUAUUUAACAAUAUAUAAGAAAUGAUAAUAAUUUGUAGAAGAAUUUUUUGUUUCACACAAUAACCAAAACUAAUUAAUUUAUAAUAAUUUUAUUAUAAUUAAUUUAUAACAUAUAUAUACAUUAAAUAUGUUCGAUUUAUAAUGUAGCAUGGUUGGUUGGCUGGUGGUGGGGGAUUUUCCCCAACUUGAGGUUCUACCUUUCAAAUGAGCGCAAUGUGUAGGCUGGUAAGCGAGCCCAUUGCAAGAUGUUUGAAAAAAAAAAAAAGGAAAAGAAAAAGAAAAAAAAUGAAUCAUGUGGCAUUGAAAUUAUUGGUGCAUCAGUCGUAUGUCGGCGAAAAAUGGCAAGAAAAAAAAAACUCAAUCGGUCAAUUUAAUCUACUAUUCUUAUAAACAAGUUUGUUUGGCUAAAGGGUAGAUUUCACAAACAUGCUUGGAAUCAAAAUAAAUUUCAAGAUUAAUUUUAGCAAGAACUUGAAGAGAACUGGAUGACGAGUGCCCAAGAUGCUAAUGCCAAAGAUUGGGAUGUUUACAAAUGGCAUAAGCCAAGGCUAGAUUUUGGUCUUGUGCUAGGUAGUAGAGGUCAUUAUGUUGCUUGCCCAAGCCAAUAGUCUUCCUUGUAGCAGUGUUUUACACAAUACAAAAAUUGGAAAAGAACAUCACUAUACAUUUAAAUGUCCAUGUUAGUUUACUAAAUGAUAGUAAAUUAACUUGAAAUUGUGAAACUUUGAGUACUUCAUCAAGUUUAAUGUGGGGUGAAAUAUUCAAUGAACUAAUCGACUUAAUAUGUGUUUGACCACCAUCUGGCAAACUAAUGGUGGUUAUCUUAUGCAAAUUUUUUAGAUCUAGUAAUUCAGUUGAAGAAGUCACAUGAUUUGCGGCUCCACUAUCAAUAAUCCAACACAUAUUUCUGAGUGUAGGUAAUCUUGAAUGAUUUUGGAUGAUAUAUUUAUACUUGUGGCAUUUGCAAAAUAUUGUGAGUUACCAUCAUUGUUUUUUUGAAUCAUGGCCAUUAGUUGGUCAUAUUCCUCAGUUGUGAGCCUUAAUCCGUCACUUGUUGGAAGAUAUUUUGCUUUUAUCUCCAUGACCUUGUUUGUUUCCACCUUCACAUUGUUUGCAUUUUAGUGACACUGAUUGGGAGACUUCACGUUCUUCCCAUGAAGCCUGUGACCUAUUGGAAAGCAAUAUAGGUAGUAACACUUCUCAAUGUUAUGAUAAUCACCGUCACAAUAAGAGCAAUGUAGCAAAGUUUUUUACCUUUAAACCUAGUGUGCUGGAGUCACCUUGUUGUGCCAAUCUGCAAGCAUGGCAUGACGGUUCAUGUUCCCAUGUUUGAUAUAAACUUCAACCUGUUUUUCUUAUUGAAGGACAAGUGAGUAAACUCGACAUGUAUCAGGUAGAGGUUGCAUAUCAAUAAGAUUUGUCCAUGAAUGGUAGCAUAACUAUCAUUCAAUCCCAUGAGAAACUGCAUAACUCUUUCUUUCUCAUCCUUUUCCUUGAGUUUCUCCAACCCUCCACAAGAGUAGGAUAACACUUCAUGAUAGGAUGAAAGUUCAUCCUAAAAAGCUUAAAGCUUUGUGUAGUAAACCGAAAUUGAUUGUUGGCUCACCUAUGUUCCAUGAUUUCUCGUUUGUUUUAAUAAAUUCUUGAAUUAUUUCCUUGAAAAAAGCAUUCUUUUAGAUCUACCCUAACUUUUGUUGAAGUUUCAACAUAAAUCACACUGUUGAUUAUGUCUGGAUGAAUGAAAUUCAAUAACCAUGAGAUCACCAUAUCAUUGCAUCAUUGCAUCAUUGCUAAGAAGGAAAACUAUCAUAUGUCAAUGGAGUUGGAGUCAGCUUGAUUGAACCUAUGACAAAUCCAAUCUUAUCUUUAGUACUCAAACUAAUUCUCAUACCCCGACUCCACGUGUUGUAGUUAUCUCCUUCAAGUACCUUAGAGAUGAGUACCAUACUCGGAUGGUUCGAGUGGUGUAGAGAGAAGGAAUGUGAGGCUUCUAUGGUAGCCUUAGACGAUGUCAACAAUCUCAUUCUGUUAUUAAUGUCCAUGGCAGCAACUGUAACAAGGAAUUAGGUUGCAAAAAUAUUUGGAAGAAUUCAAAGCCACCAAGUUUGGUGCUUUGAUACCAUGUCAAAAACAAAGUAAAACAGAAUAUUUUGGAAAUCUUCAGUAUAUUGAAUGUUUUGACUUACAAAGAAAAAAAUACAUAUAUAUAAAACAUCAGUUAGCCUAUUAUAGGAAACUAUGUGUAAACAGAUCAAUUACAAUCAAUCAAAAAAAUAAUCUCAUAUUAACAAAUCUUAUCCUAAAAUUAUGAGAUUCUUGAUUCUUUUCUUGUAAUAAGUUCCACGGUUGGAGUCAAAUAAAGCUCCAAUAAAUGUUCCAUUUUACCUUGAAUAUCUAGAAACUUCUUGAGCCCUGAGCAGCCAAAGAAAUUAAGAAUUUCAAGUGCUUCCAUUUUGAUGAUGCUCUAAAAAUUGCUAAGCUUUUUGCAGUUUUUCAAACUCAAUAAAAUAAGCUUGCUAAGCUUUCCAAUAGAUGGGUGGACCUAAAGCAAACUUGAACAACCAUCAAGAAUUAGUUUCUCCGGAUUGGGCGCACUAAAUGUGAUGUCUGGAAUUUCAAUUAGGUGUUGAAGAAGCUAUAACCAAAAAUAAAAAAGAAAAACCAAUAAUAAUAAUUACUUUAGUAUAUAAGCUUUCAUGGAGUUUAGAGAUUAACUAAAGAAGAAACAUGAAAAAAAUAAAAUAAAAUCACUCAUCAUACCAUGUCAUUUUCACAAAGUUGUUUUAAGCUGCUAUGACACAUGUUAAGUUCUACAAUGUCUUUUGCAUAAAAACUUUAAUAGUUUUUAUGUAAAAAUAAAAUAAAAUUUUAUCAUUUAAAUUUAUCAAACUUUAACCGUUAUACAUUCCAUCAUUUUAUCGUCUUGUAAAUUACUAUUGCUUUUUUUUUCCCACAAAUAAUAUAUUCAUGUUUAUCAUCUCACAAAUAAAUUUUAACUAGGAUUUAUAUUUAUUUUAAUUUUUUAAAUAUUUAUAAAUAUAAAACAUUACACAAUAAUUUAGUCCCAACUCAAGACUUUACUUUGUUCCACACCAUUUCAAAAUCCAAUGAUAAAAAAAUAUCGAUAAUCAUGAGUAUAUUGAUAUUUUGAUUUUAGGAAUAUAUCAUAGAUACGGAUAUUUUGACGUAAAAUGUCGAUGGGUCAAAAAUUUGAAUGUACUUAAUAAUAUAGAAGAAAUAAUGAUAAUUUGUAUAAGUAUUUUUUAUUUUAAAAUUUUGAUAAUUUUAUUCAUAAAUUUAUAUUUAUUUUGUAUUUAACACAGUAAUCAAAAUUAAUUUAUUUAUAAUAAUUUUAUUUGAAUUAAUUUAUAUAUAUAAUUAUAUUUGUUUAUAUAGAUAUAUGGUUUAGAGCCCGUUUGACAGUGAUUUUUAAAAGUGUUUCUACCCUUAAAAACACUUUUAAGUGUUUUUGGGAUGAAAAUAAAGUGUUUGGCAAAUUUUAAAAAACACUUUUGAAAAUCUGGAAAAACACUUAAAGUGAUUUUUAGAGAAUCACUUAACAGGUGUUUUUUUUUAAAAACACUUCAAUUUUUUUGAAAUAUUCCAAAAAUGCCCCCCAGUGGUCAUAUAUUGUUUUACUUUUAAAAUUAUCUUUUAUUCAAUGUUUUUUUUUUUUUUAUUGAUUUAGAUGUUUUUUGUAAAUAUUUUUUAAAAUUUUAGUAUAGUGAUAAAAAAAUUAUUAUUUUUAAUUAGAAAAGUCUUUUUCUUUUUUAGAAAUUAAUAGGUAAAAUCAUAUAUUGUUUUAAUUUUAAAAUUAUCUUUUAUUCAAUGUUAUUUUUUUAGUGAUUUAGAUGUUUUUUCAUUAAUAAAAAGUUUUUUUGUUUAUCAUACCAUUUUUUUUAAUUAAAAUUGUAUGUCCUUUUUGGUAAUUUAUUAAUAUUAAAAGUGUUUUUAUAUUUAUACAAUAUAUUAUCAAAAACACUUUAGAAUCAUUUUUUCUGAUUAUCAUAAAAGUGUUUUUCACAUAAACACUACAGUAGAAAACACUUCAAAUAAAAACACUUCCACUAGAAUCACUACCAAACGGGCUCUUAUAUAUGUAAUGCUGAGAAUGAACAUAUAUAUUAAAUAUGUUCGGUUUAUAAUGUAAAACAUGGUUUUCCCAAGCUCGAGGUUUUACCUUUAAAGUGAGCGCAAUGCGUGGGCUGGGAAGUGAGCCCAUUGCAAGAUUUUUGAAAAAUAAAUUAAUAUUUUAAUAUCCCUCACUUAAAAAUAAAUUCUCUUAUAGCAUGUUGAGACAAAAUAAAUAAAUAAAUAAAUAAUGGUCUAUAGAAAGCAGGUGGGUCAACAAGGACCCUUUGUCUUCGAUGAUCUCACUGGCAUUUAAUUUACUUGUUGCAGAAACUGCCUGUUCCUUACACUCUGCGAGUUUUGCUCAGACUUGACUUUCACAACUCAAAUUUCAGAAUCCAUCUUCUCUGCCGCCUCGUAAUGGCUGAUCCUUCUUUCCAACGGAGCUAUGAUGUGUUCCUGAGCUUUAGAGGAGAAGACACCCGCAAUAGCUUCACUGCCCAUCUCUAUAAGGAGCUACGCACCAAAGGAAUCAACACGUUCAUUGACGAUGACAAGCUUGAGAGGGGUGAUGUCAUUUCUUCUGCGCUUGUUGCGGCUAUUCAAAACUCCAAGUUUUCUCUCGUUGUUUUGUCAGAAAAUUAUGCAUCUUCCGGGUGGUGUUUGGAGGAGCUGGUGAAGAUUCUAGAGUGCAUGAGAACCAUGGGACAGAGGGUUCUCCCCAUUUUCUACGAUGUGGAUCCCUCGCAUGUAAGACAGCACAACGGAAAAUUUGGAGAAGCACUGGCUAAACAUGAAGAAAAUUUGAGAACUAUGGAGAGGGUGCCGAUUUGGAGGGAUGCUCUCACUCAAGUUGCCAAUUUAUCCGGUUGGGAUUCCAGGAAUAAGUAAUUCUCUACAGCUUUCCCAUCAUCAUCUUCAUCCUCAUAUCACUAAUUUCAAUAUAUGCAUCUGUUCAUUAAUUAUCUUGUUUACUUUAAUUUUACCUUUCUCUUUUUGAGUGAUGAACUAAUUUCAUGUUUAUACUUCAAAUUUGGCAGGCAUGAGCCUAUGCUUAUCAAGGGAAUUGCCACUUAUAUUUGGAAUAAAUUGUUUAGUAGAUCCUCAAAUUAUGCUGAUCAGAACCUAGUUGGAAUAGAAUCUAGCAUACGAGAAAUAAAAUCCCUGCUAUUUACCGAGUCUCUAGAUGUUCGCAUGGUGGGGAUUUGGGGCAUGGGCGGCAUAGGUAAAACAACCCUUGCCAGAGCUGUUUAUAACCAAAUCUCUCAUCAAUUUGAAGCUUGCUGCUUUCUUGAAAAUGUCAGUGAUUAUUUGGAAAAGCAAGAUUUCCUUAGCUUGCAAAAGAAAUAUCUUUCUCAACUAUUGGAAGAUGAAAAUCUAAAUACAAAAGGAUGCAUCUCUAUAAAGGCUUUGCUUUGUUCUAAAAAGGUUCUCAUUGUCAUUGAUGAUGUGAACAAUUCAAAAAUAUUAGAAGACUUGAUUGGGAAGCAUGGUUGGUUUGGUAUCGGAAGUAGAAUCAUCAUAACAACAAGAAAUAAGCAGUUGCUAGUUACACAUGGGGUGAAUGAAGUCUAUCAGGCUGAAAAAUUAAAUGAUGAUAAUGCGGUUGAGCUCUUCAGUCGAUAUGCCUUUAAAAAAGCCCAUCCUAUAGAUGAUUAUGUGGAGCUCUCUCAAUGUAUAGUGGUUUAUGCUCAGGGCCUUCCAUUAGCUCUUCGAGUUUUAGGUUCAUUUUUAUUUGAUAAGAGCAAACGGCAAUGGGAAAGUCAGUUGGAUAAACUAAAAAAAAUUCCUAAGAAGGAAAUUCAAGAUGUGCUUCGAGUAAGUUUUGAUGGGUUGGAAGAUAACGAGAGAGAUAUAUUUUUGGACAUCGCAUGUUUCUUUCAAGGGCAUGAUAAAGAUUAUGUAAUGGAAAUAUUCAGAUCUUGUGGUUUCUUCCCUGAUAUUGGAAUAAGAGUUCUCAUUGAGAAGUCUCUUAUAUCUGUUGUUGAGAAUAAAUUGAUGAUGCACAAUUUGUUACAAAAAAUGGGUCGGGAAAUUGUUCGUGAAGCAUCUCCUAAGGAACCUGGAAAACGCAGCAGGUUGUGGAUUCAUGAUGAUGUAAAUCAUGUAUUGACAAAAAAAACGGUAAGAGACAAAUGUAUAAACCCUUUUUUUAUAUAUAUAGGUAAUUAGGUUGGUCUAAAGUGCAACUUAGGAAGUACCAACUUUGUUUAAUUGCGUAGUUUAGUAUGUAUAUAAUUUUACUCACUUAUCCAUUACUCUUUUUUGCUAGGGAACCGAAGAAGUUGAAGGAAUAUCCCUUGACUUGUCCAGUUUGAAAGAGAUAAAUUUCACUAAUGAAGCUUUUGCACCGAUGAAUAGGCUCAGAUUGCUCAAAGUCUAUACAUUGAAUUUUCUCAUGGACUCCAAAAGAGAGAAGUGUAAAGUGCACUUUUCCCGAGGCUUUAAAUUUCACUGCGAAGAACUGAGGCACCUAUAUUGGUAUGAAUACCCUUUGAAAUCACUGCCCAAUGAUUUUAACCUCAAGAAUCUUGUUGACCUCAGCAUGCCUUAUAGCCAAAUAAAACAACUUUGGAAAGGGACCAAGGUAUCGCUAUGAUUUAUCCAUGUUAUUUUAUUUAGAUUGUAUGUACCGUUCAUGAAAAAUCAUCUUCUUAAGCCUUGUUUCUUUCACUGCAGGUUCUUGAAAACUUGAAGUUCAUGAAUCUCAAGCACUCCAAAUUCUUAACGGAAACCCCGGAUUUCUCAAGGGUUACCAACCUUGAACGGUUAGUUUUAAAAGGUUGUAUAUCUUUGUAUAAGGUUCACCCAUCACUUGGAGAUUUGAACAAACUCAAUUUCUUGAGUUUGAAAAAUUGCAAAAUGCUGAAGAGUCUUCCAAGUUGCAUUUGUGAUUUGAAAUGCCUUGAAGUAUUUAUUCUUUCUGGUUGCUCAAAAUUUGAAGAGUUACCUGAGAAUUUUGGGAACUUAGAAAUGUUGAAGGAAUUUUGUGCGGAUGGAACUGCUAUUAGGGUACUUCCCUCCUCUUUUUCUUUAUUGAGAAACCUUGAAAUAUUAUCCUUUGAGAGAUGUAAAGGACCACCACCAUCUACCUCAUGGUGGUUGCCAAGAAGAAGUUCAAAUUUCAGUAAUUUCGUAUUGUCUCCUUUGUCAAGUUUAAGCUCCUUAAAAACUCUAAGCCUAAGUGCCUGCAAUAUAUCAGAUGGAGCAACUCUUGAUAGUCUUGGCUUCUUAUCUUCACUGGAAGAUUUAGAUUUAAGUGAGAACAACUUUGUUACUCUGCCUUCAAAUAUCAGCCGACUUCCUCACUUGAAAAUGCUUGGGUUGGAAAAUUGUAAAAGAUUGCAAGCACUGCCAGAGCUUCCAACAAGCAUACGUAGUAUAAUGGCUCGUAAUUGCACAUCAUUGGAAACAAUCUCAAAUCAAUCAUUUAGCUCCCUACUAAUGACUGUCAGAUUGAAGGAACAUAUCUAUUGCCCAAUAAAUCGGGUGAGAUUUUCCUCCGGUAUAUCAUAAUUCAAUUUCCCACUAAAUAAUGCACAAUUUAAUUUCAUUUGUGGUAGUGUAAAAUAAAUGUCGAAUGAUUUAAGAUGGUAAAGCAGCAAGCAAUUUCUAUCUCUACUAACAUCCUCAUCAUGUUCAUUCUACAGGAUGGACUUUUAGUUCCUGCACUUAGUGCAGUUGUUUUUGGGAGUAGAAUACCAGACUGGAUAAGGUACCAGAGCUCAGGGAGUGAAGUAAAAGCAGAGCUACCUCCAAACUGGUUUGAUUCCAACUUCCUGGGUCUUGCUUUGUGUGUUGUCACUGUUCCCAGGCUGGUGUCACUUGCUGAUUUUUUUGGUCUUUUUUGGAGAUCAUGUACCUUGUUCUAUUCCACAUCCAGUCACGCUUCUUCCUCCUUUGAUGUUUACACUUAUCCAAAUCAUCUUAAGGGAAAGGUGGAGUCAGAUCACUUGUGGCUGGUUUAUGUACCGCUUCCCCACUUCAUCAAUUGGCAGCAAGUCACUCACAUCAAGGCUUCAUUCAGAAUAACCACCUUCAUGCGCCUUAAUGUAAUUAAGGAAUGUGGGAUUGGUCUAGUGUAUGUUAAUGAAGAGUUGAAUUACUCUCCCUUCUCUCCUCCUCCUAAUGAGUCAUCUGUUGUCCUUCAAGAAAUCCAUGGGGAGGGAUCUAGUGGAAGUGGGAGCUCUAAUAUUGAUGGCUCAGAAUCAGAGAACUCCGAUUACUAUUCUGCUGAUGAGGGGGAACCCUCUGCACCCCUGCUGUAAGGAUCACUCUCAAUCAGAGAUGUGGCCAGAGAAACACUUGCAAUGCAGCCAUUAUCAGAGCAUCCCUUGAUGAGGAGGAACUAGCCAGACAAAUGCCUGAUUUGCACCCAAAUCUUUCCAUAACAACUCUUGGUGAGUUGUGUGCUUCCUUUGUUUCUUUUCCUGAAACUGACUUUGAGUUGCUUAGCAAAAUACCUUACUUUCUAGUAUUCUGGAAACAUCAUAACUGUUGGAGUUUUUGGGUUGUGUAUUAGUGGUGUUGCUGACUAGUUUUUGGAGUUUGAUACAUGUUGGGUUGUUGUUACUGGUUUUUGCUUCAAGUUUGCCUUGAUACAUGUUGAGUUGUUUAGCAAACUCUCUUGACAGAUUUUGGUUUUCUUUCGCACAAGGUAUUGUGAUACAUCUCUGUUCAUAUUCCCAUUUUCAUUCUUAUUCUCAUGUACUAAACAUAUACCCUUAAGGGCAUAUGUUCUCUUCCAAUGUUAGAACGAAACAGAUCAUGAUCAUUGUUUUUGGGAUAUGUUCUUUUAUCUGAAUAUGAUAGAGCUAUUACAGUUAAUGGUUACUUCGUAAGAAUUGUAAAUUCUUCCAUUGAUAUUAUACCAUAUUUUGUACUUUCAUCUUGAUGGGUUCUAAGGUAAUCCAUGGCUCAUUUUUCAUUCAUUUUGUUAGUAAUGAUGUAUAAGAUACUCGUAGCCAAUGUUUUGAAAAUCAGACCAGUCGUCCAACCGAUUGAACCGUCAAUCAGCCAUCUCUCUAGUCUGAUUUGCCCUAAGGAACUGUUUUCAUAUUAAGCCAGUGUUGAACUGCUUGAGCCGGUCUGGUUUACCCUAGGGAAUCAUUUUUAUAUUAUACCGAUGUUGAAUUGCUCGAGUCGAUGGUUGGACCAUCUAAUUGGAUGGACUGUCCGGCUUCCUAAGAGUAGUCAAGCCCAAAACCAGGCCAAAUUUGCACUUGUUGUGGAAGCCCAAUAGGCGUCACAACCAAUCACCCAUUAAAAGUCGAAACAGAUUGAGUCCAAAAGGGUUUGAUGAUCAGUCAUUAUGGUCCGACUAGUAAAUCAUAAACUAGUAACUUUUCUAAUUCAAUAAUCGAUUCGGUUUUGAAAAUAUUGCUUAUAACUUAGGUUGUUUCUUCAUUUUCUACCGAGAAUGUUGUCUUAUAAUGCAGGCAAACUAUCACCAAUGGAGAAAACAUAGAGAAAAGAAGAGUUUUAUUUUUCAAUUUGUUUAGCCAAUAAAUACCUUUCUUUAAUUUACUUUUCAAAUAUGAUGACGUUCAGAAAUUAGGAAAACUUGCCCAUGAAAAUAUAAAACUUGGGUCUGCUCUGGAUUAAAGAGAAAUCAGACUUGGCGGUACAUGGAUGUUUGCCCAAAUAUAUGAAAUUAAUUUAAGUGAAAUUAGGGGAAAAGUAUACUAAUACCUGGAUUCUAGCAUAUAGUAAUGGUUAGGCUGGGAACUUGAAAAUAAAUUUUUUGUUCUUUGGAACUGAAAUAAUUUUCAGUUGACAGAUUUUAUUAUUCGAAACAAUUUUAUGGAGAAUUUAUUCUUAAAACAUAAUAUUUUUUAAGAAUAUAUUGAAGGUGUUUUCUUAAAAUAUUAUAAGAAAUAAUUGAAAAUGUAAAGAAUAUUUUAAAUAUUUUUGCAUUAUACAAUAUUUUCAUGAAAAACAAAUCAAGAAAAUUGCUUUUUCAAUACAAUAUUUUUAAGAACUAUUUUUAUUUAUUUUUUAAAUGUUAUCUAAGAAAACCCUAUACCUAAAAAAAGUCGCCAUAAAGCAUAGAAACAAAACGGAGGCAUAAUACCUCCGGAGGCACUGUAGAAUUUUUCAGCAUAAAAAGGUUGUUGUUAUUCUGAUUUGUUAGGUCAGUCUAGGUAACAAAACCUAAGCUAUCCCUUGUAUAUUUCAUGACAUAAGUUUAAGUAAAGAGGUAUAAUUAGCAAAUGAUCAUUCUCUUCCCCUUACUUCCAUCCUCCUCACUGUCCUAAGAAAAAUUUAGCAUCUUCAACCUUGUACUGCGUGUGCUCUCGGGUCCUAUGGCUUUGUAUCUAAUCCCCAUUUGCAAAACGUUCAGUGCGUGAAGCCUAAGGGUCUGAACAAAAAAUCAUGGUAUAAAAUGUGAACCAACCAAAAGGCUUUAUCCAAUUCUUGUGGCCAUGCAAAGCCCUUCUCUUUCUCUGCCCCACUUUCCACCCACACCUCUCACUCCACCCCCCUCACCUCCUCUCUCUCUCUCACCUCCCACUUCUCCAUGGCCACCGCCGCUGCCACCAAGCUCACGCCCCAUCUCCUCUCUCUCUCCUCCCCCCUCCGUCGCCGGAAACCCCUGCUGCACCACCUCCCUCCGCCGCUGCCCCGGAAUGACCGUUCUUCUGCCUUAACACUGGGACUCUCUAGCCGGAGAAUUACUUGCAAGGCGACGGAAGUGUCGGUGGCGGAGGAGUCGUCGGCUGCGGGCGAUGGCGGGAACUGGGUGC